rnacentral:lncRNA from 1 species
GGAUGAUGAGUAGUCAGCUUGUGCUUGGAUGGCAGGAGAAACCAAUGCAGGACCCUGACUUGGAUUGGCUGAACCCAAAAAAAAAAAAAAUUUAAUUAAUUAAAAAUAAUAAUAAUACACAUAUAUACAUACAUAUUUUCAUGAUUUCUAAAGUUCAAACUUCUCUUUUCCGUUCUUGGAAUUUGUUAAUAACUAAAGCAUCACUUAUAAACUGUUCUGUAAGGAAGACCUAGAAUAUUUGCACUCAAACAGUAGAUGGAAAGUACUUCAUCCAGGAUUUAGGAUAUGGGCUCCGAUUAAACCAAAUAUUCAAAUGGUACAUCAGAUGCUUCAGUACUUUGGACCGUCUUUCUCUAUUUAAAAAAUUAAUUCUUCAUUAACCUUAAUUAAAGUAGUCAUCUUUUUCCUCACAUAAAUCAUGAAAAUUCUGUUUAAAGUACAAGAUUUUUCCUCACUUAGUAGACAUAAUAUACAUUGACCAGCCAACAGCCCUUAGCAACUUUAACUUACAAUAUGCAGGCCACUUUGUUAUGAGCUCCAAGCUAGAUUCAUAUUCAGUUAAGAUGUGCUUCUUCAAUUAUAUGACGAAACAAGCUGUGCUCCUAGAAUUACAUGAAGAAACAAAUUAAAAUACAAUGCUUCAAUAUUUUGCCUUUAUAAGACUAAUGUCUUCACAUACUCAGGAAAAGGUACGUGACCGCAUUAAAAUUACUGAAAACAAAUUGUAGCAAAAAACAUUCAUCAUGAAAAGUUUAGGGAACUUCAACACGAGUACAAAAAUGAGAAGCCAAAAAAAAAAAAUUAAAUAAUGCUGUACCUAUGUGAGUAGGUUUUUUAAGUCUAAAGCACGUAGAAACCGUAAGUCCUAAAUAAAUUCAUUGAAAUUGAAAGGCUUACUAUUAUAUAAUUAUCAUAAAUAAAUAAGCCAGAUGGUAUUUCAGAAAAUAUACCAUUACUAGUUCAAUUGUGCACAUUUAAAAAUUGGGUCCAUAAUCACUCACAAAUAUGAGAAUUGAUGACUUUAACAAUUGACCAUCAGGGAACGUAAUCCUAUGUGCUCUCUGUAAAGUAACUAUUUAUCAAAAAUACAUUGAAAAUCCAAAUUAUUCCAGCGAUAAUUAGUAUACUUAAAAAAUGUGCAGCUAAAACCUACUAAGUCAAAAGUAAGGUAGCUCAGUAUGGGGUCAAUGUAGAGCGAAAAACAAAAUUCAUCAAAGAGUGAAUAUGGUGAUAAUAGGACACUACUUUCUUUUACUCAAGGAGUGAAGCAUACGUGAACGAUUUUAUGCAGGUGGCAUAUUUCUUUGUCUUCCAUGAAGGUUAAUUUAUAAUGCAUGUACAUACUUCAAAUAGAAGGAUAAAUUAGAAAAGAAUAAUUUCUAGAGUUGAGAUAAAGCACUUUAGAUGUAAUUGAGGGAAAGAUGAAAAAGGAAUCAUAUAUAGCACAUACGUUCUUUUAGCCUCAUGUAAGCAACUUUUGCUGCACUCAUCUCCGCUUGCUUCUUGGACUUUGCUUCUUGUCCAGAAAAAACUUGUCCUCCUACCUCAACAGUUGACACAAAAGUUGGUGCAUGAGAUUCACCAGAUUGCUUAGUAUUAUAAACUGGCAAAGCAUACGCUUCUUUCUGAGCCAAUUCUUGCAAAAGGUUCUUGUAAAGAACAGAAUCAUCCUGGAAAAAUAUGUUUAUUAACAAAAUAUGCGAAUAUGAAAGAAGAUAGAUCACUACUAAUACGAAAUUCAUAAGUUAUUCAUUAACAGUUAAUUAGAAGACUGGCCUGUUGAAAUUUAUCAAGUGACAAUGACAUUAAUGCAACUUUCGCCGCUUCAUGCUCGGCAUCUUUUAAAGUAGGAAAAAACUGAUGACUCUCAUAAGUUUGUCCAUCAAUUGUGACCUUACACUUGAAACGACUAGCAUGAGGAGGACCUUCCCUCUCACAUGAAUACAUAGGAAGAGGGAGAUUUUUCUUUUGAGUAUAGCUCUGCAGCUGGUUUUUGUAUAGGUGUUGCAUAUCUAUAAUUCAGAAAGAAAUUAUGAGUCACAUGACUUCUCAUCAUAAACAAUAGAAAUUCUUUCAUUUCCUUAUUUAUUGCCUAGAUAAAAACCAGAAGUCAAAUGUUCAGAAUGCAAGGAAAUAGGAUGUCAAUUCAAUGAAACAUCAGUAAACAUAGCAGUGAUGGCUGAAUCGCCUUGAGGAUAGAAAUACCCCGACCUUACCCUCCCCCGCUCCUUAAAAGAGUACCCUUCAUCCAUACCCCACUCUCACAUCAGGACUGCCAUCUUUAAUAGUUCUUACCACAGUAGGACUGGAACGCACACCCAUGAUCUGUGUCCCGCCAGUACAAUAUUUUAACUAAGUAGCAGCAGAACGCCAAAAAGCAUCAAUGUAAUUGAAUGGAUAAAAUAAGUACCAUCUAAGCUAAAUUCAUACCUUCAAACAAGAAACCAUCGAUGCGAUCAUCAAGCUAAAUGCCCAAGCAAUGUACUAAAGCAAUCAAAUCUAAGAAAUUGAACGUACAAAAUAAGUUCCAAUUAAGCUAAAUUCAUACCUUCAAGUCAGAUACCUCUUACUUGAAAUAAAUCAAGGUUACAGGAGAUGAGAGCACAAUCAGCUUAAUUGGUAGAGUUUAAAAAAUAUUAGGUCCUCUCUGGGGCAUACACAAUGAUGAAGAUGAAAAAGAUGAAGACUCAAAAAGUGAGAGAGAGAAAGGAGAAAGCUGAGAUUAGCUGCUUAGAGAAGGAGGCAGCAGAGAGGAAACCAAAUGGGAACAAAACCCUAACCUUGGGAAAGGAAAUAAUAUAAACAUAUACUAAGGUAUUUAUACGAGAAAAAAUACCUGGGAAAGGGCUGAAAAGAAAGAAGUUGUAUCUAUACCCCAACUGCACCCUAUUAGUUAUUUGAUUGACACAUUGCUUGACCCAAUUGGCUAGGUGUUUCCUCGUACGGGCACUGAAUAUGAAGCAGUGUGAACACUGAAAUUUCAAGUUUCCUUAUAUAUACUUUUUGAUUUCACUAUUUUACUUCUUUUCACUCACCUGAGGCUCAAUGUAAGAUCGUCAAAUAGACGGAAUACCUGAGGCUCAAUGUAAGAUCUUCAAAUAGAUGGAAUUGGAUUGAAAGAUUGAGUUCUCUCACUUGAUAUCAAAUUCAGAGUUAACUUAGAGAUCUAUUUCAUUAUAUGUUAUUAGUGCGUCUCAAAAAUGACAUGUAAUGGUCCACUCAAAUGUUUUAUUUAAAUAUCCGUCCAUAUAUUAUCCAAUAUUCCCUUUCAACAUUACCGUACCUAGCAUUAAUAAAUUUUAGGCACAUCACAGCAUAUCCAAAUUUACGUAUGUCCAGCAAUUUUCUAAUUGAAAAUGAUUUUGUACAUAAAAAUACAGAUAUGUGGACAAGAACAACAAUCAAGAUCAUCAAAUUUAGUAUGGAAGAAAAGAAUACAAAUGAAAAUAUGUGACAAUCCAACUUCAAUUGAAGUUGUUAAUUAGAACUUCACCAAGGCCAACAGAAGUAUGAGAAACAUGAAUCAUAAUUAUAAAAAAUAAUAAUAACAUAAAUCACUUAGAAGUUCUCUGAUGCGGUAAAUUGAAAUAGAGCUACAUUCAAGAAAUCAUGACUAUAGGCUUUGUCUUUAAUAGCCUCUUUAAUCCUCAAUCUUUUGACAUCACCAUAGCAGAAAAGUAAGUACACAAAAUUCAACAAUAUAUGCAUGAUCAAUCAAUAAAACCAAUAAACCAAAUAUCUAAAUCAAGAAAUUACAGAAAGGAAAAGAAAUUAUUACUAAAAUAAUUAUCUGACCUCUUGAUUUGUGAACAUCAUUGACAGUUGAGAUCGUUGCAUUGACCUGAGUAGUUCGAUCUGUUUCUCGAGCAUUUACUUGCACUGCACUUUCACUCGAAGAACCUACAAAAAUUAUUUAUAACCCAGUGUAAAGAAGAAGUAAAGUUUUCCGCACGAACAUGGUAAAGUAAAGUUUUCUGUAGGAAAAUGGUAACUUCAAAAUCCGUUUCAAACCUAUCAUACAUCCCCCACCCUCAUUUAAGACUAGUGCUUGCAAAAACUAGAAGUAAUUUAUCCAGAACAUAAAAGCAGAGAAAAUCCAGUCCAGUAUAAAUAUAAAAUUAGAUAAUACCUACCAUUUACCAUUUCAUUCAAGAACACCACACAGUUAACGAAACCAACAUAGGUAUGUUUCCAACUGUUGUACUUUCAAGUUAAUUUUGAAAGCGCGGAAGCUAAAGCCUAAACUGUUGUUUGAUAAAAGCCCAUCCACUGACUGAUACUUGGCGGGUAGCAAUUCCAUUCAAUAGCAGUCAUAGAAUAAAAGUACAAAACAAACCCCUGUUUAAAAAAUGCAAUGAAGCAGCCAUGAUUUCAAUUAUUUGCAUGUCUGGGAUUGCAGUUGAUUCCAAAUUGAGAAUAUACUUCGAGAAUAUGUUUGAUAAGCCCUUAUGUGAUGAUCGCUGGUUUAUUGAGUCUUAAAAGAACAACUCAAUCAACUAAUGUUUGAUUUGAAAAAAAAAAAUGGCAAAUCAAAAAAGUUUUGGAGUAGAUUCUCAAAAGAGUGAUUAUUUGAUAAUCCACCAUAAUCCCACAUAGUUAUCAGAAUGAAAUUAAAAUCCGAGGAAUGUUAUUUAAGGCAAACAGCACUUUUUUUAUUUUAACCAACACUUGCAAAUUGCAAUUCUUAAACUAAAAGCAUGCAAAAUAAAUGCAAAUUAAGAACGCACCUAACAGAAAAUAAUAAUAAUAAUAAUCUGAAUUGGCAAUAUUAAAAUUACCGUUAGAAGAGGAAGCGGCAGGAGUAGAGGAUGGUGGAGGAGGAGACGAGAAAUGUUGGAAAGCGAUUCUAGCGGCGUCGUUUUGGGCCUCUUUGGACGACUUGUAAAGAUCCGGAGUGGUGAAAGAUUGGUCGUUAACGGUAACGGUUGCUUGAAAGCGAGGGUUGUGGUCAAGGCCUUGUUUGGCUGUUGUGUAUACUGGCAAGUUCCACACUCUCUGGUGGCAUAGCUCCUGCAGCUUCGUUUUGUACAUCUUUUUUGCUUACAAUAUUUUCACUGAUUUUAAUUUUUUUUUUGGAAUGGGAAACUCAAGAGAAGAGAGAAAUGGAAUUUAGUUGCAAAAUUUGAAGUUUAAUUAUCAAAUAUUACGCCAAGAGAGUACGCUUCAGUUCCACGAACAGGUUCAGAAUAAAUGACGCUUGGGAAUGCUGAAAUGGAAUAAGGCCUUUUUAUAAACAAAUAAUAAUAGUAAACCGACGCCACGGUGUUUUAAAAAUAAGUUUUUUUUUUUUUAACCUUGAAAUUCCUUAUCACAGUGACGUUUUAAAAUAAUAUUUUUUUAAAAUGCAAAAAAAAAAUUUCUUUCUACCAUUUAUAAAAAAGAAAACUUAAAUAAUUUACUGUAUUAAACGUUAAAAUAAACUAAUAAAAAAUUAUCGAUAUUCUAAAAACCAAAUAAAUAAUACCUUUCCUUUAUCUUCUUCUCAAGGAAGGUGGCUAAAAACUUUCUUCUCCAAAGAGAUCUUGUUCUAUAAGGAGACAUGACAUGAAAGUUGAAGGAGAGGGUGAUCGAAGGGGGGAAUAAAAAAUCUUUUAUGGUUGGCUCGUGGACAUGGACUUCUUAUGAAAGGUGGUAACGCUGUCUCAACGUCAUAAUUAUACCGAAGCUAAGUCCAUUUCAAUCAAUAUAAAAUAUGAAUGCGGUAACGACUAACGAGAAGUUAAUAGUUUUGGAUCAAACGAAUAUACAACGUCGUUCGUGUGUUUAUCAAAUAAGAAUUCAAUUUAAACAAUGUAAAUGUGUUAACAAGAAAUUGAGAGUUAUUGAUAAGACGAGCAUAAAAUUAAAACGUCAUUCAUAUGUUCAUCAAACAAGAGUCCAUUUAUGUAUAUGUAUUAACAAGGAGUAGGGAGUUUUAGGUAAGACAAGCAUGUUGAGUUGUAAUCGGAAUAGACAGAAAUCAGAAUAGGAAAUGGAGAUCAGAAUAAAUUAUUUAUUUGAACUGUAGGAAUCGAAAUCGGAAUGAAUUGAAUUGUCAUAAAUGUGUUUACUUUGUCUUGGAAUCGGAAUCGAAAUGAAUUAAAUUAUAACAAAUUAUUAAAAAGUACUUAAUAAAUUAUUGUUAUAAUUAUUAUUUUAUAUUUUAAUUAUAGUGAUUAUUUAUUCAAAAAUUAUUAUUAUUAAUUAUUGUCAAUAAUAUAUUGAUAUAUUAAUUAAUUAUAAUUAUUAUUAUAAAUAUAUUAAUUACUAAUAUUAAUAUAUUUAUCUGCUGUACCGUACAUCCNNNNNNNNNNNNNNNNNNNNNNNNNNNNNNNNNNNNNNNNNNNNNNNNNNNNNNNNNNNNNNNNNNNNNNNNNNNNNNNNNNNNNNNNNNNNNNNNNNNNNNNNNNNNNNNNNNNNNNNNNNNNNNNNNNNNNNNNNNNNNNNNNNNNNNNNNNNNNNNNNNNNNNNNNNNNNNNNNNNNNNNNNNNNNNNNNNNNNNNNNNNNNNNNNNNNNNNNNNNNNNNNNNNNNNNNNNNNNNNNNNNNCAUCUGCUGUACGGCCAAGGCGGAUGUACGGUACAGCAGAUUUGACUUUUUAUUUUUUAUAUUUAUAUCUUUUAUUUAAAGAAGGGGCAUUUUAAGAAAUUUUGAAUGUCAACGGAAGCAAAAGAACUCUAGGUAAUGGGAGAUUGAUUCUCACCUCUCCCAAGGAAUCAAUCUCUCAUUCCUCAUUCUCAAAUAGUGGUGGGUUCCAUGAUUUCAAUUCUGAUUCUUACUCCAUUUUUUGGAAGUAAAUGCCGUUAAUCAUUUUGAUUCUCCAAUUUGGAAAAUAAAUGUACCAUAAUAUUUAAUCAAUUAUUAUGAUUAUUGGAUUUUUCAGAUACUUUUAUCUAUUUUGGUUGGAGGGACGAAGUUCACUUUCUAUUAAAAGAAACAUUAGAGGAGCUUUCAAAGUCUAGGCUAAGGUUGUUUCCCAUGGCCUUGAAGCAAUACCCAAAAAGAGCUUUCCGGCUGGCAAAAUAGGCUUGUGUUUCUGCGUCGCAAAAUGAUGUGAAUGAGCUUUCGGAGUGUUUCCUCUGAAAUUUUAGAUGCUGCAAAAUCAACAUUGUCCCGCUCGAAGUAACCCGGACAAUUUCAUUUCCUAAUUUCUUCUUAUUUAUUAUGGCAUUGAUUUUCAUUGCAAGCUCAUUGCUCUGCUAAGAAAAAGAAUAAAUGGGGGCCAAAAAAGGAAGAAAGAAAUAGAGGCAAAGGCAACAACAUUAAUGCACAAACCAGUAAAGGUAUUCCAUCGAUUUACGGCCACUGAUAGCAAGCCGGGGCCUUUAAAAACGGAAAAUACAAGCAAAGAAAAAUAGAAGCCAAUUGCUCAAUAGUGCAUAAUAUGCAUACGGAAAAUUUUCAUCACAUCACGACCCACAGUUAUUCGAAUAGGUAAUAAGACAGGAAUUUUCUUUCUUUGUUUAAAGUGAAAAAAAAAAAAAUCAAUGGCUCAGGAAGUAUCCCUCCAAUCUCCAGAACCACUCACUUGGCACUGGCAAGCUGGGUGCGGAGUAGCUUGGCAGCAGCGACCAUGUUUGAGAGGGCUGGCUUCACCUCAGUGUACUUGCGAGUCUUAAGACCACAGUCAGGGUUAACCCACAAAAUGUUGGUUUCUAGCACAGCAAGCAUCUUGUUGAUUCUGUCAGCAAUUUCUUCAGUUGAUGGUAUUCUUGGAGAGUGGAUGUCAUACACACCAGGGCCAAUUCCAGCACCAUACUUGACUCCCUCACGGAAGACAGACAGGAGCUUCUCAUCAGAACGAGAGUUCUCAAUGGUGAUCACAUCAGCAUCCAUGUCGAUAAUUGAGUGGAUAAUGUCGUUGAAGUUGGAGUAGCACAUGUGGGUGUGGAUCUGUCAAUCAAUAUACAAUAAGAUGAGACACAACAUCAACAGCUAAAUUAGAGAGAUGAGAUUGGAGAUUGAAAGGGCAACUGACCUGGGUAGUGUCCUGGACGCCACAGUUGGUGAUUCUGAAGGAGUGGACUGCCCAGUCCAAGUAGAAAGCAUGCUCAGAUUUCCUAAGAGGCAAUCCUUCCCUCAAGGCAGCCUCAUCAAUUUGAAUAACGUUAAUGCCUGCCUUCUCAAGAUCCUCGACUUCGUCCUUGAUGGCCAAAGCAAUCUGGUAGCAGGUUUCAUGUCUGCAAAAUUGGCAGCGAUUUAUGUUAAACAAUGUUUCCAUUUCAAAAGGUUAACCAAUAGUGAACCAGUUCUCAUUUAUAUACCUGGGCUGGUCAUUUCUAACAAAGGACCAGUUGAGAAUGGUGACAGGGCCAGUAAGCAUUCCUUUCAUUGGGCGAGCUGUCAUGCUCUGAGCCAAGGAGGACCAGAAGACGGUCAUAGCCUUGGGACGGCUCACAUCACCAUAGAUGAUGGGUGGCUUCACACAGCGAGAUCCAUAGGAUUGCACCCACCCAUUGGCAGUGAAGGCGAAACCUGAUAAUUGCUCUCCAAAGUACUCAACCAUGUCGUUCCUCUACAAAAACAAAUGUCCCAAUUCAAUAUGAGAUACAGCAUACUUCGUAUGCAAUUAGAAAUGCAGAAACAAAAAUGUAUAAAAUUUUAUCUAAUUCAAAACCAGGAGACAUUGCUUUGCUUCCAUUGGGCAUUGUGAAACUCACCUCAGGCUCUCCAUGGACAAGGACAUCAAUAUCAAGCUCUUCUUGGAGUUUGACAACCUUGUUGAUUUCCUCCUUGAUGGAAGCAACAUAUUCUUCCUCAGAAAUCCUAAAAAGGACAAAUAGUCACGGCACAGUUAAUACAGUAGUCGAAGUAAUUUCACACAUGGCAUUGAAUGAAGGAAAACCUCAGAUUGACUCACUUCUUAGCCUUGUAUUCACGGCGGACUCUCCUAAGUUCAAUGGUUUGUGGGAAGGAUCCAAUUGUGGUGGUUGGGAGGAUUGGAAGAUUGAGCUUCUUCUGUUGAGCAUCCAAUCUAGCACUAACGUUUGUAGCACGUCUGUGGUCUGAUCCCUUCAAAGCAGCAGCCUAAUUUACCAAGAGGAAGGAAUCACCGUUAGCAAAAAAAGGAAACUCUAAGGGGCAGCCACAUCAUAAAAAUGGAAAACAAAUCAAUCAUGCCACUUACAGCCUUUUGAACUCUCUCAUUGGUCACUCUCGGGGAGGACUUUCUUGAAGCCUGAGCUGCAGCAUUGGCAGAGAAGAAUCCCUGGAAACAAAUGAAAAGGAGAAACAAAGUUAGUCUCAUUCAUAUCAUUUCAAAAGGAAUAUACAUAUGCAAUUAGUGGGCUGAUUGUGAGAGAAAAUGUCCACAAAACUUUAACCAAACACCAAAUGCCCAAGUUGCCAAAUGAUGUUUAAUUCGGAAAAAUAUAUUUAGAAACAUUCAAAUAAAUAAUUUCCCCUUCUAAAUUUUCAUUUUCAACAACAUAUUUUACAAGCCAAGCUCAACUUCAGGCCAAGAUUUUCUGCUCCUAUAAUUAUAUUUUACCAUAAAACUAGGUCCUUGAAAGGCUAAGAUUUUCUGACUCUUGUGACUAGUCAAAGCCUAAGAUUCUUUCAAUUCAUCCGUAGCUAACAUUUUAGACUAAAAGUAUACCUCAUCCUUUUGGCCAGCCAAAGCCUUGGCCAAUGCAUUCACUUCAACAACUUUCUGGGCAGCAAAUGCCAGCCAUGACUUGAUUUCAUCGUCGAGUUUGUUCUCAUUAACAAGAUCAACAGCAGUGUGAAGAAGUGAGCAGGAGGUGGAGACCACAAGCUUGUCUGCAAAGAAAAAUAAUAAAUUAUACAACAAAUCCCAUAAAAGAAUAAGAAAUAUUUAUCACAAAGAAAAAUGCAGGCAAAGGAUGUAUACCUUUGCCAACAACACCCUCAAGCCCCCGGAGAACACUAAGAGAAGCAGCAAGAUCAUUGGCCCAAAUGUUCCUUCCAUCAACCACUCCAGCAAAGAGGUACUUGCCAGCAGGGAAUCCACUCUUGAUCAAUUCAAGGGUCUUCGUUCCACGAACCAAAUCAAAUCCAUAAGCGGUGACACCCUUCAAAGAAGUGAGGGUCUGGAAUGCCUCAGCUGGAACAUCAGCAAAGUAGGUCUCAACAAGAACAUUCAAGCCAGACAGAGUUGACUCUAGCUCGGCAUAAGCCUCACUGAAUGCAUGCAAUUUGUGUGAGUCAAGAUCCAUAACAAGCAAUGGCUCAUCAAACUGAAUCCAGGAAGCACCAGCAGCCUUAAGCUCAGAAAUAACUUCCCUGCAGAAGUGUUAAUUGGUACAACACAGAUUAAUGAUGUCACUCGAUAUAUACACACAGAGUUAUUUAGCACAUACACAUUUAUAAAUCAGUAAUAGGUGAUAAUUUCUUACUUGUAGAUUGGAAGGAUUUUCGGAAGAAGAGAAAGAAGAGAAAAGGUCUUCGCAACACCCUUGGCAGGCUUAGACAGCAACAAGUAUGACACAGGGCCAAUAAGCACUGGGACAGUUUCAACUCCAAGCUGCAGCAUUAGACAAGUGAUCGAUAUUAGCAUCUCACAAACUUGAUCUGAUUGAUAGAAAGUUACAAGCAAGUUCAGAAUUCGUUUAAUGAAAUCUCUAUGAAAAAUCUUCAGGGUCCACAAUGUGUUGAAAGUACCCUUUUCAAGUAAUUUAUCUUAAGACUAUUUUGCAAACAGUAUUGCUUUCCUUACAGAUCAAAUAAAUCAAACAACAUAUGAACACAUUUACUGAACCAAGUCUAAGUUCAAAGCUCUAUAAAUAAAUGUCAAUGAAUCUAUAGUAAAUUCUAUUGCAUCCUAAGCUAAAGAUGAGCAUAUCAUAUAAGAAUUUCAAGGUGAACGUAACCCAAUUUCAAUAUAUUGUAGAUUCAGAUAUCAAACGAAAUAAAAUUUGUAAAUAUAGACAGAACUGAGAAUAAACACUCACCCCCUUAGCCUCCUUGUACUCAGUCACAGCCUUGUGGGAAGCGUAGGAGAACUUAACAUCGGGUCCCAAUUCAGGAACAAUGAAAUGACUGCAUCAACACGAAGCCAAACACGCGUCAGCAUUCAGUACAAAACCAUUACACCAUAAAUAACUUGAAAUGCCGCUCUUCCAAGUAGUGAAUACUUACUAGUUGGUGUCGAACCACUUGGUCAUUUCCAUAGCGGGAACAGAGGCGUUUCCUCUGGCCAUGGAGAAGUAAACAUCAAAUCCAAUCUCGCCGCCGUUCCAGUUAUACCUCGGGGGCACGGCACCGAGCAUUGCGGUGGUGUCGAGCACUUGGUCGUAGUAGGAGAAAGUGUUGCUGGGAAUGUAUUUGAUCCCGGCCUGGGACAUCUGUUUCCAGAUGGAGGAUCUGAGAUCAGCGGACACCUUUUGCAAAUCCUCAGCGCUGCUCUUGCCAUCCCAGAAGGAUUCCAACGCGAACUUGAGCUCCCUCUUGGGGCCCAUGCGUGGGUAUCCAACGAUGUGAGAUGCCAUUUUACUGUCAUAAUCACGUCAUCAAUGAAUCGAAAAUCAGUCACUUUCAUUAAAUCAAGAAAAUAUUCAUUCAAAUGGAUGGGUCAUUGCUAUUACUGCUCAAAUCAAAUGAAAUCAAGAACACUUAUCAGAGCAUAAAAUCUUAAAUUAAUUUUUUUAUAAAAAAAUAAAAAACCAGUUGAAACAAGCUGAUAAUAAUCCAAGAGUUUGAGAUGAUUUUUUUCUUUCUGUAAUCACAUGAACAAUUAUGUACUUUCAGUCAUUUUUGAAGGAUUAAAACAAAAAAUUCUACAAAUAGAUUCUGAAAAGAAGAAUCUAAAAAUAGAUUCAAAAACAGUAACACAAGUAGAGUUCAAAUUGUUUUUCGGAAAAGAUUAAUUACAGAUCUGAUUGAUUCACGUUCAGAUCUAGCAAAAUCACGGCAGCCAAACACUAGAUCUAACACUAACAGUCACUCACCAGUCCAUUAGAAAAUGAAAUCAAGUUCAAAAUUCUUUUAAAGUUAAUUCUUUUUUAGAAAAUGACCAGAUUUUAGUUGAGUAUUAGUGAGUUUUUUACAAAAUAAUUUAUUUUUGUUUUUUAGAUCCAAAAGUUCGGAAAUCAAAACCAUGUUCAAUGCUUAUUCAUGAUUAACGGCGUAAAAACGCUACUGCAGAGAAGACAUAACGAAAAUGGGAACCGUACCAAACAGAGAAAGAAGAGCAGAGAAAUUGAGAGUCGAGAGGAGAGAGAGAAGAGAGCGGCGAGUUUGGGGGAGUGCCCUCUCCGUUAUUUAUAGCCAAAAAUCAAAUCUGGUUUGGUGGUUGCCUUUGGCGUGCCAACCUGUAGAUCUGAGAUUUUUCAUCUUAAUUUCUUUCUCUUAUUUAUUUAUUUAUUUAUUAUGAUUUUCAGUGCAGUUCAUAAAAUAUAGAGCUGACGCGCGCUUUUCUGAUGUGGCGCGUGAAUUGGAAAUGCGGUAGGUCUUUGUGGGCCCCACGGCACGGUCAGGACUGAAGGAAAAAUGUGAGAAGUUAUCAUAAUUUCAACAGUGCCAUAAUUAGCAAUUACACCACCAAAUAUUUCUUGAGUUUUUUUUUUUUGAUUGCUUUAAAUGCAGAGUUGUUAUGAAUUGUGUUAAUUGUAGAGUUGUUAUGAUUAGAUUACAUUAUAAUUCGUCACAAUUAUGAUAGGUAUGUACGUAUAUAAUAAUUUAUGAGUAAUGAUAUAACCACAAACUCUUAUACAAACUUAUUUUGUACAAAUUGAUGUGGCAUGAUAAAAUUAGUUGAAUUAAAUAUUACUUGAUCCACAUGAUUUGUUAUUAUUAUUUUAUAUUUUCAUUCAACCAAUGAAUUAAUGACACGUCAGUUUGUACAAGAUAAGUUUGUACAAGAGUUUAUGGUUGUAUCAUCACUCAUAAUUUAUAUAAGAUCUCGAAUAUUUAAAAAAUUUAUAAAUCAUUAUUUUCAUGUACAUUUACCUGGUAGCAAUGACAAUAACAUAAAAUAAACUCCAAACAAGAAUGGAUUAUAUUAUUUAUGUUAUUUUAUAGCUUUUUAAUUGAUUUUUAAAAGGAUUAAUUGUUAAUCAUUACUCUCCAACCGUAAUCACCAUUAAAUAUUUAUUUAAUUUAAUAGUCGGUAGAUCAUAAAUAAGAUUAGAAUAUUUAAUGGACAAUCUAAUUGCUACUACAAUUGUUAUCAUUUUUUUAAGGUAAGGGAUUAGACAAUACUCAAAUUUAUUUUUUAACCCCUUACUCCCUAAAGAUUCGAAUUUAACUAACUAAUUAAAUAAGACUGCUUAAAAACCACUCAACCACAUCUUUUGGGGACCAAUUAAUAUCGAUGUUUAAACUGAGGUUUAUUAUUAAAUUUUUUAAGUUUCAAGUUUCAACCGCUAACAACAUUAUCAUCGAUUAAUGAUAAAUAUAAUAAUAUUUCAUCAAAAAACCAUUUAACACAUCCAUCCAUAUUAAACAUAAGUAAAAAAUUUAUCAUGCAUUUCAAAUAUAUUUUUCAUCCUAAAAGUUAUGGAGAAAAUCUUGAUAUCAAAACUUACAAUGUAAUUAUGGGAUGUAAUUUUGCAUUUGAGGUCAGCACAACUUAAAAAUUACUAUGAAUGAAAAUUUAUAAUAAGCAGACACCACAAAAAAAAAUUAUUUAUAAGUAUUACAAUCAUGCAGUUUUAUUUAAGUAUUUAACCAAGUCAUUCAAUUUCUAAUUAAGACGGUAUAAAUUAGAUUUGGGCUGCCUAAGACCAAAAGUCAAAAAAAAAAAAAGAAUAUUCCUAAUAAGCAGCCUACCGCGGUCACGCGCCUUAAGAAACGCUUGGACUUAGCACACGAUUUUAAUCCAAAAUGUAUAAAAAAGGAAAAAUUUAUGAGGUGUAUAAUUAUCUUGAGUUGUUAUAUUUUGAAGAAACAAUGAAGAAAGUUGGUGGCCGAAGUUGAUCCGGGGCGAAUGGUGGUGGGCCCACGUUGUUGCAUUAUAAUUGGAGUUAUUGUAAUUUUUCUUAUAAUUAAUAAACUCCAUUUUUCAAAGAAAAUAAAUAAAUAAAUACACUCCCGAUUACGAAAAUAUCAUUUCAUGAGUGUCAAAGUUAGAGCUGGCAAAAUUUGACACGACCCGAUUACCUGACACGAACACGACAUAAAUAAAUAAGUAUGGAUCGUCAAAUUUAACACGAUUAUUAAAUGGGUCGGGUCUGGGUCAACACAAUUUUUUUCCGUGUCGGGUUUGGGUUAAAAUUCUUGACCCAUUUACCCGAUCAAUGACCCGAUUAUAUUUUCUAUUUUAAAAUAAUUUACAUAUUCUUAUAAUUAAAACUCAAAUAUUAGAGAUAUUUUUUUUAUUCUUUAAAAUGGUGAAUAUAAACACAGUGUUUUAUUUAUAAAAUUUUACAUACAUUUAGAGCUUCAAUAGUGUAAAUGUGUAAAAAUUGAUAGACAUGUAUAUUUUAUAAUAUUGAUAUAUAAUAUUAUAUAUAUAUAUAUAUAAUUAAAACCUCAAUAGUGUACAUGUGUAAUAUAUUGGUAGAUAUGUAUAUUUUAUAAUAUCGAUAAAUUAUGUAUGUAUGUAUUUAUGUACAUACGUAUGUAUGUAUUUAUGUAUAUACGUAUGUAUGUAUUUAUGUACAUACGUAUGUAUGAUAGUGUGUAAAUAUUUUAUGUAACUUUUGUUCAAUAUAUAGAUAUUAAACGGGUUAUUGGGUAACCCGAUUGUUUUUCCGUGUCGGGUUUGGGUCUCAAUAUUUUGACACGAUUAUUAAAUGGGUCGGGUUUGGGUCGACCUAAAUUUGACACGACACGACACGAACACGACCCGAUGACCCGUUUUGCCAGCUCUAGUCAAAGUGACCGUCACCUACGCAUCGCGUUUGUUGGGCGGGGUGGGUAAGGUGGGGCGAGGAGUUUGUUUGAUCGUCUGAUUACUUUGAUUUUGAUGAAACGUAUGGACGACGGCGAUGGCUUGCCAGCAAGUGGGUUUAUCAUGAUUUUGAUUGUAUUCGGGGAGAUGCUUAUGUAUAUCCUCAAAACUUCUUGGAAAUGAAAACCGCUGGGGUGGCAAAUCUUGACCAAUAAAGUGUGCGUGAUGUUGCGUUUAUAAAUUUCAAUAAUACUAUUGGCCGAUUGAGAUUAUUUUUAAAAAGUUUAAAAAUAAUUUUUAAAGGUUAAAUGUUAAUUUUAAUAUUGAAUAAAUUUUUAAAAAUUAUUUUUGAUAAAAUCAUUUUAUCCUCCAAUAAAUUUUAAAAAAUAGCGAUACAGUAAUUUUUUAAAAUCUAAUUUUAAUAAUCAAAACUAUUUUUUUAUAUAAUUUUAUAGAUAUCCGCAUAUAUAUAUUAUAAAAAUUCGAAAUCAUUAUUAUUAAUUAGGAAAUAAAAUCAUUAACUUUUAAGAAAUUAUUAUUAUUACCAAUUAUACUGACAUAACAAAAUAAAAAAUUAAUUAAUAUUAUAAAUAUUUAUUUCAGUUAUCAACUAUUAUAUAUACACAAUAAAAAAUAUUUUAUAUACAUAUUUAUAAAUGUAUAAAUAAUUUUUAUUCAAUAUUAUAUCGAAUUAAUCAUUUACAUUCUUGCAACAAGUUAACAAUAAAAUUUACCAAACACAUACGAUUGUUUUUAAAACUCAUAUUAUUUUUUUAAAAAAAAAUUACUAAACCUUUAACUGAUUCUCUUACAACUGAUUAUUUCUACAGUACAAUUAACAACAAUUAUUUUAAAAACUAUAACAUUUUCAAACUAGCCCCAUGACAAUAUUGUUAUUGUUGUUUUUCUUACUCUUAUCAAUAAAACUACGUUGCACAUAAGUGCAUAAAAAUUCACACAAAAUAAACUAUUUAACUUUAGGGUAUUAAUUGAAAAAAAAAAUCAGAUUAAGGUGAAUAAAUAUCAGAAAAUAACAAAUAGAUAAACUCUCACACUCUUUAAAAAAAUUAAUUUUAUAAUUUUAUUUAAAACCAACAGAUAUUACCAAACUUAACGGAUCAAUGUUCCAAUGUUUUCUUUUUAAUUUCAAAACCAACAGAUAUUCUUUGUUCAUUAUAUGACCUCCAAACAAAUAAUUUCAUUAAUAAAAUAAUAAUGAAAAGUAUCGUGGUGAGUACAGAGUAAUUCGGUGGCUAAUAAAAGUCUCUAUUUUUCGUCUCUGUUUUUCAUUUUAACUCUUGGGGUUGGUGCCACUUCGGCCUUGGUCGGAGUGGUGGGCUGCUGCCCUCACAAGUAUUGUGAGGACAGUGGUUCAAGCCCCCACAAAUAUUUUUGUGGGGGCUAACGUACUUAUUUAUUUAAUAUUUCAAAAAUUUCUUCUCCCUCGUGCAAUACGAGUGGAGUAUGGACAUCCCUCCUCUAUAAGGGAUUAUUUGUCUGGGCAUGUACUUCACAGAAUUCAAUGUAAUAAUAUAAGUCUCAAUCAUAUAUUUUUGAUUGUAAAUAUCAAUAUAAUAUAUCUGCUAUAAUAGCAGUUGUAAAUAUCUGUGUAAUGCAAUAAUAUGAUAAUUAAUCAUUAUUCAAAAAAAAAACUCUUGGGGUUGGUAGGCUCGUGAAUGGUCCACGUAACCUCUGGACGUAACACUCAAACAAAGACAGCACAAGGCACAUGAAAAAUGCCUAAAAACCGUAAAACCGUGACGUGUUCAACAUAUUAAUAAAUUUAUACUGUGUUUUCUUUUUUUUUUUAAUACUGUGUUGAUAAAGCACUUACGAUGGAACGACCAAUUCUAUUACUUGCAAAACUAAUUAAUAUUUCACUCUAUCAUCUAACUAAUGGAAGGCCAUCUUAAUUGAGGUUGCAAUAGUUAGAAAGUAGCGGGAAGGGUGGCCAAUGCUCCAUAUUAAUUUGCAUCAAUCCCUUUCUGGUGAAGAAGUACGGGUGAAGUAGAGGUCAAAGUUAGAAGAUGAAGGGUGUGUUUGGGAAUUGAGAGUGAGGUGCUGUAGUUUUUUAGCUGCAGUUGCUGUGAAAUAAAAGUUAUAACUGUGGAAUAGAAGUUGAGAAAAAAAAUUUGUUAAGCUGCCAAAGCCCAGUUACAAAUGUUACCAAACACCUUAGUAGCUAGGCUUUGGCAGCCCAUCUACCCCAUCACACUCCCAAACGGAUUAGAAGGGGACCGGGAUUGCUUUGUCAUAUUUGAAAAUGAUUUUGAAAAAAUAAAAAUUAAGUUCAGAAUUUGGUAAAUUCCUUUAAAAUUUCUUUUAGCAAAAUCACUCUCUCCUUUAGAUUUUGAAAAGUAUGGAAUGAGUAGUUUUUUAAAAUUUAAUUUUGAAAUUCGGAUUCAUAUUUAAUAUAAUACCAUAUAUCAUAACAUGUAUUAUAAAAAUCUAAAAUUAUCCUUAUUCAAUCAAUUAAGAAGUAAAAUCUUACAUUUAAAGAUAUUAUCAUUAUCAAUUAUAUUUAGAUAAUAAAAAAUACAAUUAAUAAAAUAAAAAUAUUUAUUUUAGUUAUCAAUUAUUAUAUAUAUACAUAAAAUGUAAUUAUAUAAACAUAUUUAUAAAUGUAUGUGUAAAUUAAAUUUGUAGAUUUAUGUUUAUAUAGAUCAUUUGCAUUCUUAUCACAUUUUAAAAGUGAGAUUUAUUAAAUAUAUAUAUGAUUAUUUUUAAAAUUUACAGCACUUUUUAAAACAAAAGUAUCAAAAGUUUAAUUGAUUCCUUAUUUUUACUGUACAACUAACAGUAAGAUGUGUUUGGUUCAAGUAUAAAAUGAUGGGAUUGGACAAUUUUAAGAUUAAAUAAUCCUAAUGCAAUGUUUGGUACCAAAAAUAAUUGUGGGAUAAAAAUAGUGGACCCCACCAUUUAAUCCAACACAAUGUCAAAAUUUUAUCACAAAGGGGGGUGUGGGAUAAGCUAAAACUUAAACGUAGGAUAACAAAAAAAAAGCCCAAAAUUUUAUACAACACAGUGAUUUUUUUUUUUUUUUGAGUAUGUCAUCAUCCAAUGAUAGUAUAUAUGCCAGAACACUCUUUUGACGUUAAUGAUAUGUAAUAUUUUCAUAUAUACAGCUAGUGACAUUGUUAUGUAAUUUCUUUUUCAUUUAUAGAUUUAUAUUAUUAUUAUAUUUGUUGAUGAUAUUCUUGUUAUGUUUAUAAUUAUAUUAUUUAGUAAUUUAUAAGUUUAAAAACUAUAACAUGUUAAAUAUAAGAAAAACUUUAAGCGAAGAUUUUGUAUUUUUUAACAAAUUUACCAAUAAUUUUUUAUUUAAGUUAGAUUAUAUUCCAUGUCAUUUUAAAAUAAAUCUAAGAUAAUUUUGAUAAAUUAAUAAAUAAGACAUAUUAUUAGUUACUAACCAAUUUCAUGGCAUACCAAACAUGAGAUAUGAUUAUUUACAGUCUAAUCCAACAUUGCACCAAACGUAAUAGAGUAUUAUAUAUAAUCCAAUGUUAUCAAAUCCAAUCAUAUCUUAUCCAAUCCGAUCCGAUCCAGUCUAAUCCAAUUUGACAUACCAAACAAGCCCUAAUUAUGUUAAAAACUACAUCAUUACCAAACUGACCCUUAAUACAAUCUCAUACAUACAUACAUAUAUAUAUAUAUAUUAAAAAUUAAAAAUUAUCUUUAUUUAGUUAGGAAAUAAAACCAUUAUAUUUAAAUAGAUUAAUAUUAUUACUAAUUAUAUUCAGAUAACAAAAUUAAUAAAAUAAAAAUAUUUGUUUGAUUUAUCAAUUAUUAUACACACAUAUUUAUAAAUGCAUGCGUAAAUAAAAUUUUAUAGAUUUAGGCCAAGGCGGAUGUACGGUACAGCAGUAUCUUUAUUUAGUUAGGAAAUAAAACCAUUAUAUUUAAAUAGAUUAAUAUUAUUACUAAUUAUAUUCAGAUAACAAAAUUAAUAAAAUAAAAAUAUUUGUUUGAUUUAUCAAUUAUUAUACACACAUAUUUAUAAAUGCAUGCGUAAAUAAAAUUUUAUAGAUUUAUGUCUAUUUAAAUCAUUUGCAUUCUUAUAACAUUUUAAAAAAAGAAAAGAAAAGUGAUUUACCAAAUACAUGUAAUUGUUCUUCAAACUUACAACACUUUUAAAAUAGAAUUUAAUAAAUGUUUAAUUAAUUUUUUCACAGCUGAUUAUUUUUAUGGUAUAACUAACAAUAAUCUAUAAACUUAUGGUAAAUAUUUGUGUGAAUGUUGGUCCAUGUAAAGAAGUAAAAACAACGCAUAUAUCAAGCAAUAAGAUAUCAAAACUCUUAGUAAAAUACAUAUACUAAUGAAAGAAUGACAGCAAUGCAAUAAAUAAGAUUAUAAUAUAAAUUAUUAAAAUUGUAUAUUAAAAAUUGAUGUAUGAAAUUCUUUUUAUUUUAGUGAUAGAUAAUGUGAUAUAUUUGAAUAAUUUGAUUAAAUGAAAAGAAAAAUAACAAGUAUGGUUGUGGAGGAAAUAAACCAUUGAACUGUGGAAUGUUAUUAAUUAUUGCUAUUUCAUUAUGUAACGUCCUGAUAAUAAGUACAGUGUUAUAGUAUAUUGAUGGGUGGUGAUAUUGUCACCCCUUAAAUUGUGUAAAGUCAACCUCAUUUACAAAUUUUUUGAUAUAAAUUAAAAAGUACAUUAGUUUUAAUAAAUUAUAUAUUUAUUGAAUAAACUAGAACCGUUAGGGAGCUGUAAUGUUAGCACUGUUUUAACUUAUUAUAAAAAAAAAAGUUAUGAUUUGAUCAUAACUCUAAUUUAGAAAAGAAAAAAGAGUUGAAUUGCUAACAUACUUAAAAAUAAAAUAAAAACAUUAUUAUUAGAUGAAAAAUUGUAAAACUUAAGGGGGCAUUUGCAAGUCCGCCACUACUCAAUAGAGCAUUAUUCAGUACUCGUUAAUAUAUCUCGAACUUUUAGGUUUUUUUAAUAUAUUUUUAAUACAUUUUCUAGAACAUUUAGAUAAAAAGAGUCAGUACUCCAAUUGAGUUGUGAAUAAACAUUUAGAUAAAAAGAGUCAAUACUCCAAUUGAGUUGUGAAUAAACUCAUGUUAAAAAAAAAAAAACUCAUUUUCACACUUGAAACGAUUAGUAAAUGGGUGAUACGAAUUUAACUUGGUCAAUAAUAUAUACCAUCUUAAGUUAACUUCAACUCAUUGAUCUUCUAUAGGGUUGAUCAGCCUGCCACAAGGCCCACAAAUUAUCACCUCUAAUGCUUUUGCAACAGUCGUUAUAAAUGCUGACAAAAUGAAACUUCUAUAUAUUUUGGUUUUUUUUUAUUUCUAUGAAAUAUAAGGCCCUUAUGGCAAAUUUCCAUCCAGCGUGAAAUUUGCUAGUUUGGCCUUGGUACUGUGGCACAUGCGUCAUGCAUGCGUGGCUGAGAUGCUUCUAAAACUAAUAAAUUAUGAAGAAUUCCAAAUUCGUACCAAAAAUAAGAGAAUAGGAGCUUGUCAUAGGUGUCCGCGGAUCGGAUUUUAUGGGUUAAACAUUAAUUCAUAUUUGAUUCGUGAUUUUGUAGAUUAUAAAUUUUUAAUUUAAUUCAAUUUAUGGAUUAGUGAAACUCAAUACAAAUUCAAUCCAUAUAUAUGCAAAUUAGAUGCGGAUUUAACCCAAUGCAUAUUCAAUCCAUCAUUUGGCGGAUUGAUUUGCAAAUUAAAAGUUUUUAAUUUUGUCCAAUCUAAAAAGUAAUUAAAUUAAAAAAAUCUAAUAUAUAAAUAAUUGAUUAAAUAAAAAAAUCUAAUGUAAAAAUAAUUUUACUACCAAUUAAAUUCAAAAUUGAACAAGAUUUAAAUAAAUUUAGAAUAAUACAUUCAAAAUUUUAAAAUAUAACACACCGAAAAAAAAAUUCAUUUAUUUAGAUCAAUACAUGAAAAUUAACUAAAAUUAUGAAUUUAAAUGUUGAAACUUGAAAGCUUGGAUGUAACAGGAAGAAUUUAAGAAACUUGAAGAGCUUGAAAAGAAAGUAAGAAAUUAAGUUUAAUUACCUCAAGUGGUGAAGUGAAACAGUGAUUGGCUUGUGCGUGCGGUGGGAUAGAGAUUUGGUGUUAUAUGUCAAAAUAUUUUGUUUGGCUUGGGGUUUUUGUUUUGCUUUAGAAAUUUUAAUGUUUAGGAAACUAUAUUUGCUUAUUUAAUUAUUUCUUAUUUUAUAUUGUUAUCGAAUAAAAUAUAAUAUUUUGUUAAUUUAGCUAUAAUUUUAUGCUGAAUAUAUUUAUUUAAAACGAUUUUAUUAAAUAAAUGUGCAUAUUUAACGAAGGUCUCUGAAAUUUCAACCUGCCUGCUAAUGAUAGCCAAUACGGCACGACCCACCAAAUGUCGGCCCACGCGGGCUUGUGGGCCAUGACGACUUUUUUUGUAAGGGCCCGGCACGGCCCACGGCACGAGUCCGUGCCCAAAAAAAGCCCACCUACCUUUUUUUUUUUUGUCCACAUGUUCAGCGUGCCUAAAAAAACCCACGUGCCUGACGUGCUUUUUUAAGCCCACCAGCCUAAUAGUAACAACAACAACAACAAUAAUAAUAAUUUCAUAGAAAUAAUUAAUGAAAAAUAAAAUAACAAUUCUAGAAUAACAAUUACAUCUAAUUUUAUUUGAACAACUAAUAUUAUAAUUGCACAUAAACUCUAUUGAAUGAAAAUGUAAUUUUUAAUUUAUUAUAAAAAUAUUUUGUUCAUAAUUUUAUUUUUUUGUGCGUAAAUAUGAAAAAUAUUUCAUUCACAAAUGAAACAUAUCUCCAUUAACUAUUAACUAAGUUAUGAUUUCAUAAAUGAAAUAUUAAUGUCGUAAAAUUUUUUAUUUAUCAUUUAUAAAAUCAUGAUAUUUAUUUAUCCAUUUAAUAAAUUAUAAACAUAAAAAAAUUAGAAUACUUAUUUAAACUAGGACUUAAAUUAAUUUUAAAAAGCCUAUACUAAAAAAAUAUAUUAAAAUUUUUAAUUUCAAGGUAUUUAUAAAAUCAUGAUAUUUUAUAUUUAUUUUUCAUUAAAAAAUUUUAUUUUGAUAUACUUUGGCCCACGUGCUAUUGGUGGCCCACGGGCCGCGUGCUUAGCCCACCAAUAAAGUGUGCUUAUUACAUGCCUUUUCGCGUGCCGUGUUUUGCCCCAUCUCUAAUCAUACCGUGCUUUUAAGGCCUGCGUGCCUAAAAUUCUAGGCCCGCCAGCCGUGCCGUGCCGUGCCGUGCCUCGUGCCGCCUGGCCCAUUGGCCAUCCCUACUGCCCGCCAACCACAUUUGUCCAAGAUCAAUUUGUAGGAAAAAAAUUUGAAAAUCAAUAAUUUAUUUAAUUAAUUGUUAAUGUAGGCAUUUGAAUCCCCACAAAAUCUGGGUGUCAGUUCUAGACUUCUGGUGAUAUAUUUUUCUAAUUAAGGAAUAAAAUAUUUUUGUCAUUUUUUUAAUAUUUUAAUUUACCAGGCAUAUCAACUAAUUAAUUUUUCUACUUAGACUAUUAAUUCAUUACGUGCGCAAUCUGUAGCCCGGCGCUCCAAUCCCAUGCAUGUUACACACAACUCAAUCAUUAUUUAUUUAUUUAUUUAUUUUGACCAACAACUCAAUGUUUUUUAUAGAGCUGUCAAAAUUUGACACGACCCGAUUACCCGACACGAACACGACAUAAAUAAAUGGGUAUGGGUCGUCAAAUUUAACACGAUUAUUAAAUGGGUCGGGUCCGGGUCAACACGAUUUUUUUCCGUGUCGGGUUUUGGGUUAAAAUUCUUGACCCAUUUACCCGAUCAAUGACCCGAUUAUAUUUUCUAUUUUAAAAUAAUUUACAUAUUCUUAUAAUUAAAACUCAAAUAUUAGAGAUGAUUUUCUUUUUUUUUAUUCUUUAAAAGGGUGAUAUAUUUUAUAAUAUCGAUAAAUUAUGUAUGUAUGUAUUUAUGUACAUACGUAUGUAUGAUAGUGUGGAAAUAUUUUAUGUAACUUUUGUUCAAUAUAUAGAUAUUAAACGGGUUAUUGGGUAACCCGAUUAUUUUUCCGUGUCGGGUUUGGGUCUCAAUAUUUUGACACGAUUAUUAAAUGGGUCGGGUUUGGGUCGACCUAAAUUUGACACGACACGAAACUGACACGACAUGAACACGACCCGAUGACCCGUUUUGCCAGCUCUAGUUUUUUAAUAUGAAAAGGUAUUGGUUAGCUUUGUCUUUAGUUUUUUCAACUUAUAAUAAGUUUGUAUUAAGGCUCCCUUUGGUACAGAUUUUCAAGUAAAACUUAUUUAGGGUUAUUUUUAGGGACCUCCCCUGAGGUUUGGUGUAUUAACAAUCUGAUAGAAAGUAUUCACGUAAUUACAAAGACCUCCCCUGACAUUUGUAUUAUGUUAAGUGGACUGUUAUUGACUAUUGAAAAUCCAAAAAUACCCUUCCUGCCAAAAUAUUUCUUUAUUCACUGAUGAACUGAUGGGUAAUUCGUGCCAAAAUCACAAAUUACUUAAGAAGAUGAAAAUAUCCAUUGGAUAAAAAAAAUGAAAUUGCUUAAUAAAAAAAUUGACAUUGCAUAAUAAUAAAAAAAAUUGAAAUAAUGUGCGGCGGCAUAGCUGCAUCUUGCAUGCAUAUUAUUAUUGUGAUUUUUUUAUUACAAACUCCAUCCUGCAUGCUUAUUAUUAUUGUGAUUUUUUUUAUUACAAACUACUUCAUAACUAAUACAUGCCACAAGAGCAGAGCUAUUAAAAGAAAUGAUUUUCAUAUUGUAAACUUGAUAGUACAGGUGUUGGCACCGACCAUAAAACCCUUAUGAUACCAAUCUUUGCUCCAUCCAUAUUUAAAUCCAGAUCAAGUAAAUAUUAAAUUGGAUUUCAGGUCCUGAAAAUCCCACUCUAUAAUUGAUAUCUUCGAGUUUUGUUGGUGCCUCAAACCUGGAUCUAGAGCAUCAUCUCUGUCAUACUCGGAACACCUAAACUAAUGGACUUGCUGCAGCUGCUUAUUCUUCUUCUGAAAUGAUGCACGCAGAUAGAUUACAGACUUUGAAAUAAGAAAUACAAUAAACAACAUGUAAUCGAACUUAAGAUUUCGGCAAACUUGUUUGAAAAUUAGAAUCAAACAAGGAAAAUGGCAAGUCAAUAUUUUUUAAUCUAGAAAAAGGGCAAUUUCAAAGUUUAUCACAUGCCAAAUUCAUAGUCUUGCAUCCACUAUUUUCUAGUUUGAAUAACAAACAAAAGCCUUAGACAAAAACACAGAGAACAUCUCACAUGGGAGCAAAAAUUGUGUGUAGAACAAUAUACUUAAGUUACAUGUGAUUACAAUCACAUUAUUUAGCAAAUACAAAAUUACCUUCUCAAAAAAAAAAAAAAAAAAAAAAACACCACCAAAUUAUUGAAGGUAUUACAACAAUAAGGCAAAAGAACACCAAAGGCAUGCACAAACCGAAACUAACACACAACUCAAUUAGUGUCAUGACCCCAAACUGAACAAUCAUAUAAACCAUUGUGGGCUCUCUAAAAGAUUAUCACAUUAUAAGCAAACAGAAACCUAUAUUUGAUGAACUACAUCUAGUACUUACACAACUCUUAAAUCAUUAGGAAAUUGCUCUUAUCAGUCAUUACCCAAUAGUUUUUUUCAACUCAACACUAACAACCCCAAAGAGAAACAACAUCCAGCACCAUUUUCAUUAAUUAAAACAGACCCAUUGUUAUUUUUAAUCAAUAAAAUAACAACAAUAUCGUGUAAGCCACUGAUUCAAGCAUUCAAGCUGUGUUUUCGAAGACUGACCUCUUCUUGCUAUCUAAUUCCAGUCACGAUAGACGCUAGAUGCCGGCAAUACUCGCUUCUUGGAAGCUCUGGACCACCGCACGACGUCAUCUUGUGCAGUAGAUGAAAAUAAAUCAAUGAUUUCAGAAAUUAUUUGUGAGUUGCAGACGCUUCUUCUCCAUGGAUGAAAAUGAUGGUGGGUUUUGUUCAAGUGUAAGCUGUGUUUACGAGGAGAAGUACACUUUGUGAAAAAAUCAUUUUCUUUCAUCUACUGGAUAAUGACUUUGGACUGGGUAAUGGUGUGUUUAAGUCUCUAUUUCACGGACAUUGAAGCAUAUUUUGCUUGAAUUUUGAUUUUGUUUAAAUUUCAAGUUUACUUUUACUUGUUUACCCUUUUAUACUGACGCUUAUGUAUUUUUAUACUAACGUUAAGGGAGGUCUUUGUAAUUAUAUGAAUACUUUCUAUCAGACUGUUAAUACAACAAACCUCAGGGGAGGUCCCUAAAAAUAACCCAACUUAUUUAAAUAGAACUUUUACAAAAAAAAAUUUAGUUAUUUGGUUGUCAAUAAACUUUUCAAGUAUACUUUGUUUGGUACAGCUUUUCAAGUAAAACUUAUUUAAGUAGAGCUUUUACAAAAAAAAAAAAAUUAGUUGUUUGGUUGUCAAUAAAAAUUUUUAUUAAAAAAAAUAUGAAAUUACUUUAUUAGUCAAGUUUUUUUAAAGUUAUGCUAUGAAAAGAAUAAAAUAAGAUUGUCAAAUAAAUAGAAAAUAUUUUAAAUAUUUUAACAUUUAAAAAAACUUUUUAACCUUUAUUUUCAAAAAUCUAAAAUUUAAACUUUUACUAGUAAAGGCAAAAUAAUUUAUUUAAACUUCAAAAGCUUUAUUAGAAAAAUAAUCAAACAAUAACAAAAAUUAUUAUAAAAGCUUAUCGAAUUAAAUAAGUACUUAUAGUUAUUAAAGAAGUUAUAUCUAACAGACACUAAUGCCGAAAGCCCCUUCUAAUUGUGGGUGUAAAAGUUUGAAUUAUGCAUACGGUUAAGGAGUUAAGGUGUGUUUGGCAACUGCAUUAAGUGGAAAUUUUUAUUUUGUUUCGAAUAAAAAUACAGCAAGCUCGUGUUCGGCUCAAAAUAAUGGAACGUUUAAUUUGCAACCGUCGGCGGACGAAGCACACCGUUCACGGCCCUUCGUAUAAAAUUGCAUAUGUAAACGUAAAUAGGUCCGGAUUCAGAUUCGUUGCUGUAGAGAGUGGCACGCACGAUCGGGCUGCUGUCGGUGGUAGGUUGGCAUUGGAAUUCUCAUCACGCGCUUCCCCAGGCGCCUACUUAUGGCAAAUUGACACGUGACGCGUGUGGAUUGAAUGGACAGAGUCCCGGGCAGUGUGUCCAAAGCUGCCAACCGUGCUCUGAUUUUUGUCAUCCAUAAUGGCUAACGACUAACGAGGGAGAUUUCCGGGCAGAAAGAAAUUGUUGUCGUUUCUGAAGGGGAAAAAAAAGUUAUUUAAUUUGUUGUUGAAGACAAAAUGAAGAUCUAAAUAAAUAAUGGCUAAUUUUGAGUGUAAAGCAACGGUAAAUGCAUUAUUAAAUUAGAUUUAGGGUCUGAUUGAGAUUAUUUUUAGAUUUAAAAUUAAUUUUGAAAAGUUAAAAUUAAUUUUGAUGUUUAUUAAUUUUUAUUAAAAAUUAUUUUUGUCAAAAUCUCUCAUCCUCCAGCAUAUUAUAAAAAAUAAGGAAGAAAUAAUUUUUUAAAAUUUAAUUUUAAGAAUCAGUUUUAUACUUAAUAUAAUCCACAUAUAUCCUCGUAAAUAUUAUAAAAAUUUAAAAUUAUUCUUAUUUAUUUAGGAUAUAAAAUUAUUAAAUUCAAACAUAUUAUUAUUAUUAUUAUUAUUGUUAUUAUUAUUAUUAUUAUUAUAAAUUCACACACGCACACACAUACUUAUAAAUUUAUAAAUAAACUUUAUUUAACAUUUUGUUCACUUAAAUCAUUUAUAUUCUUAUAGCAGUUUAACAUUAUGAUUUACCAAACACAGAUAAUUAUUUUUAAAAUCCAUAAUAUUUUUUAAAAUAAAUUUUAAUAAAUGUUUAACUUAUUAUUCUGACAACUGAUUUUUUUUGUAAGGUAUAACCAUUAAUAAUAAAUAUUUUAAAAGUUACAGUAUCCCCAAAUUGGCCCUUACUAAUACUCUGCGUUGCCAACUAAAUACUAAUUGUAACAUUAAACAUCUGGAAUAUUUUUCUCUAACGAAACAACACAAUUAAUUUCCCUCUAAAAAAGAAAAAGAAAAAGAAAAAAUAAACUACCAACCCCACCCCUUUAGACAGCAGAGUUUUAGCUGAGGCGGCUUGCUUGCAUAAGCAUUAAGGCUGCUCUUCACCAACCAUUGAACAUUCUUUCCAUUUGAUUGUUACACUUUACUUCGCCAUCUCAUGUCCAUGUACAUUGUUUUGAAAUGAAGACUUUGCGUACAACUAAUCUUUUUCAAUUCAUAAUAAAAACUCUUUUAAUUAGUUAAUAGCUAUAGCUUCCAAUUGAGACUAUAUAUAAAAAUCCAUAUUGACUGACCAAACCAAUAAUUUUUAAUUGGCUUGAGCAUUGUCUUACUUACUUCAAAAUCGUCACUCUCUUUGAAAAGAACAUGAGAGAGUUCACCUCCAUCUCAACCCUUAACCCUAUAUCUCAGUCAAGAGAUUAUUCAUGGAAAAUUCAGAAAAAAGAAAUGUUGCAAUAUUUACGAAACUCACGUCACGUGAGGUAAGAUAAAUUAUUCCUUUCUGCUUUAAUUCAUGUACAUAAUCAUGAGAAUAACUUUAAUUAUAGUUUAUUUCUCCGUUUUAAGAUUUUUCCUUUUUUUUUUUUAAUUAAUUAAUUAUAGUUCAUUCAUUAAUCCCAUAAGAAAUUAACACCUUUGCCGGUAAAGUCACACAUACAACAAUAUUUUAGAACAAAAGGGAAGAUCAUGCACGAUCAUGAUGUUUUAUUAUAUCUCUAGCAAUAUAAUUAUCUUAUAAUUAAUUAAAAACAAAACAGGUAAUUAAGCCAAAGUGGAUGGCAUGCAUCAAUCAUCAUGCAGAACACCUCCCCUUGUUUUAAAUAUAAAUAAAAGAAAUUUGUGCCCAGAAGACUUAAUUAAUACUUCUCGUUUCUGAAGUGCUCACAUGAUAUAUAGUCGGACGCAUUAUAUUUAAUUUCAUGAAUUAAUCGUACGGUUGUAUUUUGAGAGAGAGAGAGAGAGAGAGAGUGACUGAGUAAGAUAUGGCUUAAUUUAACCAAAUCUACGUAUAAAAUUUUAAAAUGAAUUUUUGAGUUUUAACUUAGGAAUUGUCUAUGAAUAAAAGUGUUAAUCAAAUAUUUCGUGUAAAAACAGUCAGCUGUAACAUUUUCGGUUGCUUUAACAAAACUGUAUAUUUCUGUAAUUUCCUAUAUGGGCCAAAAGGAACAUUUUUCUCAGAAAUUAAAAACUUAUGGUGAAAAAGAUAAGAAAACCAACAGGUUCAAAGGUGCGAGUAAACUGGGCUCUGGUGCGCCCAACUCCCUCUUUUGAUUUUGAGACUCUAUUGACCAUUGAGUUUGAGGCCCCAACGGCCCAGUUUAAAACUGUUAUGAAAAGAAAAAAAAUAUAACUAUAAAAUUAAAAUUAAUAAUGUUUGAUAAAUAUAAUUUUUAAAUAAUAAUUUGACAAAAAUAAUAUAGGGUCUUGUGUAUAUUUUUAUUUGGCAUUUCAAUUAAUCUGCUUAUAUAUAUAUAUAUAUAAGUUAAUCUAUAUUUCUUGCAAGAAGAUAGUAUUUCUUUAAUUAAAGUCAUAACUAAUAUAUAAAUUAUCAACUAACCAUCAAACAUUUAUCUCAUUUUAUCUCCACCACGAUCAUCACCAUUCAUCCUGUCACGAUCUUUAUGUAACUACAAUUAUUUUUUCUUUAAUAAUGUCAACCCACCAACCCCAUAACAAUAUCUCCAAACAUCUCAUCUCAAAAUUCCUAAUAACAUAAGUGUUUAUGUAUGAAAGAAAAUGUGAAAUAUAUAAUCAAAAAGUAGUUUAAUAAUAUAAUGUUUAAAAAUUAUGGUAAAAAUAAGUGAGAGUUUGGCAUGGCAAGUUAAUAAAAAGAUAAAAGCUCGGACACUUGAUGCAUCAAAGUAGCAAUGUCUGUCCAUCAUUAUCAUCAUGCGGGUUUAGGUGCUUCUCAUGAUAGCAUUAGCUGGUAAGACCAUCAUGCAUCGUACUUUCAUUGUUAUACAUUUUGAAGGUAAGAAUGGUUAUGUUACGUCCCUCCGAUUAGGUGUAUUUUUCUUCUUCUUCUUCUUCUUUUUCUUCUUCUUGUACGUAAUAAUUUCUCUUUCUUCCAUGAAGAUUUCUUUCUCUCUUUCUUUUUUUUUUUUUUAUUAUAAAUAAAAUGAUAAGAACUAAUUUCCUUACUAAUUGGUAGGGUCGUUUAAUGGUUCAGAUCCAUUAGAUUUUGUCAAAUUCAAGUCCAAUCCAUCAUAUAUUCCAUUUUAUAUUCCGGAUCCGAUCACUAAUAGAAAUCCAUUAUAAUUUAAAACAAUAAAACGUCGAAUCCAAUUUAAUUCGAUAUGAUCAAUCCAAUUAAAAUAAAAAUUUACAAAUAAAAAUCAUUAGUUGCUCUCUCCAGUUAUAAUUCUUAACAAUUAAAAAAAAUACAAAAUAUCAACUCCUUUAAUAUUUCAUGAUUCAUGUACUUUAUUAUCAUAUGGUUGGAAAAAAAAGUUGAAAUUUGAAUAUUAAAAGCAAAUGUUGGUUGCGACCUGCUGUUUGUAUUCUAUAUUGUUAUAGUAUAUUUAUAGUUAUUUUUUUAGCAAGUUAAAUAUAAAAGUGACAUAUAGUUUUUUUUUAUAAAAAAAAAUAAAUAAAGAAAAUAAAAAAUUAAUUGGUUGGAUUGGUUUAUAUUGGAUUUGAACAUAUAGAUCCAUAGACCAAUCUAAUAACAUUAUAUUUUUUAUUUUGCAAUCUUAUCCAAUCCAAUCAAAAUGUCAAUAUGACAAAAGUUGGAUUGGUUUUGAUCAGAUCGAUUGGUUUGAUUGGAUUGAAUUGAAUUAGAUCUUGAACAUCCUACCAAUUAGACUUUCCGUGAUUUUUUUUUUUCCAAAUUUAAUAAAGAGACUUCCCAUGAAUGUUAAAUGCAGUUUUAUUGAUGAAUUCUGCAAUUUUAAGAAAUGUUUGAUACACGAAUAAUGCAUCUCAUCAACCAAGUAACUGCGUCCCCUGCAGCAGCCGCGGCUUCAACUGGAAUACUGCAGCCACACCGGUCUUGAGACUCAACAUUCGGCCGAAACUCAAGCAAAAGUUGAACAAUAUCAGGCCUGCUUUGAGCUAUAGCAAUAUGAAGCAAUGUUUGUCCCUGCGCACCAGCAGAAUCAGCUGGGUGGGUUCCAAGCAGGGUCACUCUGUUCAAGAACCUCUCUUAUCUCAUCCAUUUCACCAUCCUUAACUAGCUGAACCACAACAUGGGACCCAACAAACAUGAUCUUGAUUCCUAUUGAUGAACGCUGGCUUCUUCCUUCUUGUGAACCAGUCACCAGGAACCGAAUCAAGCAUCAAUGUUGCAUCUUUAAUUGCAGCUGCAGGAACGACAACGCUAUGCAAGAGGAAGGAAUCAUCACAGUGAGGGAAAGUAUGAAGGAGAACUGAUCCUGGAGGAAGAUGAUACGCAAUCUCUAUGCUUACUGUUCCGAGUGGUUGCAUUGACCUGAAUAGUUCGAUCUAUUUCUCGUGUAUCUACUUGCGCUGCACUUUCACUCGAAGAACCUACAAAAUUAUUCAUAACCCGGCAUAAAAAAGACGUAAAGUUUUCAGCGCGAGCAUGGUAACUUCAAAACCCGUUUCAUACCUAUCAUAUUUCAUUCGUCCCGCACCCUCAUUUAAAAGACUAGAGCUUAUAAAAACUAGAAGUACCUUACCCAGAACAUAAAAGCAGACAAAACCCAGUCGAGUAUAAAUAUAACGUUGAAUAACACCUACCAUUUACCAUUUCAUUCAAGAACACCACACAAUUAACGAAACCAACAUCGGUAUGUUUUCAGCCGUUGUACUUUCAACUUAAUUUUGAAAGCGCGGCAGCUAAAGCCUAAACUGUUGUUUGAUAAAAGUCCACCCACUGACUGCUACCUGGCGGCUACCGAUUCCAUUCAAUAGCAGUCAUAAAAUAAAAAGUACAAAACAAACCUAUGUACAAAAAAGGCAAUGAAGCAGCCAUGGAUUCAGUUAUUUGCAUGUUUGGGAUUGUGGUUGAUUCCAAAUUGAGAAUAUACUGCGAAAUUAUGUUUGAUAAGCAUUUAUCUGAUGAUUGCUACUUUAUUGAGUGCCUGUUUGGUAUGGCUUAUUUAAAAGCCAUAAGUGCUUAUUUAAUCGUAUAAGCACUUUUUUAAAAUUUUUAUGGUGUUUGGUUAUUUUUUUAGUAGAGUUUUUUUAGCUUAAAUAAGCUAAUUUACCUCUACUAGCAAAAGCCCAAAAUUUGAGCUUUUGGGAGUAGAGGUUAAAGAGCUUAUCUAAAAAAUAUAUAAUAAAAAAAAUAUCAUACAGUUUAAUGAUUCAAAAGUGUUUUUUUUAUUGACAACCAAACACCCAAUGACUUUUUGUCCAAAAACUCUAUUGGUAUAAGCUCUACUGCUAUAAGCUCUAUUGUUAUAAGCUCUAUUUAAUAAGCUGUACCAAACGGAGCCUAAAGCAUUCAUUUUUUUUUUUCGCGUUUGGCCUCUUCACUUUUUAAAAAAUUUUAUGGUGUUUGGUUAUUUUUUUAGUAGAGUUUUUUUAGCUUAAAUAAGCUAAUUUACCUCUACUAGCAAAAGCCCAAAAUUUGAGCUUUUGGGAGUAGAGGUUAAAGAGCUUAUCUAAAAAAUAUAUAAUAAAAAAAAUAUCAUACAGUUUAAUGAUUCAAAAGUGUUUUUUUUAUUGACAACCAAACACCCAAUGACUUUUUGUCCAAAAACUCUAUUGGUAUAAGCUCUAUUGUUAUAAGCUCUAUUUAAUAAGCUGUACCAAACGGAGCCUGAGUCUUCAAAGAAAAACUCAAUCAACUAAUGCUCGAUUUUUUUUUUUAAAUGACAAAUCAAAAAGUAUUUUGGAGUAGAUUCUCAAAAGAGUGAUUAUUUGAUAAUCCACCAUAAUCCCACUUAGUUAUCAGAAAUAAAUUAAAAUCCGACGAAUGUUACUUAAGCCAAACAGCAUUAUUUUAUUUUGACCACAAGGACCACAACCCUCAAGCUGUCAAGCAACCGUUACCGUUAACGACCAAUCUUUCACCUCUCCGAAUCUUUGCAAGUCACUAUCAAGCAACCGUUACUAAUAUUUAAUCAAUUAUUAGGAUUAUUGGAUUUCUCAAAUACCUUAUGUACUUUGGUUCACUUUCUACUAAAAUAAAUAUUACAGGAGCUUUCAAAGUCUAGGCUAAGGUUGUUGUAAACAUAGAGAGAUUCAGAGAUAUAACAGCUUGUAAUUACAUACCACAAAGCAUAACUUUGUUCGAAUGAUAAUGAUCAUAAUCCAGAUUAUAGACGUAGAGAGAGGAGAAGUCGUACUUGAGGGGCAAAACGCGGCGUUUUGGCUCGUGGAUGAGGUGCUGCUCCUGAUCGUCGUAGAUUGAAGGGAGGAGAGGUCGGUCGAGGAAGUUUAGGAGACGGUGGAGGCUGAAUUGGUGAAUUUCGAUGAAGACUGACGAAUCCAAUGGGGCUUGAGGGUUUGAUUUGCAAAGAUGAAAGAUAAGAGCAUUGUUUUGGUUUCUGUGCAAAAAAAAAAAAAAAAAACAUGACAAGCGUUGUUUUGGUUUUGGUUCUAAAAAGAUGAAAAUUUGACUGCAAUGGAUCCAUACGCAGUCGGUGUCAAAUAAGAGGAGAAACAAAUAUGUUAAUCACUCGCUCAAUCACUCAUGCGAAGUGCCUUUUUUUUCGUUGCUUUGGCUUCUGAGAAAUAUAUGCAUCAGAUAUUACAACUCUCGAGGAUAAUGCAUUUUGUUCCGGUUUUGACUGAUAUUUAGUGGCAUUUGAUAAACUGAUACCUCAGAACCUGGUAGAGAGUUUAUUAAAUACAAAGAGAACAAAAAUAUAUGACUAUAUAAGCUUUUACACGGUUGAAGAUCCGGUCAAAUUGGCUUUAGUUAGCAAGAUCAUUUAAAACUUUCAAAAAACGAAUGGUAUCAAAAAGCUCUGAGAAAAAGCGGAAAAAAGGCACCACAAAGAUCUUGCAAUUAUUAUCACAGCUUGAUAAGACAUGGAAAUGUAUCUUACAAAUUGGCCUUCCAAGCAUCAAAGAAUUGGGUGGCGACAACUCCCAUUCCUAGCUGCUACCGUGGCCAGUCCCUUCUAACUAAAAUGGGACAGGACCAAAAGCAAGGUCUCUCCCACUCUCCUUAUGUAUAUAAAAUUCCCUACAUUCGAAUAAAACUACAGAAAAAGAUUUGCACAUCAUCUUCUUUCACCUUAUUUUGCAAUCUUCAAGAGUUUGGAAGAUUUCAAAGCACUUGUUAGAAUGUAGCACUCCAUUAAGCAUUCUCACCUUCCCCACACCCCAAUGGACCUCCUUAAUCCUAUCGGCAGACCUACAAAUUCUGCUGCAACUCCAAUCAAAUAAAGCAACACAAUUGUUGCCUGCCUAAGCCUUCCACUCACAGCCUGCAAUGACAAGUUCAUGAUACAAAAUCAGAAACAUUAAUAAACAAAAAGAUAUUACCAUUACUUGCAGAGGGGGAUUUGUUGCAAUUAGUAAAUGCCAUACUUAUCACUUUCAUUGCAGAUAUCAUCAUCAUCAUAAUACUAGCAAUCCAGCACUAAUAGUCAGAAUAAUAAUAAUAGUAGCAUGAAUAAAGAAUUUCUGCAGAGUAAGCUCUAAAGAUGCCGAAAGUGUCAUCUAUUAUGUUAAUAAUAAAAAAGUCUAUCAAGAAUUCAAGGAAAGAAAACUCAUUAACAAAGAACUAAACUUUUUAAUAAUGUUUAAUAAACUACGUACCUAUGAUUUUCUAUUAUUAACAUAAAUGACACUACGUACAACUGAUUUUCGCUUUCUAAUGUUUCAAAUCAUACCGAGAAAUAUAACAAUUACCAAGUCAGUAAGUAGCACAAUUACUUAAUAAGACUUUGACUUGUCUAACCCAAAAUUGUACCCAAUUCUAUACUCUACCAUGAAAAGCUUAUGAAGCCGAACUUACUUUGACCAAACAGUACUAUUAGCUCAGUUAAAGGAAACCACAAUUGAACAAAGUUCAGCUGAAAUAACUGAACUAAAAAAACUUGAUAAAAUUAAAAGUAACUUAUAACAGUUUAGUAAAGAAGCAUACAAAACAUGAAGAUAAAUAAACAUAGGUCUAUUUUCUUGACACUACCAGGUCCUUUCCUUUUUUUUUUUUCAGAUAAGAUCUCGAUACUACCAAGUUUUGGAUUCAAAAUCACCAUAUUACAAUAAUAGUUGUGAUUCAUGGGAUACAAUAUGUAGCAGCUUAUAUGUCGGCAAUUAUAGUCAAAGAUGGUUGUCAAACAUCAUCGCAAAUCAAGAAGCUAAUAAAGACCAUGUCACACUACAUUAACAUAUAUCAGUUCUUUGAUACAAAGAUAUUGAAUGUUAUACAUUUCUAAUCCCAAGUCCUGAAAUACAAAACAAAAGUUCACUUCACACAGUCAUAAAGCUAGACUGCUAGAUAAAUGGACAAUAGGCAUUGGAUAUGGGUCAAUAAACUAUUAAGCUAAUUAAUGCACACGAAGGAAUCCGUUAGAGCUAGUAAAAUAGCCCUUACCAGAGAACUCGCAGAAGCAUUCAAUUUCCUCAAAGGAGAUAACUUACAACAUAAACAUUUUGAUAAGCAGCAACACACAUAAAAUAGCUUCACUCACUAGCAACAGAGCAACUUCUUCAACACAUUAAUAAAUCCAUUUUCAUUUUUAAACAACAAAAUAAUGCCCAGUUUCUCCAGCACAAAUAGGGUAAGCAGUAAUAGAAAAACAUGAUACAUAGGAAUUACCGGCCUCAAGAAAUCUCCAAGCUUUCUGUCCUCUGCUUCAAUUGCUCAAUCAAGAAUGCCCCAGACGUUGCGCUAGCGUGGUGGUGGAGCGUCGCGAAGCGUGUGGCGGCGGUGUCGGCGAAGGCAGGUCAUGAAGAUAGUUGGUGUCGCGCAGCGAAGGCAGUGCAGCUGGUGUCAUGCGGCGAAGGCAAAUCGCGUGGUGGUGGAGUUGGGGUCGCGCGGCAGUGGCGGUGCGGUGCUGAGGCAUAAUAGUGGCGGUGGCGUUGUGCGACAGUGGCAGUGUGGAGGCAGAUUGCGUGGAGCUGGCGGUGUUGAGGCAGAUCGCGUGGAGGCAGAUGCCGCGGUGGUGGAGUUGCUGUCGCGAUCAACGCCUGUGAAAGGGAAUGAAAGUGAAGGAGAUACCUACAAAAGAAAGAACGAGUGAAAUUUUUUUUUUUGUUCAAGGGUUUCAAACCCACAUAAACCCGACUCUCACACGGGUUCAGUAAGUUUAUGCGGGUUUGACUGCAUUACAAAUUGGUAUGACCACAACAACAGUACAAUGAUUGGUAAUUACCAAACAUGCUAUUUAUGUUGGUAUUAAAUUAAUUUAAUACAAUGAGGAGUGGUAAUAUCAUACAAUGAGGACUGUUAAAUAUGGUGUGUUUAAUAUGUUGUAUUGUAUUAUAUUAUUUUAAUACAAAUAUAUUAUAUUAUCUUGUAUUAUAAUAUAAAAUAAUGAAAAAUAUCGAAUUUCAAUAUAUAAAAAAAAAAUAAAUAUAUUUUGUUAUAUUCGAUCUGCUGUACGGCCAAGGCGGAUGUACGGUACAGCAGAUAAGAAUUUAAAUACAUACACUUAUAAUACAACUUAGUUUUUCCACAUUGUCGAGGGAUCAAAACAACCCAUCAUUGGAGUCCAAUAAGUUAUGUGGCGACACAAAAAAGUAAUUCUAUAUUUUUUACGUCAUAAAUAUGUAAAAAAAAUUGUAUUAUAUCUUAUUAUUAUUAGUUUUUUUUCUUCAGUUUUGACAAGUAUAGUUUUCUUGUUGAGUGGCUCAACAAGGCUGGUUACAAUUUCGAAAUAAUGUUCCAUCUGUAUCUGUUUUCCUUUUGUUUUUGAUUUUGUAGUAUAGUUAAUUUGUACGAAUUUGUUGCCUGGUUGGUUUUUAUGCUGAAAAGUCAGUUCAUUGGAAAUGACAGAAAAUUGUUUUUCUUUUUCAUUUUUACAGAAAGAGAUUUGCAACGUUAUAAAAGUAAGAGAUCCUAAGAGAUCCCUGAAUCAUAUUAAAUAUUAAACUUAAGAUACAGUCAAGGCUUUUAUUAUGUUACUAAUCAUGUAACGAAUAUAAUUAUGUAGCAGUCGUUAAAUACAAAUUUAACAGUUAUAAAAAUAACAUGAUUUUAUUAUCUUAUAUUUCUAUAAUCGUUGAAUUUUUAUCUGCUGUACCGUACAUCCGCCUUGGCCGUACAGCAGUAUUGAAUUUUAAAAAUUUAAUAUUAUUUUUUUAAUAUAAAUAUUAAAAAAUAUCAUAAUUCUUCAUAGAAAUCGAAGUUCAUGGCAUUAAAUUUUUAACGCCGCAUACAUAAUAAAAAAUUUGAUUCUCUAGUGCCAAUAUAAUAGAAUACAUAAAAACGAGACUGAGAAACUACGAAUAAAGCUCAUCAUCAAGGACUCCACAACAUUAUAAGAAGUACUAUGUAACAUUUGCCAAAUUACAACACCACAUCAAGACAUAUCACAAUGUAAAAUUUUUCCUAGAGAUUUGGUAAUUGAAAAACACAAUUCAAGUUGAAAACUGAUAGUCGACUUGAAAAGUUUUAACAUAUCCCAUAAAAGAAAUGUGCCAUGCCAAAAAUCCUAACCCUUGGCUCUUUGACGAUAAGAAAAUAUUGAAAAUUCCAAAGUACAGUGCAAUGGGAGAAAGAAUGCCUAUAAAGCUAGUAAAGAUAUUCUUAAACUACUAUUGGGAUGUUGGGCUGGUUGGUAGCAAAACCCAAACCCUGCUGCUGAUUUCCGAUACCACCAUCUUGGAUAAGCCGCUCUCCCUCCUCUUCCUAACUCCUAAGCCCAAUAUCUUUCCAAAACCUUCACAACCCACUCAUAAAUCUCAUUGUUGUCGUGGAUAUGCAAAUUCUCAAUCUUUUCUACUCCAUCACACUCAUCAAUCAUUUGGGUAUAAACAUUAACCCAAUUAUCCAUUCCUAUUUCCUUGUUAACCUCACCCACCUUGAAAAUGUUCUCAAGACCCUAUAGACAAACUGUGACGAUCCUUUGGUCCAGACAAACCAGAAGAUCACAGAGCGGUUUGAUGCAACCUUGGCUCACCAGGAAUCUGCAGGACCAUGGUACCAUAAGUGAUUCUAUCACAUGAACAUCAUUAGAUUAAAAAAAGAAAAAAAAAAGAAACAUCUAUCGUAUGAACAUUGCUGAGUGAAUAAAAGAAACAUACUGAAUAUGUUCAUGAGAUCCUCCAUAUGUGGCAUUUAAGACAGGCCAUGCAGCCUCCUUGAUUUCAAGUUCUGCAUGUUGAAGAAGAGGUGCACAAAAGGAAGGAUAAGGAAGGAUGAUAUUGGCCUCCAUAACAGCCUGUUGAACAAAAAUUCGACAAAUUAUAAUUAUGAGUAUAUUUAAGUAGCAAUUUUGUCAGAAUUAACUAGACUUGACUAUUGAGGAAGUCACAUUCAAAAAUAGAAAAGACGAGCAAGCAAUUGUAUUCAUGCUAUCGGGACCAAAAUACUAUGAUGCAAGCAAGAAAGAAAAACAUACAUACAUAUAAAACACUAUCUUUGAGUUGGGUAUUUUCUUUCAAUUUUGAUAAUGGCAACUUUGGAUUCUUCUGCUGAAUUACCACCACCACCACACCAUUGUAGUUUCACAUACUAAGAAAAGGCAGGUUCAGCUCCCGUGCAUGCCCAUAAGAAUAUGAUGUAUUAAUUAGAAGUAAAAUUAAUCUGUUCAAUUAAGUUCUCUCAUAUAUUUGUGUGCGUGUGUGUGUUAAUUAGUUUGCUUUCAAAUCUUUUCUCCCUUCUUAAUGAUAUAUAUUUUAAGCAUGAUAUCAACCACGAUGAAUUUAUUAGCCGAUUUUUAAUUAUACAUUCAGCAUGAUAUCACAAACCAAGAGCUUAAGUUAGCCUAAUUCUUCAUAAAUCUAAUAAUUGCAAUCAAUAAUAAUGCUGAAAAUACGAGUUUGAAUUAAGCUAGCAACUGGUUCUUAAAUUAUGCAAUAUGUAAUCAUAGGUUUACUUAAAGAUUAAAGCAUUUCUGCAAUCCAUUGUGCAAAAAGAUUAAAAAAAAAAAAAAUAGUUGCCAAAUUUUAUCUAAAUAAAAAUUCCUUUAGUGGUUAGUACUUGUGAAUUAUAGAAAUUAUUAUUAGUACUUGCUCAGCGCUUUUUAGAUUUGUACAGGUAGAUUACGCCAUUUCAAACCCGACCAUCCAUUUAGACAUACAAAUCCCCCCAAUUCCCUGUCCUCCGCCUUUACGCGACUCUCCACUGUAUGUGCCAACUAAUUAAUUUUUUAAUUACUUGUUUAACUAAUUAAUUCAUUUUCUCAAAAGCAAGAUUAAUCUAUUUGUUCAAAUCUGAAGGAGAUUAAGUUAAUUGAUUUUAUUGUAUGUAAAAAUAUACAAAGAACUCAUGAAGCCAACUAGAAAAAAAAAAAAAGACAAAAAAAAAAUCAAACCCAGAAAUAAAAAGACAUGCUUCGACAGAAAAUUAAUGAAAAUUAUACUGAUUGUGGUUCAAUUUGAUCAAACCCAAAUAAUAACCGGUUUGAUUGAUGACUCAGCGGCAAAGUGCAGGCGCAUCAGUGGUUGCACAGAUGAGUGUUCUCGUGCGGCACGACAAAGCAAUUGUCGGCGAUUGUGAUUGGUGAUGACAUCGAGCGAUGGGGGUAAUGGCAUCGGUCGUGACUUUGUGAUGGAGAAACGAAUGUUAGAUUCGUUCGAAGAUUCGUGUUUUGAUUGAAUAACAAAGAGAGAUUUUAUGAGUUUUAAUUAUCUAAUACGAUACCGCAUAAACCCGACUCGUACGUGGGUUUAUUUUAUGCGGGUUUCGGUGUACUAAAGCAGUAAAUUUAUGUGGUGCAAUUCAAACUGAUUUCACCGCCAAAAGAUCGUGUAAAUUUAAUAUUAUACAGGGUUUUAAUACUAUGUAAUCCAAUACACCAAACAUGCCCUUAAAAACGGAUAGCAAUCCGGGGCCUUUAAAAACGGAAAAUACAAGCAGAGAAAAAGAAAAGCCAAUUGUUCAAAAGUGCCUAAUAUGCCCACGGAAAAUUUUCGUCACGACCCACAGUUACUCGAAUAGGUAAUAAGACAGGAAUGCCUUUGUUUGUUCGAAUAUAGAAGCACAAUGGCUCAGAAAGGAUCCCUCCAAUCUCCUUGGCACUGUCAGCUGGGUGCGGAGUAGCUUGGUGGCAGCAACCAUGUUUGAGAGGGCUGGCUUCACCUCAGUGUACUUGCGAGUCUUGAGACCACAGUCAGGGUUAACCCACAAAAUGUUGGUUUCUAGCACAGUACGCAUCUCGUAGAUUCUGUCAACAAUUUCUUCGGUUGAUGGUAUUCUUGGAGAGUGGAUGUCAUAGACGCCAGGGCCAAUUGCAGCAUCAUACUGGACUCCCUCACGGAAGACUGACAGGAGAUUCUCAUUAGAACGAGAGUUCUCAAUGGUGAUCACAUCAGCAUCCAUGUCGAUAAUUGAGUGGAUAAUGUCGUUGAAGUUGGAGUAGCACAUGUGGGUGUGGAUCUGUCAAUCAAUAAACAAUAGAAUGAGAUACAAAAUCAACAGCUAAAUUAAAGAGAUGAGAUUGGAGAUUAAAAGGGUAACUGACCUGGGUAGUGUCCUGGAUGCCACAGUUGGUGAUUCUGAAGGAGUGGACUGCCCAGUCCAAGUAGAAAGCAUGCUCAGAUUUCCUGAGAGGCAAUCCUUCCCUCAAGGCAGCCUCAUCAAUUUGAAUAACGUUAAUGCCUGCCUUCUCAAGAUCCUCGACUUCGUCCUUGAUGGCCAAAGCAAUCUGGUAGCAGGUUUCAUGUCUGCAAAAUUGGCAGCGAUUGAUGUUAAACAAUGUUUCCAUUCCAAAAGGUUAACCAAUAGUGAACCAGUUCUCAUUUAUAUACCUGGGCUGGUCAUUUCUGACAAAGGACCAGUUGAGAAUGGUGACAGGGCCAGUAAGCAUUCCCUUCAUUGGGCGAGCAGUCAUGCUCUGAGCCCAGGAGGACCAGAAGACGGUCAUAGCCUUGGGACGGCUCACAUCACCAUAGAUGAUGGGUGGCUUCACACAGCGAGAUCCAUAGGAUUGCACCCACCCAUUGGCAGUGAAGGCGAAACCUGAUAACUGCUCUCCAAAGUACUCAACCAUGUCGUUUCUCUACAAAAACAAAUGUCCGAAUUCAAUUUGAGAUCCAGCAUACUUCGUAUGCAAUUAGAAAUGCAGAAACAAAAAUGUAUAAAAUUUUAUGUAAUUCAAAACCAGGAGACAUUGCUUUGCUUCCAUUGGGCAUUGCGAGACUCACCUCAGGCUCUCCAUGGACAAGGACAUCAAUAUCAAGCUCUUCUUGGAGUUUGACAACCUUGUUGAUUUCCUCCUUGAUGGAAGCAACAUAUUCUUCCUCAGAAAUCCUAAAAAGGACAAAUAGUCACGGCACAGUUAAUACAGUAGUUGCAGUAAUUUCACACAUGGCAUUGAAUGAAGAAACACCUCAGAUUGACUCACUUCUUAGCCUUGUAUUCACGGCGGACUCUCCUAAGUUCAAUGGUUUGUGGGAAGGAUCCAAUUGUGGUGGUUGGGAGGAUUGGAAGAUUGAGCUUCUUCUGUUGAGCAUCUAAUCUAGCACUAACGUUUGUAGCACGUCUGUGGUCUGAUCCCCUCAAAGCAGCAGCCUAAUAGACCAAGAGGAAGGAAUCACUGUUAGCAAAAAAGGAAAUUCUAAGGGACAGCCACAUCAUAAAAAUGGAAAACAAAUCAAUCAUGCCACUUACAGCCUUUUGAACUGCCUCAUUGGUCACUCUCGGGGAGGACUUUCUUGAAGCCUGAGCUGCAGCAUUGGCAGAGAAGAAUCCCUGGAAACAAAUGAUAAGGAGAACCAAAGUUAGUCUCAUUCAUAUCAUUUUAAAAAGAAGAUACAUAUGCAAUUAGUGGGCUGAUUGUGAGAGAAAAAGUCCCCAAAACUUUAAUCAAACACCAAAUGCCCAAGUUGCCAAAUGAUGUUUAAUUCGGAAAAAUAUAUUUAAAAACAUUCAAAUAUAAUUUCCCCUUCUAAAUUUUCAUUUUCAACAACAUAUUUUACAAGCCAAGCUCAACGUCAGGCCAAGAUUUUGUGCUCCUAUAAUUAUAUUUUACCAUAAAACUAGGUCCUUGAAAGGCUAAGAUUUUCUGACUCUUGUGACUAGUCAAAGCCUAAGAUUCUUUCAAUUCAUCCGUAGUAAAAGUAUACCUCAUCCUUUUGGCCAGCCAAAGCCUUGGCCAAUGCAUUGACUUCAACAACUUUCUGGGCAGCAAAUGCCAGCCAUGACUUGAUUUCGUCGUCGAGUUUGUUCUCAUUAACAAGAUCAACAGCAGUGUGAAGAAGUGAGCAGGAGGUGGAGACCACAAGCUUGUCUGCAAAGAAAAGUAAUAAAUUAUACAACAAAUCCCAUAAUAGAAUAAGAAAUAUUUAUCACAAAGAAAAAUGCAAGCAAAGGAUGUAUACCUUUGCCAACAACACCCUCAAGCCCCCGGAGAACACUAAGAGAAGCAGCAAGAUCAUUGGCCCAAAUGUUCCUUCCAUCAACCACUCCAGCAAAGAGGUACUUGCCAGCAGGGAAUCCACUCUUGAUCAAUUCAAGGGUCUUGGUUCCACGAACCAAAUCAAAUCCAUAAGCGGUGACACCCUUCAAAGAAGUGAGGGUCUGGAAUGCCUCAGCUGGAACAUCAGCAAAGUAGGUCUCAACAAGAACAUUCAAGCCAGACAGAGUUGACUCUAGUUCCGCGUAAGCCUCACUGAAUGCUUGCAAUUUGUGUGAGUCAAGAUCCGUAACAAGCAAUGGCUCAUCAAACUGAAUCCAGGAAGCACCAGCAGCCUUAAGCUCAGAAACAACUUCCCUGCAGAAGUGUUAAUUGGUACGACACGGAUUAAUGAUGCCACACGAUACACACACACACACACACACACACACACACACACACACACACACACACACACACACACACACACACACACACACACACACACACACACACACACACACACACACACACACACACACACAGACAGAGUUAUUUAGCACAUACACGUUUAUAAAUCUGUAAAUAGGUGAUAAUUCUUACUUGUAGAUCGGAAGGAUUUUGGGAAGAAGAGAGAGAACAGAAAAGGUCUUCUCAACCCCCCAGGCAGGCUUAGACAGCAACAAGUAUGACACAGGGCCAAUAAGCACUGGGACAGUUUCAACUCCAUGCUGCAGCAUUAGACAAGUGGUAGAUAUUAGCAUCUCACAAACUUGAUCUGACUGAUAGAAAGUUACAAGCAAGUUAAGAAUAUGUUUGAUGAAAUUUCAAUGAAAAAUCUUCAGGGUCCACAACAUGUUGACUAUACCCUUUUUAAGUAAUUUAUCUUAAGACUAUUUUGCAAACAGUAUUGCUUCCCUUUACAGAUCAAAUAAAUCAUACAACAUCUGAACGCAUUUCCUGAGCCAAAUAUAAGUUCAAAGCUCUAUAAUAAAUGUCAAUGACUCUAUAGUAAAUUCCAUCACAUUCUGAGCUAUGGAUGAGCAUAUCAUAUGCCAAUUUCAAGUUGAACGUAACCCAAUUUCAACAUAUUGUAGAUUCAAGUAUCAAACGAAAAAAAAAAUAUUGUAAAUAUAGACAGAACUGAGAACAAACACUCACCCCCUUAGCCUCCUUGUACUCAGUCACAGCCUUGUGGGAAGCGUAGGAGAACUUAACAUCGGGUCCCAAUUCAGGAACAAUGAAAUGACUGCAUCAACACGAAGCCAAACACACGUCAGCAUUCAGUACAAAACCAUUACACCAUAACUAACUUGAAAUGCCGCUCUUCCAAGUAGUGAAUACUUACUAGUUGGUGUCGAACCACUUGGUCAUUUCCAUUGCGAGAACAGAGGCGUUUCCUCUGGCCAUGGAGAAGUAAACAUCGAAUCCAAUCUCGCCGCCGUUCCAGUUAAACCUCGGGGGCACGGCACCGAGCAUUGCGGUGGUGUCGAGCACUUGGUCGUAGUAGGAGAAAGUGUUGCUGGGAAUGUAUUUGAUCCCGGCCUCGGACAUCUGUUUCCAGAUGGAGGAUCUGAGAUCAGCGGACACCUUUUGCAAAUCCUCGGCGCUGCUCUUGCCAUCCCAGAAGGAUUCCAACGCGAACUUGAGCUCCCUCUUGGGGCCCAUGCGUGGGUAACCAACGAUGUGAGAUGCCAUUUUACUGUCAUAAUCACGUCAUCAAUGAAUCGAAAAUCAGUCCCUUCCAUUAAAUCAAGAAAUUAUUAAUUCAAAUGAAUGGAUCACAUUGUAUAUAUAUGGGAUAAAUAUAAUUAUGAACAAAAGCGUCUAAUCAAUCACAAAAAGCAAGCGACUGCAUCAAAUUUAGGGAUCCGACCCGACCCGACCCGAUCUGUAAAUUCCGGUUUCAAUCGGAUUAAGAUGAAACCUCUAACCCGAUAUAGUUGGAUUUUGGCCAACUCGAUCGGAUCAGAUCGGAUCGGAUUAAACUUAGUCCAAUCCGAAAAAUUCAAAAAAUCAAAACUACAAUAAGUAUAAAUCUAAAUUUUCAAUUCAAUUUGAUCUAAUCUGAAUAUAUUCGAAUCGGAUCAAAUACUAUGCUCUGCUUAAACUUGGAUUAUAUUUUUUUCAAUUUGAUUAACCUAAAAUUCGAUUGGAUAGAUCCAAAACUGAAUUUAUCUACCCCUCAGUCAUCAAUCAAUUACAAAACCUAAAAUCCGAUUGGAUAGAUCCGAAACUGAAUUUAUCCACCCUUAAGUCAUCAAUCAAUUACAAAGGCGACUGAUGUUUAUACAAUGGACAAUUAUUAAGUUACAGCUCUUGUAAUUUACAACUUAUACAAAAAUAUGUGAAAAAUUGUGAUAGGCAGUACAGUGUCAUGAUUUUAUACAAAAAUAUGUAAACAAUUGUGAUAGACGGUAGAACCUCAUGAUUUUAUAAAAAAUACGUAAAAAGUUGGGAUAAGUAAUGGAGCCCGCAUAAUUUUUUAUCAGCUGCAAGUUGCAAGUUACAGCAACUGUAACUUAGCGACCCCGACUUCAAUGUAAAAUGAGAAAGUACUCCUCCGCAUAGUACCUGAUGCUCAAAAGUCAAAUCACACGAAAUGCAAAUAGACUUAUCAGAGCAUAAAACCUUAUAUUACUUUUUGAAAAACGAUUUGAAACAAGGGCAAAAUUACAGUGUAACCGUACUUAGUCAUUGAAUUCAGCUCACAAUUAUCAUUAUAGUUAGAUCUAAUAACUAGAUCCAACUGUAUCCACAGUUAUAUUGUAGUUAGAUCUGAUAACUAAAUCCAGAUCCAGCUGUCCCCACAAUUGUCAUUAUAGUUAGAUCUAAUAAUUAGAUUCGGCUGAUUCAGCUGUGAUGUAGUACCCUGUAGUGCCAUAACUGGACAAAGAAACAAACUGAUAUAUUUUCUUUUUUGAAACAAACUGAUACUAAUCCAAGAGUUUCAGAUGAUCGGUUUUUUUUUUUUUUUCUAUAGUCACAUCAAUAAUUAAGUACUUUCAGUCAUUUUCGAAGGAUUAAAACGAAAACUCUAAAAAAAUUCUGAGAAUGAAGAAUCCGAAAAUAGAUUCAGAAAUAGUAACACAAGUAGAGGUCAGAUUGUUUUUUGGAAAAGAUUAAUUGCAGAUCUGAUGAACUCAAGUCUAGAUCUAGCAAAAUCACGGCAGCCAAACACUAGAUCUAAGACUAACAGUCACUCACCAGUCGAUCAGAAAGUGAAAUCAAGUUCAAAAUUCUUUUUUUUUAAUAGAUCCAAAAGCUAAUAUACAUAUAUAUAUGGCAAAAUAUAUAUACCGUACCCGAGAAGGACGAGCAGAGAAAUUAAGCUUUUUUCGAGAGAACGAGAAAGAAGAGAGACGAGACUGUUAGAAAUUGCUGUCAGUUUAAUUUUUAUUUAUAGCCAAAAACCUAACCUUGUUUAGUGGUUACUGGUUACCGUCUUCGGCGGUGUUGAUCUGAGAUUUAUCAUUUUAAUUUCUUUCUCUUACUUAUUUAUUUAAUUUGGGUCCAACUACGGUGAAACUGUAGUACCGUGCUACAGUUAUUUUCAACCGUUUGAUUCACUUGGAUGGUGGGAUCCAAUAAAAUCCAAUAACUGGGUGCAACCGUAGCACGGUGCCGCAGUUGCACCACAGUUUUUCCCAUUUAUUUAUUAUGCUUUCAGUGCAGUUGGCAAAAACAUGGAGCUUACGCGCGCUUUUCUGAUGUGGCGCGUGAAUUGGAAAUGUGGUAGAUCUUUGUGGAUCCGCCGGUGCAGUGAAGAGUGAAGGAAAAAAGAGAAAAGUUAUCAUGCCAGAUCAUUUGAAGAGAGCCGCAAUUAGUAAUUACACCACAAUAUAUUUCUGAUUAUUUGCUUACUUUGAUGAUGUUUUUACUGAUUAGUAAUUGGAAUAUGUUAGAAUCUAAAUAUAGUAGAAUCAUAAUAGAGUUGAAUCAAAAUAGACUAUAAUUAGAAUGGAUAAUGGGAAUUAGAAGAAUUAUUUGCUUUAGUUGUGAGAAUCCAAAUUGGAAUGAACUAUAUUGUCGUUGAUAUGUUUACUUUAUCAUAGAAUAUGAAUGAAUUAUUACAAGUUACUAAACAGACCUUAAGUUGAUUAUUGUCAUUAUUUAUUUAUUUAUUAUUAUUAUUAUUAUUAUCAUCAUCAUCAUCAUCAAAAUUAUUAAUCUUAUUAUUAAUGUUAAUUAUAAUAAUUAAUAAUUAUAAUAGUAUUAUAAUAAUAAUAAUAAUAAAAGCAAUCAUAAAAUGAGAAUUUCAAGAUUUAAGUAGAGAUAAUAUAAUUAUUUUAGAAAAUGAGAAUUUCCAUGAGAAUGUGAACUCUAUUAAUCAUUCCCAAUUUGAAGUGGGGCCUGCCAUUUUGAUUCAAUCUCUCAUUUAAGCAAGUAAAUACGACAUUUAUUCUCAUUCCCUCAUUCCCACUCUCAGGUAGCGUUUGUUUUUUAACUUAAUGACUUAAAGUGACUUAACUUAAUUAAUUAAGUUAAUUAGAGGUGUUUAUUUUUAUAACUUAAUGAGACUUUUUAGAUAAUUUUGACUUAAUAAAAUGAGCCAAUUUUUUUUGGCUUUUUACUUAAUGGAGAAAUUUGAAUUUAGUCAAUUACUUACUAAUGUCAAAAAUAUCUAUGUUUUAUAAUUUAUUUUUCAUGUCUAUCCCAAAACUCACCCAUAGACAUUUACCCCACAUAAAAAUAUCCCUAUUUUUUCUUUCUUAUAUUAUAUACGAUAAAAUUUGAAAUUUAUGGUAUUUUAUAUAUUAAAAUUCUAAAAUAAUUAUGUAUUCACUUGAAUAUAGUUUUACUUAUAACUGUUAAAAUAUUGUGGUAUUUAAUAUAUUAUUUAUUUGACAUUAAAAUUUAAUAAGGAUACAAAUGUAAAAGUACAUAUUUUCAGUUUUUUCAGUUAAAAAAAAAGCAACUUAAUACUUAUUUUUCGAGAUUCAGACGAAAAAAUAAACAUAUUAUUCAUAUUCAGACAUUUAGAUAUAUUCAGAAUUCAAACUAAUUCAGGUCUAUUCAGAUUUUAGACAAAAAAAACAAACGCCACCUCAAUCAAUAAACACACCAUAAAUGUAGAGUUGUUACUAUUAGAAUACAUUAUAAUUCAUCACAAUUAUGAUAGGUAUAUACGUGUGUAAUAAUUUAUAUAAGAUGCUAAAUUUUGAAAAUAAUAAAAAAUCAUUUAUACAUAUUUAAAAAAAUCAUUAAUACAUUAAAAUGUGCAUCACAUAUACAUUUACAUAAUAGCAAUGACCAUAGUAUAAAAAAAACUCCUAAAAGAGAACGACUUCGUUAUUUAUGUUAUUUUAUAUAUUUUUAAUUGAUUAUUAAAAGGAUCAAUUGUUAAUUAUUAUUCUCCAAACAUAAUCACCGUUAAACAUUUAUUCAAUUUAACAAUAGGUAGAUGUUAAAUAAUAUUGGAAUAUUUAAUGAACAAUAUAAUCACUAUUGCAGUUGUUUUUUUUUUUUAGUAAUGGAUUAUUCGAAACUCAAAUUCAUUUUUUAGCCCCCUUACCUCUCUUAAAAUUCAAAUUUAAGUGACUAAACAAAUAAAACUGCUUAAAAUCUAUACGACUACAUCUUUGGGGACCAAUUAAUAUGGAUGUUUAAAUCUUGAUUUAUUAUUAAAUCUUUGAGUUUCAACCACUAAUAACAUCAUCAUCGAUUAAUGACAAAUAAAAUAAUACAUCAUCAAAACCAUUAAACACGUCCAUCAAUAUCAAAAACAAGUAAAAAGUUUAGCAUGUAUUUCAAAUAUACUUUUCAUCCCAAAAGUUGUAGAGAAAGUCUCGAUAUCAAUGUCACUAUGAGACGUAAUUUUAUAUUUAAAGUCAGCGCAACUUAAAAAUUACUAUGAAUGAAUAAUACACCAUAAAAAAAUUAUUUAUAAGUAUUUUCAUCAUGUAUUUUUAUUUAACAAUGGUGACAUUUAUUUUUUAACUUAAUGACUUAAAGUGGCUUAACUUAAUUAAUUAAGUUAAUUUUAGGUGUUUGUUUUUAUAACUUAAUAGGACAUUUUAGAUAAUUUUGACUUAAUAAAAUAGGCCAAUUUUUUUUAACUUUUUACUUAAUAGAGAAAUUUGAAUUAAGUCAGUUACUUUCUAAUGUAAAAAAAUAUUCCUACUUUAUAAUUUAUUUUUCAUGCAUAUUCAAAAACUCACCCAUAGAUAUUUACCCCACAUAAUCUCAUCUUUAUUUUCUUCCAGCCGUCAUGGAAUCCCUCCUCACUUUGCUUCUCUCCUCUAGUUCUUGAAUCUCCCUUUAAUUUCUCGCUAGGCAAAGCACUUGAAUUGGGCUUUUUUUUUUUCCUUUUCAAUUACGUUUUCCAACAUUCACUUAUAUAAUAAUCAACUAGUUGCUACUCUUUUUAGUGAUAAAAUUUGAAAUAUGGUAUUUUAUAUAUUAAAUUUUCAAAAUUAUGUAUUCACUUAAAUGUAGUUUUACUUAUAAAUAUUAAAAUAUUAUGUUAUUUAAUAUAUUAUUUAUUUGACAUUCAAAUUUAAUAAGGAUAUAAAUGUAAAAGUACAUAUUUUUAAUUUUUUAAGUUGAAAAAAUAACUUAAUAUUUAUUUUCAGAUAUUCAAAUAAAAAAUAUAUUAUUUAAAUUCAAAAAUUUAAAUCUAUUCAAAAUUUAAAGUAAUUCAGGUCUAUGCAUAUUUCAAUCAUAAAAACAAAUGCCACAUGAGUCAUUCAAUUUCUAAUUAAGAGGAUAAAAAAUAGAUUUGGACUAUCCUAAGACAAAAACAAAAAAAAAAACAAAAAUAAGAUUUCCUAAUAAGUGUACUAACGUGGUCACGCGCCUUGAGAAACGCUUGGACCUAACACACUAUUUUAAUCCGAUAUGCAAAAAAAGAAAAAAAAAAAAAAGGAAAAAUUAUGAGAUGUAUAAGUUUCUAGAGACGUGUUAAAUUUUGAUGAAACAAUGAAGAAAGUCGGUGGCCGAAGUUGGUAUGGGGCAAUGCGAAUGGUGGUUGGCCCACGUUGCCCUGUAAUUGGAGUUGUUAUAAUUUUUCUUAUAAUUAAUAGGACUUGACACAGACUGCAGCAUCAGCCGUUGGAUGUGGAGGGAGAAACUAAACAAUAGAAAACCGUAUGGUGGGAUGACGGUAGAUGUUUGUUACAGAAACUGUACCAUAGACAGGUCCUAAUUAAUAAGCUCUACGUUUUGAAACAAUAAAUAAACUCCAGAUGACCAAAAUAUCAUUUCAUACUGCUACCUAGACAUCUUGGCGAGGGUGGGUAAUGUGGGGCCCGGAGCUUGUUUGAUCGUCAAUUAUUCUCUGGUUUGGUGAAACGAAUGGACGGACGAUGGUGAUGGCUUUUAGGAGAUUAGUAUUAUUAUUAUUAUUAUUAUUAUUACAUUGAGAUCGUAAAACAAAAAAUUCAAUUAAUAAUAUAAAAUAUUUAUUUAAUUUAUUAAUUAUUAUAUAUACACAAUAAAAAAAUUUAUAUACAUAUUUAUAAAUGUGUAAAUAAAUUUCAUUCAAUAUUAUAUCCAAUUAAUCAUUUAUAUUUUUCUGCUGUACCGUACAUCCGCCUUGGCCGUACAGCAGUAAAGCUGCUGAUGCUUUAUCGCGAAUUCAUGAGGAAAAUGUGAUUGAAGAACCCAAACCAACAACUCUUUGUUUGUCGUUAGACAUUUACCCCACAUAAAAAUAUCCCUAUUUUUUCUUUCUUAUAUUAUAUACGAUAAAAUUUGAAAUUUAUGGUAUUUUAUAUAUUAAAAUUCUAAAAUAAUUAUGUAUUCACUUGAAUAUAGUUUUACUUAUAACUGUUAAAAUAUUGUGGUAUUUAAUAUAUUAUUUAUUUGACAUUAAAAUUUAAUAAGGAUACAAAUGUAAAAGUACAUAUUUUCAGUUUUUUCAGUUAAAAAAAAAGCAACUUAAUACUUAUUUUUCGAGAUUCAGACGAAAAAAUAAACAUAUUAUUCAUAUUCAGACAUUUAGAUAUAUUCAGAAUUCAAACUAAUUCAGGUCUAUUCAGAUUUUAGACAAAAAAAACAAACGCCACCUCAAUCAAUAAACACACCAUAAAUGUAGAGUUGUUACUAUUAGAAUACAUUAUAAUUCAUCACAAUUAUGAUAGGUAUAUACGUGUGUAAUAAUUUAUAUAAGAUGCUAAAUUUUGAAAAUAAUAAAAAAUCAUUUAUACAUAUUUAAAAAAAUCAUUAAUACAUUAAAAUGUGCAUCACAUAUACAUUUACAUAAUAGCAAUGACCAUAGUAUAAAAAAAACUCCUAAAAGAGAACGACUUCGUUAUUUAUGUUAUUUUAUAUAUUUUUAAUUGAUUAUUAAAAGGAUCAAUUGUUAAUUAUUAUUCUCCAAACAUAAUCACCGUUAAACAUUUAUUCAAUUUAACAAUAGGUAGAUGUUAAAUAAUAUUGGAAUAUUUAAUGAACAAUAUAAUCACUAUUGCAGUUGUUUUUUUUUUUUAGUAAUGGAUUAUUCGAAACUCAAAUUCAUUUUUUAGCCCCCUUACCUCUCUUAAAAUUCAAAUUUAAGUGACUAAACAAAUAAAACUGCUUAAAAUCUAUACGACUACAUCUUUGGGGACCAAUUAAUAUGGAUGUUUAAAUCUUGAUUUAUUAUUAAAUCUUUGAGUUUCAACCACUAAUAACAUCAUCAUCGAUUAAUGACAAAUAAAAUAAUACAUCAUCAAAACCAUUAAACACGUCCAUCAAUAUCAAAAACAAGUAAAAAGUUUAGCAUGUAUUUCAAAUAUACUUUUCAUCCCAAAAGUUGUAGAGAAAGUCUCGAUAUCAAUGUCACUAUGAGACGUAAUUUUAUAUUUAAAGUCAGCGCAACUUAAAAAUUACUAUGAAUGAAUAAUACACCAUAAAAAAAUUAUUUAUAAGUAUUUUCAUCAUGUAUUUUUAUUUAACAAUGGUGACAUUUAUUUUUUAACUUAAUGACUUAAAGUGGCUUAACUUAAUUAAUUAAGUUAAUUUUAGGUGUUUGUUUUUAUAACUUAAUAGGACAUUUUAGAUAAUUUUGACUUAAUAAAAUAGGCCAAUUUUUUUUAACUUUUUACUUAAUAGAGAAAUUUGAAUUAAGUCAGUUACUUUCUAAUGUAAAAAAAUAUUCCUACUUUAUAAUUUAUUUUUCAUGCAUAUUCAAAAACUCACCCAUAGAUAUUUACCCCACAUAAUCUCAUCUUUAUUUUCUUCCAGCCGUCAUGGAAUCCCUCCUCACUUUGCUUCUCUCCUCUAGUUCUUGAAUCUCCCUUUAAUUUCUCGCUAGGCAAAGCACUUGAAUUGGGCUUUUUUUUUUUUCCUUUUCAAUUACGUUUUCCAACAUUCACUUAUAUAAUAAUCAACUAGUUGCUACUCUUUUUAGUGAUAAAAUUUGAAAUAUGGUAUUUUAUAUAUUAAAUUUUCAAAAUUAUGUAUUCACUUAAAUGUAGUUUUACUUAUAAAUAUUAAAAUAUUAUGUUAUUUAAUAUAUUAUUUAUUUGACAUUCAAAUUUAAUAAGGAUAUAAAUGUAAAAGUACAUAUUUUUAAUUUUUUAAGUUGAAAAAAUAACUUAAUAUUUAUUUUCAGAUAUUCAAAUAAAAAAUAUAUUAUUUAAAUUCAAAAAUUUAAAUCUAUUCAAAAUUUAAAGUAAUUCAGGUCUAUGCAUAUUUCAAUCAUAAAAACAAAUGCCACAUGAGUCAUUCAAUUUCUAAUUAAGAGGAUAAAAAAUAGAUUUGGACUAUCCUAAGACAAAAACAAAAAAAAAAACAAAAAUAAGAUUUCCUAAUAAGUGUACUAACGUGGUCACGCGCCUUGAGAAACGCUUGGACCUAACACACUAUUUUAAUCCGAUAUGCAAAAAAAGAAAAAAAAAAAAAAGGAAAAAUUAUGAGAUGUAUAAGUUUCUAGAGACGUGUUAAAUUUUGAUGAAACAAUGAAGAAAGUCGGUGGCCGAAGUUGGUAUGGGGCAAUGCGAAUGGUGGUUGGCCCACGUUGCCCUGUAAUUGGAGUUGUUAUAAUUUUUCUUAUAAUUAAUAGGACUUGACACAGACUGCAGCAUCAGCCGUUGGAUGUGGAGGGAGAAACUAAACAAUAGAAAACCGUAUGGUGGGAUGACGGUAGAUGUUUGUUACAGAAACUGUACCAUAGACAGGUCCUAAUUAAUAAGCUCUACGUUUUGAAACAAUAAAUAAACUCCAGAUGACCAAAAUAUCAUUUCAUACUGCUACCUAGACAUCUUGGCGAGGGUGGGUAAUGUGGGGCCCGGAGCUUGUUUGAUCGUCAAUUAUUCUCUGGUUUGGUGAAACGAAUGGACGGACGAUGGUGAUGGCUUUUAGGAGAUUAGUAUUAUUAUUAUUAUUAUUAUUAUUACAUUGAGAUCGUAAAACAAAAAAUUCAAUUAAUAAUAUAAAAUAUUUAUUUAAUUUAUUAAUUAUUAUAUAUACACAAUAAAAAAAUUUAUAUACAUAUUUAUAAAUGUGUAAAUAAAUUUCAUUCAAUAUUAUAUCCAAUUAAUCAUUUAUAUUUUUACAGCGGUUUAAUAAUAAUAUUUACUAAAUACAUAUGAUUAUUUUUAAAAUUCACAGUAUUUUUAAAAAUAAAUUUUAUAAAAUUUUUAACUAAUUUUCUUUACAACUAACUAUUGAACGGUUUAACUAAUAGUAAUUAUUUUUAAAAUUAUAGUAUUAUCAAAUUAGUCCUAUGUCAAAUUUGUUAUUGCUGUUUUUUUUUUAAUUAAAAAAUUACAUAGUGCAUACGUGCAUAAUAUGCCCAACUCAAAAAUUCACACAAAAUAUACUAUUUAACUUUAAGGCUUUAAUUGAAAAAAAAAAUUAAGAUUAAGAUGAAUAAAUACUAGAACAUAACAAAUAGAUAAACUCUCCCAUUCUUUAAAAAGAUUAAUUUUAUUUUAAACUUACACUUCGAAUUCAAAGUAGACAUUGAUUGAUAAAAUUAUACAAACGGAUCAAUAUUCCUACAUUUUCUUUUUAAUUUCAAAACCAACAGAUAUUGUUUGUUCAUUAUAUGACCUCCAAACAAAUAAUUUCAUUAAUAAAAUAAUAAUGAAAAGUGUCGUGAUGGGUAUAGAGUAAUUAGGUGGCUAAGUUUCUACUUUUCAUUCUAACUCUUGAGGUUGGUAGGCGCGUGGGUGGUCCACAAAACCCGUGGACGGUAGCAUUCAAACAAAGACUGGAGGCACCAGAAAAAUGUCCAAAAAGUGUGAAACCGUGACGUGUUCAACAUGUUAAUAAAUUUAGGCAAAUGUUAAAGUUACGGAGCUGGCUACGUUACAGAAACUGUACGUAACAGCCAUGCAUUUUUUAUUCGUUGGAUCUAGAGACUGAAAUUGGAUGGUUGGGAUUAAAGGCCAGAAUAGAAAUUAAUCACGGGCAACCGUUUUUAACAUUUAGAAGGGUUUAUUUUCAUGCACACCCAAAUAUUUUGACAAAUAUCAAUAUGCACCCAGUAACUUUUUAUGUAAAACCACAUAACCGACCCGUUAACUUUUCUACUAUUGAAUUAAAAAACUAUCAUGCCUCAAUUGAAUUAAAUUGAUCAGGUAAAAUAUCUUUUAUAACUUGUCAAUUUUUACAGUGAAAUAUACGAGUAUUUAGUAAAAUCAAAUUUAUUUUUUAUUCAGUAAUCAAAUUUUUUUAUUUAGUGAAAUCAAAAUUAUUUUUCUUUAGUUGUAAGAUUUUUUUAACAAAAAAAUUCUAAAAUCAGAUUUAACUCAUUUACUAUUUUAAAAAAUGAACUUUUUACUAACCAAACUAGAGUUUAUCUUUAGUCAACAUAUUUUUUUCUCUAAAAUAACCUUUGAUAGAAUUACUUAUAUAAACAUGUCAGUAUCAAAAUUACUUCAUAUUUUACCAUCCAUCAAUUUAAACUAGUGUGAAAUUUUUUUAGUUUGAUAUUGAAAAUAUGAUAGUUGAUGAGAGAAAUCUAAUUCAAAUUUACAGAUAGAAUAGUUUCUUAUAAUUGCGUACAUGGUAUAUCAAAAAUAUUUUUUUGUGAGUUUUUAAAAAAAUUGUGUCACAAGAUGAAAUUAUCUCUUGAUUUUUCAAUUCCUGGAAUUUAUGUAAAACAAUAAACACAAGUAAAUCUUUUGGUUUGUGACUUCUUGAAGGAAUGUUUGGGAACGCACAAGUUCCUCUCUCCUUCAAAAAGAAUGAUAAGUGCAAAUACCAACCUAGAAAAUUGAUUUAUAAUUCAAAGAAGAUUUGAUUGAAGAUGAUUAAUUGAAAUUUAUCUUUGCAUGAUGUCAAACAUUUUUCAAAAUGACUAAGUCAAGUCUCUUUGUUAAUUCAAAUCAAGAAAAAUUAGAAAAAUAUUAAUGCAUAGAAAUUCUACUAAGAGUUAUUUAUGAAAUUCUCAAACGAAUAGAAAUUAAAUUAACAUUUUUAAAUUUUAGUUAUGGGUUUAUUUUAAAAAUGGGUUUAGAAAGAAAUUUGAGGGGUUUAAAGAACCCCGCCCUUUCUUUAAUUAUUCGGUGAAUUUGAAAUAUAUUAAUAAGGUAUAAGAAUAUGUUAUUCUAAUCUUCUUAUGCAAAAUCUAUGCAAUUAAAAAAAAAUUCACCAAACGGUAUUUGUCUUUUUAUUGACAUUUAAUAAUAUUGAUGGCAAAUAUAUACAAUUAUCAAUCAAUUGUUAUCAACUAUUCAAGAUAACUGAAAAACUAAUUGCGUGAAGUUGGAGUAAUGAUUGUUUGAAUUGCCAAGAGUUUUUUUUUAAUAGAAACUAUUGCAAUUCAUAUCAUUAAAAAACUUAAAGACUACAAGUCGAAUAAAAAAUCUUUCCUUAUAAAAGAAUUUGACCAACUCAAAGUACAGUGUUAAAUCCUUGAGAUACAAUGAACCUAAAAAUCCUACUUUGACACACCACAAAUAAUGAAUCUAACUUAACAAUCAAUGGAGAUAAAUCAAUUUUACUAGCAAAAUAUAAGCCAAAACACAAGGCAACGUCUUCACCAAAAUCAAUAUCAUUCAAAUAAUUCCCCUUGUGAACGCCUGAAGCUAUCAUAAAAACAACAAAAAAUAAAAAAAUAAAAACAAGUAGACAAGCAAAAAAAUUCCCCAAUAACAAGUUACCCUACAAAACUUUUCCUUGUAGAACAUACACAGAAACCGCAGCUAUAGGGCUAUCGAAAGUAGGGAUGGCAAUGGGGAGGGGAGGGGAGGGGACCAAUCUCCCCAUACCCAUCCCCGAUAUUUUGCGUAUGUCCCCGUCCCCGUCAGAAUUGCUUGAGAGAAUCUCCAUCCCCUCCCCGAAUAAUAACAGGGGAUCCCCGAGGGUCCCCGGUCUUUGGAAAAGCUAGGAAAGAAAAGGGACGUGAAAAACAAAGGGGGUAGAUUUUUUGAAGGGGAAAGAAAAAGAAACCCUAGAUCUAAAUUUUUCUCUUCUCUCUAUGAAGAACUAAACCUAUUAUUCUGGUUGAAGAUUAAUAAAGCUUUGGUUCAUCAUUACUGUGAGAUCUUUCUUAUGCUUUAAUUGUUUUAUUGCUUUUUGGGUAUUUGUUUAUUCUCUAAAUUAUUGUCAUGAUUAUAUUUGUUAAUUAGAUAAUUGGCCACUAUUUAAUUAUCAACUUAAUCUAUUGUCAAUUAAAAGAUUCAUCGUAUGAAGAUUUUAAUAUUUGUGACAAAUAGCAUAGCAGUGCGUUGUGUUAUGAGAAUAAACAAUCUAAUUUAAAUGAACCAUCGUAUGCGUUUGUUGAUUAGGAUUUGGGUCUCUCUGAUUUUUCAGGUUGUCAAUUAAUUAAAUCCUAUGAUUGUAUCUAGGGUUAUCUAUUAAUUAGGGAAAUAACCAAUGGUCGUACCUUAGUUAUCGACUAGUUAAAGAGAGAUUGGCUAUUAAAGGGUCUCAGUAGCUAGGGAUGGCAAAAAUCCCCACGGGGACGGGCACCCUCGGGGAUUUUCCCCAUUCGGGGAGGGUACGGGGAUAAUUUUAUACCCAAUUUUUUUUUCGGGGAGGGGACGGGGAAAAUUUUUUACCCAAUUUUUUAUUCGGGGAGGGGACGGGGAUGAGGUGGAAUCCCCAUCCCCUACCCAUUUCCCCAUUUUAAUUUUUAUUUUUUAUUUUUAAAAUUACUAAUAAAUAUAUAACAAAAUUAUAAAUAUUGGCAAGAUAUGAGUGGAAUUUUGGGUGUGACAUGUAUAUUUGAUCCAAGGUAUAAAAAGAAGUUCAUUGAAUAAUACUUUUCUUUUUAUUUUUAAAAUUACUAAUAAAUAAAUAACAAAAUUAUAAAUAUUGUUAAAAAUAAUAAAUAUCAAAAUAGUUGUAUGUUGGGAAAGUGGUCACCCCUUACCAGGAAUUAGUGGAAGAGUAUCAAUUGAAGUUUUCACCAAUUGUUUAUUGCUUUGAUUAUACUGGUUGUAGUUCUUCUAUUAGAUCUACAGGGGAUUCUUAUAAGAAAGCAACCAAAUGGAUGACAUGUUUUGAUGAUUAUGUAAACAAUGGAGAUUGUGCAGUUGUUGCAGAUGAAUUAGAUUCAUAUUUGGAUGAAAAAGUUAUACCCCGGAUGGAAGAUUUUAAUAUUUUGAGUUGGUGGAAGACAAAUGCUAAUAGGUAUCCUACAUUAGCUCGAAUUGCUACAGGACGAGCAGGAGGUAAAUAGUUUUAUUAAAAAUAUUAAUUAAGUAUCUACAUUUAUUUCAUUUAUUUUAUUGCCGAUGUAAAAAAUAUUUUUUUUUUCUUUUUAUUGUAGGAUUAUGAAGAUUGAGACAUUGAUAAAGAUAAUUAUUUUAAUAAUUUAUAUUUUGAAUGUGACUUUGUAAUGGAUCAAUAUUAAUGUAAGAUAUAUUUUAAACUUUAUUUUUAUCUGAAUUUUUUAUUUUAAUAUGAUUAAUUUAAAAUCAAAAAUAAAAAAAUGUAUUAGACUAUUAAUUAUUCGGAGACCGGGGACCCUCGGGGAUCCCCUGUUAUUAUUCGGGGAGGGGAUGGGGAUUCUCUCAAGCAAUUCUAACGGGGACGGGGAGGGGACGGGGACAUACGCAAAAUAUCGGGGAUGGGUAUGGGGAGAUUAGUCCCCUCCCCUCUCCUCCCCAUUGCCAUCCCUAGAUUUUUGCCAUCCCUAUCGAAACCUCUACCCACCACUAUUAGAGUUAAAAAAAUCUCUGAUAUGAGUGUAUUCUUCUAAUUUGAACUCUAACGUGAUUUUUUGAGAGAUUCAUUGGAAAAAAACCUUAAGGAGUUAAAGAAGAAAUUUAAAAAAAAAAUCAUAAAAAGAGGAAUGAAAAGAAAAAGAUGCUUUACCAAGAGUUGAUUGACAGUAAUUGGUAAAUUUGAGCAUGCAAUAAAAUUUACCCAUAUAUUCAUAUGACAUAAAAUAUAAUUUUAUUCAUUAAUUACACUACUAAUUUGUCUAAAUUUUAGUUUUUAAAAAAAUAAAUUUCUAUAUAUUUACAUAAAUCUUAGUUUUUAUAAAAAUAAAUUGAAAAAUAAAUUUAUGUUUUUAUAAAAAUAAAUUUAUGUUUAUUUUUUUACAUUGACCUGAAGAAAAGACUAGUACUACUAAGCUGCUGUACGGCCAAGGCGGAUGUACGGUACAGCAGCAAUUUGACUGUUUGGGGGUGGGGUUGAUGGCUUACAUCAAAGUUAGUGUGUGCUAAGGAUUAACAAUAAUAAUGGGGUAAAUAUGAAAUUAAUCCUUGCCCAAGCAUUAGAAGUUCGUCGGUUUUCUUUUAACCGGAUAAUUACCGGUGAAUAUGUCACGCGUUCCUACACGUGGCAGCAUCUAAUUUAUUCGCUUGUCAUUUCAGUUUCUGUUAGUUACAGUUUCUGUAACGUAGCUAGCUCCGUCAGGUACAGGCAUGUUGUAACUUACGUUUCUCGUAAAAAUCAUAUAAGUUCUAUUUCUACCGCUAGGGUGAGCAUGGGUUGAUUUGGAUUAAAUUUUAAGUUAAUUUAAAUUAAAUUAUAAAAAUUUGGGUGUAAUCUAAAUUAAUUUAAAUAUUUUUAACAUAACUCAUGGGUUGGUUAAAUCAAACUAUAAAAAUUUGGUCCAACUCAAAUUAACUCAAAUAUUUUCAACACAACCCAAAGCAACUCAGUUGGAUUUUAUUAAAAUUAUAAUAAUUAUUAAUUGUUUUUAAACCAACCAUUUUGAGUUUGGUUUGGAUUUUAUUAUCAAAAUAUAUUUUUUAUUUUGAGAAAUUUAAUUUUAUCAAAAUUAUAAUAAUUAUUAAUUGUUAUUACUUAUUAAAUUGAUAAUAACAUAUAAAAAUUAUAAUUCAUAAAAAUUAUAAAUAACAAAUUUUACAAUAACUUAAUCCUUAAAUUAAAGAAUACUAGAAAAUUAAAAUAAAGUUUAAUCACAAAAAUCAUUAUUUAUCAAUAAAUAAGAAAAUUCUAAUAAAAAACUUCUACAAGCACGAUAUCGACAAGUAAAUUCAAAGAAAGAAAGAAAGAAAGAAAAGACUAGUACUACUAAGUAUUAACCCUAUUACAACACAAACUCUAACAAUGUCCAUACAAAUAAAAAAAAAUAAGACAUUCUAACUCAAGUGUCAAAGCAAUCCAUCAUAAUCAUUUCCAUCCGUAGUACUUUAAUCGAGAGAUUCCACGAUUAACUGACAAAAUGUAUGACAAUGAUAAUUUACAUUGAUUAUGACAUAAUAGAGAUGGAUUUGUCAAAGCCAAAUCAUUUGCUGGAAAGGAAUUUAGUUGAAGUAGGAACCAAAAUUCAACUUAGAUGGAUCUAUAAAAUUGGUCAUUCAAUACAUAAGUACUUUAUCAACAGAUUCAACACAUUAUAAAUUUAUGGAUUCAACUAAGUUACAACCAGCUGCAACUUAUUCCUCUCACAUAAACAAUAAUACAGCGGUAGGCUAUAUUAUUUACAAAAAGUACUUAUGUAUUGAAUGACCAAUUUUAUUACCUGCAAAAUUAAUUAAUCUUUCACUCUAUCAUCUAACUAAUGGAAGGCAAUCUUAUUUUAGGUUGUAAUGAUUAGAAACUAGCAGGAAGUGGGGGCGAUGCUCCAUAUUAAUUUGGAUAAAUCCCUUUCUAGUGAAGAAGUUAAAAUUAUAAAAUAGAGAUCAAGAUAGAAAUUUAAAGGCCCCGAUUGUUUUUUACAGACUUAAAAAUGAUAUUGAAAAAUUAAAAGCUAAUUUUAGUAUUUAAAAAUUACUUUAAGAAAAAUCACCCUAUCUUCCUGUAAAUUUUGAAAAGCAUGAAAAGAGCAGUUUUUCAAAAAUUGAUUUCGAAAAUUAGUUUCAUACUUAAUACAAUUCCAUAUAUCCUAACAUUUAUUAUAAAAAUUCAAAUUAUCCUUAUUAAAUUAGGAAAUAAAGUCAGUACAUUUAAAUAAGAGUGAUGAUAUAGACACAAACUCUUGUACCAACUGACGUAGCAUUAAUUUAUUAGUUGAAUGAAAAUAUAAAAUAAUAUAAAUAAAUCAUGUGGGCCAAGAAAUAUUUAAUUUAACCAAUUUUAUCAUGUCACAUUAUAAGCAACUUAUAAACUCAUUGGAUUCGACUCUUUACUAAAAUAAAAAUAAAUUAAUAUAUAUAUAUAUAUAUAUAUAUAUUUACAUACAUAAAAUGUGAUUAUAUACACAUAUUUAUAAUUGAAUAUGUACAUAAAUUCUGUAGAUUUAUGUCUAUCUAUACAUUUGCAUUCUUACCACAUUUUAAAAGUGUGAUUUACCAAAUACAUGGGACUUAUUUGAAAUUUAUAGCACUUUUAUAAAUAAAAUUUAUCAAACGUUAAACAGAUUCUCUAUUUUCGCGUAUAUAUCCUCAUGUAAAUUAUAAAAAUUCAAAAUUAUCUUUAUUCAAUUAGGAAAUUAAAUCAUUAUUUUUAAAGAGAUUCUUAUUAUUACUAAUUAGAUUCAAAUAACCAAAAAAAUACAAUCAAUAAAAUAAAAAUAUUUAUUUUAGUUAUCAUUUAUUAUAUACACAUAUUUAUAAAUGCAUGUGUAAAUAAAAUUUUAUAGAUUUAUGUCUAUUUAAGUUAUUUGCAUUCUUACAACAUUUAAAAAAUGAGAUUUACUAAACACAUGUGAUUGUUUUUAAAAAAGUUACAACACUUUUAAAAAUAAAAUUUAACAAAUGUUUAAUUGACUCUCUCCAAAGGUAAUUGUUUUUACAGUAUAGCUAAAGUAAUUUAUAAAUUUAUGAUAAGUAUUUGUGAAUAUUGGUCUAUGUAAAGAAGUAAAAACAACAUAUAUAUUAAGCAGCAUGAUAUUAAAACUCUUAGUAAAAUACAUAUACUAAUAAAAGAAAGACAACAAUGCAAUAAAUAAGCUUAUAAUAUAAAUUAUUAAAAUUGUAUAUUAAAAAAUUAUGCAUGAAAUUCUUUUUCUAUUUUGGUGAUAGAGAAUGCGAUAUAAUUGAAUUAUUUGAUUUAAUAAAAAAAAAAUAUGACUGUGAAGGAAAUUAACAAUUGAAUUGUGGAAUGUUAUUAAUUGUUAUUGUAUCAUUUUGCAACGUUCUAAUAAUAUGGACAAUGUUACAGUAUAUUGAUGGGCGGUAAUAUUUUCACCUCUUAAAUUGUGUAAAGUCAGCUCCAUUUAAAAAAAUUAUAUAUAAAAAGCCCAUUAGUUUUAAUAGUUUCAAAUUAAGAUUAAAUGCAAAUAAUUAACCAAUUAAAUCCUUAUUAAUAAGAUCAUUGAGCUUUAAUUAAACUAAUAAAAUGCAUUUGAUAAAUGAAAUUUACGAUAUUUAAUUACAUGAAAUUUAUUGACUACAUGAAUAAUAUAAUUGUUCAGCUGUUUAAACUUUUUCCCUAUUUAAAUUUUAAAAAACAAUGUGAAAUUUUGUAAAUAGUUCUUUGAAAUGGGGUGGAUUUACACCAUUUGUGCAGUGCAAAUAUCCUAAUUCUAACAUUUUUUUUAAAAAAAAAGACCAAAUCAUAACAUUUUUUGUAUACUAAGUUAAAGUAGUACUAACAUUAUAGCCCCCUAAUGAUUUCAAUUCAUUCAAUGAAUAUAUAAUUUAAGCAUGUUAUAAACUAAGUCUCUAAAUCGAAUUAAAAAAAGAAAAAAGAGCUUAAUUGCUGACAUAGUUGAAAAUAAAAUAAAAAAUUUUAUUAUUAGAUGAAAAAUUAUGAAACUUAAGGGGUAUAAGCGAGUCGGCAGCUGCUCACCAGGGCAUAUGUAAUAUUUGUUAAUACAUUUCAAAAUUUUAGGUUUUUUAAUAAUAUUUUCAAUACAUUUUCUAGAAGGUUUAGAAAAAAAAAAUGACUCAAUACUUUAAUCGAGCUAUGAAUAAACUCAUGUGUUAAAAAAUUUCAUAUUUACACCCAAUAAGAUUAAUUAAUGGGUGAUACAAAUUUAAGAUAGUUAAUAAUAAUAUAUAUCAUCUUAAGUUAACUUCAACUCAUUAACCUUGUAUAAGGUUUGAUGGGUCGUGCCGCAAAUUAUCACCUCUAAUCCUUUUUGCAACAGGCAUGAUGAAUGCUAACAAAAUGAAACUUCUAUAUAUUUAGUUGUUAUUCUUUUUAAUGAAAUAAUAAGGAGCUUUGCUGCAAAUUUCCAUCCAGCAUGGCAUGGACGCACGUGAAAUUUGCUAGUAUGGUCCUGGACAUGCGUGGCUGAGAUGCUUCUAAAGGCAAAGAAUUCCAAGUUCAUACCAAAUAUAACUUUCUGAUAUUUUUGUGGUAUCAAGUUUGUUUUUCACAAACUAAGGUGUCGGCGUAAAGUUGUUGUCCAUGCAAUGAAGUUUUAUACAUAAAUAUAUUAACCUAAAUUGUUACUAAAGUUCCAUAAUUAGCAGUUCCUGAGAGUUUUUACUAUAUAUUUUUUUGUUUUAAUUCAACAUAUGUUUAUUUAAUACGAUUUUAUUAAAUAAAUGUGCAUAUUUACCAUAUUUGUCUACGAUCAAUUAGUUGGAAAAAAAAAAGAAAAUUAAUAAAUUUAUUUAUUUGAUUGUUAAUGGUUUAGGCAUUUGAAUUCCCACAAAGUCAGGGUGUCAGCUCUGGACUUCUGGUGAUGUAUUUUUCUAAUAAAGAAAUAAAAUAUUGUUGUCAUUUUUUUAAUAUUCUAAUUUACCAAGCCUACCAACCAAUUAAUUUUUCUAAUUAGAUCAUUAAUUCAUUACACGUGCAUUCGCUGGCCCAGUGCUCCAAUCCCAUGCAUGCUGCACAACUCAAUGUGUUUUAAUAAGAAAAGGUUUGGUUAGCCUGUGCUGAUGCCAGAAGCCCCUUAAGGAGUUCAGGUAAACGUAAAUAUGUCCAGAUUUAGAUUUGAAUAUGUAAACGUAAAUAGGUCCAGAUUCAGAUUCGUUGCGCUAGAGAGGGGCACGCACGAUCGGGCUGCUGUCAGGUGGUACGUUGGCGUGGCAAUUCUCAACACGCGCUUCUCCUGGUGCAUACUUACGGCAAGUUGACACGUGACCCGUGUGGAUUGAGUGGACAGAGUCACGGGCACUGAUUUUUGUCAUCCAUAACGACUAACGUCGGAGACUUCGAGAAGAAAGAAAUUGUUGUCGUUUCUAAGGGGAAAAAAAUAUUUAAUUUGUUGAAGACAAAUUAACGUCGGAGAUUUUUUUUAUUUUUUAUUUUUAAUUUUGCAAUCUAAACCAGUCUAAUCAAAAUGUCAAUUUGACAAAAGUUGGACUGAUUUAGAUUAGUUCUAUUAGUUUGAUUGGAUUAAAUUGAAUUAGAUCUUGAACAUCCUAACACUUUUCAUGAAUGUUUUCCUUUUUUUUUGAAAAAAAUUAAUAAGGAGAAUUCCCAUGAAUGUUAAUUUUAUUGAUAAACUUGGCAAUUUUAAGAAAUGUUUUGACGCACGAAUAAUGCAAUUCAUCAACCCACAUAGAUAUGGAUAUAGGAAGCAGAGACCAGAUCGAUCUUGACAUAACGAAAACUUGUAUGUGUAUAUGUAUGUUACAGACCAGAUCGAUCUGUAGCAUAGACUUCUCCUAUAUGUAGGUUAUAUUCAAAUUACAAAAUGAACACAUGUUAAGGAUCUACAACUUCUUCUUUAAUCUAAUAAGCUCCCUCAACUUUAUUCCAAAACAAAAAAGAAUCAAAUUUUUGUUGGAAAUAUUUAUGAAUGAAGAAGCAAAAAGCGCUUGUAUCAAGGAUCUAAUUAAAGAACUGCCAGAGGCAUAGAUCUAUCAAAGCUCCCUCGCAUGACUCUUGGUCUCGGUGGCUUCUUCUUCUUCAUUCCGAAUUUUCCCUCCAUCUGAUCUCUUCCAACCUUUCCAUUUCCAAAUUGAAUUGAAACUUGCCUCAUAUUCGUUUGUUGAAUCCCAUCUUUUGUUGCACCACCAUGCAUCAAAAUCCUUGAAAUCCCAGCAUAAUGCAAGGACUCAGCUAUUUGCAAUGGGGUCACGUUCUUACUUGUCCUUGCCUCAACAUCAGCUCCCUUCUUCACAAGCAAUUCAGUCACAUCUGUGUGGCCAGAUUCCACCGCACAAUGCAAAGCUGUGUACCCAUCUUCAUCUUUAGCAUCAACAUCAAUCCCUUUAUCAAUCAGAAUCCUCACAACCUCAAUCUUUCCCUUAAACGAAGCCCUAUGCAAAGCAGUCCAUCCAUGUAGGUCUUUCCCAUUGAUCGCGGCGCCUGCUUCGAUCAACCUCUGCAUUGUCCUCACUUCCCCUUUCCUAGCGGCAAUACACAGGCUGUCACCAAGCUUCAACGCGUCAAAGAGACGGGAGUGACCGCACUCAGCAGCAACAUCAUAAGCGGUCUUUCCGCUCUUGUUUCUAAUAUAUUUAUUAGCACCCUUCUGCAAUAACAGCUUCACCAUUUGCUCAUAUCCCAAGCUUGCGGCGAUAUGCAAAGGCGUGUCACCGUCUCUAGCGUUGCGUAUAUCAGGCCUUGCUCCGUUUGCUAACAGAAGUCUCGCGCAAUCUCUUCUUCUGUCUUCAACCGCGAGAUGCAGAGCUGUGUUACCAUCUUUUGUUAAAGCAUUGACAUUAGCACCUUUGAUUAAGAGAAGCUUUAGUACUUCCAAAUGGCCGCCUCGUAAGGCCAAGUGUAUGGGCCCCCAUGUUGAUGUUCCUGAUCUUUCUGUGCUGGCUUUCCUCGCCAACAAGAGCUCAACAAUAAGUGCUUCCCCUGCAGCCGCCGCGGCUUCAAGUGGAGUACUGCAGCCACACCUGCCUUGAGACUCAACAUCCGGCCCAAACUCAAGCAAAAGUUGAACAAUAUCAGGCCUCCUUUGAGCUAUAGCAAUAUGAAGCAACGUUUGUCCCUGCGCAUCGGCAGAAUCAGCCGGGUUCCAAGCCGGGUCACUCCGCUCAAGAACCUCUCUUAAAUCAUCCAUUUCACCAUCCUUAACAAGCAGAACCAAAACAGGAGACCCAACGAACAUGAUCUUGAUUCCGCUGUCGAUGAACACUUGCUUCUUCCUCGUUGUGAACCAGUCACUGGGGACGGAAUCAAGCGUCGACGUUGCAUCUUUAAUUCCAGCUCCAGGAACAACAACGCUGUGCAAGAGGAAGGAAUCAUCACAGUGAGGGAAAGAAUCAGGAAGAACCGAUCCUGGAGGGAGAUGAUACGCAAUCUCUACGCUUAGUGUUGCGAGUGGUGAUAUGAUUCCUGAUUGCGGCUUCACAGUAUAACGAGCCUUGUUUGUAGGCUGAAUCCUGAAAGCAACAGGCAUCGUGUGCAUGACAUUGCGGAGAGUCAGCUCCCCGGAACAUUUCUGCCCUGGUUCAAUUCUGAUAGCUACAAGGUUCGACGGCUCCAAGCUUACAAGCCUAUCCAUUGAUUAAUUUUCUCUCCGUUUCCCAAGGACUGCUGAAAGGGGUUCUUUGAACUUUUUGAUUCAGGCUUAUUUUCUUCACUUUUGGUGGCAUGGGGAGGAAUUAGAGGAGUAACUGUAAGAGCUGCAAGUGUUGGUGUAAUCAACUGUAAUAUAAGGAGAAGAGAGGGCCGGCUCUAAUGGGAGACUGCCACGUGGUGGUGUUAAAAACAAUGAGACUUGUUCUGUUCGGCGUCCGGAGUGUAUAUACAGUUGUGUUAGUGGUGAAAGUUAAAGAAAUCCUGAAGUUAUUUUCGGAGUGGCUUCUGCAAAGUCACUUUCAGGAUUGUAUUGUAUCAUUAAAAAACAAAGCCAGUUUUUGUUGUUCUAGUAAAAGGCGAAUCAUUGGACAAACUCGUAAGAAUAUGUUGCCAAAUGUAUAAAAUAUGAAAUUCAAACAAUGAUUACAAUGUGAAAUUGGACAAUGGACAUGGCCUGUGUGAAUUGUUUUGUGGGCUUACUAAUUAAAUUAAUUCACUAAAAAUAAUGUCACUUUUGUGUCUGUGAAGAAGCCGAAAUGGCACAGUCAUUUACGUGGCCAACUACGGUGACUACUUCGUCAGUAGCUGCUCGAGCACUUGGUCAGCACAAGUUGCUUUCUUUCUUGGCGGGAUUAGUUUUUCUUCAUUGCUUUAAGUGGUGCAUUUCUGCAGUUUCAUUUUGCUUUGCUUAUGCCAUUGGAUUUGUGCCCCAUAAAUAAAUAUAUAAUUAAGCGGAAAAGUAUCAAAUUUUGAAAAAGCUUAGGUUUUGUGUGUGUGUGUGUGUGUGUGUGUGUGUGUGUUUUAAGCCGAAUUACUCGGCUAAAAAUUAAUCCGAUUAUUAUUGUUUUGGUGCUUAAGAUGUGACUCUAACCUAAAGCUCAUUUGAACUCUCUUGAUGCUCAUAUGGUAUUUUUUGUGUUGUGUCGUGCUGGCCCUUACACAUCUCGGCUCAUAUUUUUCAUGUUACUAAGUUCUAAUAUGUACAAAAGAAAUAGAGCAAUGUCCGGUGGUAGAUCCAAACACUCAAUUUGGGGUGCUUAUUUUUCAGUCUCAAAUUCGAUUAUUUUCUUUUAAAAUAUUAAAAUAAUAGUAAUAAAAUACUUAUUUUAAAUACUGAGCUCAUUACAACCACAUAUGUAAAAGUAUCAUUUAUAUUUUUUUUCUAAAUAAUCUUCACAAAAUAUUUUAAAAAAUAAAAUUAUGUGACUAUGGGGAUUUGAACCAAGUCUCUCAAACUACUAAAUAACACUUUUACCACUAAAUUACAAAUCUUUUAACAUAUUAAAAGUGCAUCCAAAUUAUUAUUAUUAUUUAAUUAUUUCAUAAGAGAUUUGGGGCACAUUUAAAAGAAAAAAAAUUAAUGGUGCAUAAAGGACUAAAGCCUCUCUUGAGUCCUUGACCUUAACUAGGUCCACCCAUGGUAAUGUCAGUGAUACCCAACUUGAAAAAUAUACAAGAAACUUGGAAAUUUAAAUUAAUGAAUAAAUAAAUAAAUAAAAGGAAACUUAGUGAUUGUAGCUGUUGUAUUGUAUUGUGGAUCAAAGAAUUACAAGUUCUUGGUUUCUCGGUAUUGGCUAAUUUUGAAGUUAAAUGAAGUUCGAAAAUAUUUACAAGCAAUAAAAUUAUCAACUGAAUGAGACAAGGAAAGAGUAUAAAGACCUUAGCAAAUUAGCAAUCCUUCUUUAAUUUAGUAACAGUGACGCUUAUAAAGUUAGAAGACGUAUCAAAUCUAAUUUAGAUUUUGCCCCAUAAAACUAACUUAACUUAUAGUGCGUCUUUGUUUAAUUAGUAAAUAUUCCACAAAAACUGAUCAGCACUUUAUAGGAAAUUCCAAACACGUUUAUAUUCACAAGGAAUAUGUCAAGGAGAAAUGAGAAUAAAAAAAUGUAAAAACUAAUAAAGCUUCAUUAAUUAGAAUUUAUAACCAUAUGUGCUCCUAUACUACUUUUAUUAUUAAGAAUUUGAAGUAGAAGGUAGUUGAUUAUCAUGAAAUUACAAAAUUGUAAACGGAUUUGUUCUUUUGGAAAAAGAAAAAAAAAAAAAAAGGAAGGAUAGUUGAUUACUUGAUUAGUGAGAAAUCAUACGUAUAAAGGACAAAUUGAAAAAUGGGACCUGAAUUGCAACAAAGCUUCAUUGGAAUUAACUGCCGAUAAAAUUAAAUUAGUAUCACCCUACCCUUUCAUCUUAAUAUAUUCGAAAUUUCACCGAUCAAAGUUUCUAGCUUCGAUUUUUACGAUCUCUCAUCCUAAUAACACCAAAAGCAUAUUCAUUCGUUUGUAAGAUUAUGUAACAAAAUAUAGUAAAUAGCCUAUAAUUUUUUUGUUUUACUACUAACCUGUUAUCAUUCUUUUCUAAUAAUACAUGUUAAAAUAUUCACAGAAAAAAUUUAUCCCUAUUACACCCAACCACCUUUUUUUGUGUUUUUUUUGUUCAAAUUUUAGCAUUAAAGGGACAAUAAUGUCCUAUGAAAUAUGCAGAAAGACAGUUAAUAAUAUUCAAAAAUGUAAGUGGAGGUAUCUUACGCCACACACACAAAUUACACGACUCUCAUUAAUGUGUUGUUGUUGUUAUGUGUGGCGUAAGUUACAGUUGAAUGUCAUAUUCAAAAAAGUAAGUGGAGGUAUCAAUCUCCCUAAAUAAAUAAUUUAUGGAAGGUUGUUAGCUGUUGUACUUUUAGUUAAUUUUAAAAUCACAAUAAUAUGGUUAAUGUUAAGUUACAUGCAUGUAACUUAGGAGGAUCCCAAUAAUAUACCAUAUUUUAUUAAUAUGUACAGUAUUUAUAAUAUUUAAAAAUUAAGGAAUUAAUGUACGCAUGUAAAAGCUGCAUUGGAGCCAGUUGGAAAUCUUACUGUCUUGAUAUAUGCAACGAUUGUAGCAGCUAAAAAGGCAUGAUAUUUACUUAAUAUUAUUUCAAACAAUAAUUAUUUAUUUAAAGCAAAUAAUAAUAAUGAGGGCAGAAGGACUAUUCUAGGAUCAAUAUGGUGACAGUAUAAAUAAAUAAUAUUAAUUAUUAAUGCAUUGAUGAGUAUUGUUAAAAUGACAUAAUAGGUUUGUUUCAUUGAAUUGAACCUUUUCUCUUAAAAUAGCUAUAAUUUGUUCUCUCUCUCUCUGUGUUUUUGUUUUUGUUUUUCACUUUAGUUUUACUUCUCUUAAAAAACCAAAAAAAAAAAAACAAAAUUAAUGGAAACUGAUGAUGGGAAGACGGACAAUUUUCUAUAUUGUUAAAUAGAAAUGGGCACAAAUGUGAGUUUUUUGGGGCAAAAAAAUAUAGUCAAUGUACGUAGCGUUUGUCUAUUUGAAAACCCGUCAAUAUAAAAACAGGACGUAAAGCUUUCAGACAAAGUACUCUUAUGGCCGUACUUUCCAUAAACCAAAUCAAAAGAAGGAAAAUAUUUGUGUCUGGCUUCGAUGCGACUGUUAACAUUCACAAAUAAACACCUUUGCAUGGUCAGAAAAAUUAACAAGAAAUUAGAAGGCGAUGUUGCGUUCUACUUAGUUCUCUAGGAUUUGUGUCAUUUGUUUAUGCUACGGUUCGUUCCCAUUUGCAUUGCGUGGAAUAAUUGGCCGAAUAUUAUUAAUCUCAAUCUUAAUCUCUCAACUCUUGUCCCUUUAAUUUUUGUUUGUAUCUUUUUCUUUUUUUUUUUAAAUAUCACAUACAAUGCUUUUAAUAAAUAACUUCAUAGAAAUAUUUAAUAAAAUCCAACAUAUAUAAGUUCAAGAAACUCAAAAAAUAAAAGAAAAUAAACUCACGUUGUCACUGGAGAGACUCAAACAUGCUACCUUAAAAUUAAGUAGAGGGUGCAACUACUUGCACUUUAAAAAAAGAAAAGAAAAAAAAAGGGGCUUUGAACGCUCGUGAUAAUUUGCAAGUUAUGGAGGAUAAUCAUUGUACAAUGGGGAGAACUCUUAUGGAACAAUAUUCAAACUGAUAUUGAAAGCAUAUAAGAAUUUGGCUUGGGUGUUUUGGUGCCAUGAAUGAGUGCAGAAACAAAGAGGAAGCUUUGUCCCUUUAAUUUGAUCUGCUGUAUUAUAAUUAUUGAGAUUAAUCAAAUAAAUAACCGAAACAUGGUUACAGUUUUAUAGUGUAUUGCAAGUCUUUGGAGAUACUAUGUACCUCAAAAAAAAAUAUCGUAUAAAAGAGUGUUUUGUUUCACAGGGGUUCAAUGAGAUUUGAGAUGGCUGUAAUGAAAGUGAUGUAAAUUUUUUGGACUCUAAUGAGGUGUUUUUAGAUGGAGGGGGAUUUACAAGUAUUUUAUAGGGGUGAUAAAUGACUGUAUACCCACCAAAAAGGCCCAUUGUUCGAGUCCAUGAGCAUUACAGUUUUUUUUUUUUUUUUUUUUGAAAUUCAGAACAUGCAGUUUGUUUGAUUCAACUUCCGAAUUACAAAAUUAGAAUAAGAAAAAAAAAUGUGGAUGUUUUUUCUUUAAUUUACAUAAUAAUACAUGGUGUGGACGAUGUCUAUUGAGGGAUAAAAGAGGAAUGGGGGCACUGUGAAGUUUGUGUUUUUGUUUUUUUUAAAUUAUCAUAUUCAUACUGUCUAUAAAAAUAUGCAAGUUAAAAAAUUACUCAUGAUAUUGUUGUUUUUGUUUCAUAUAAUACUACUUAUGCACAUCGCCUCAUGCAAACAUUUCUUAGUUAUGCUUAAAAAAAUGAGAUUCUCACCAUGGGUCACUGUAAAAAUCCACAGAAGCCGUGGAUCACAGUAGGAAGCCCACUUGAACAGAAGAAGCUACCGAAAGCUUCGACAUUGUAUUUAUGAAAUGCUUAGUAAAUUUUGUUUUAUUUUGAAUUUAUAUUAUAAAUGGUGUGUUGCUAAAUUAAAAAAUAAAAAAGAAAUGCAAUGUGUCAAAAUACAAGAAUCUUACGGACAUUUUUGUCACAAUAUAUGUAAAUAAUUCAUAUCUUAUUCAUAUCCUAUGUAAGCUUCACUUGUUUAACACAAUGGUGGUUGAAUCUUCAAAAAUUCAUAAUCUUAAACAACCAAAUUUGGAAUUAAUUAAGCAAAUUGCCUCUAUAAAUUGAUUACAACAACCAACGACGUGUGAAGCCACAUGUCAAUUUCCCUAGACAGCCCAAAUAUUGAGGCGCUGUGAGGGAGCAAGGUGCAAUCGGAUGGGGGAAAGAGAGAGAGCCAAUGGUGAGAAUGGAUCGUGGUGAGGGAGAACCAACUGGUGGUGAGAUUUGUGGCUUCAAUGAGGUGAGUUUCGUGGCGCUGUGAGUGAAGUGAGAUUUGGCAUGAGUGUGAGGGAGAAUGCGUGUGUUGUGUGAGUGAGGUAAGCUGUGUCUGUUGUGUGCAUGGAGACUCUCACCACAAUUAGAAUUUAUAGUUAGCACAGAACGAAACACAAUAUUCUACGCUAACUGUGGAGUUAACCAUGGUGAGAAUAUCAUUAUUGUUUAUUAUAACACUUUUUUUUUUAAUUUGUUUUGACAAUAAAAUAAAGAACCUUGUAAGAAAACCUCAAUAACUCAAUUAAAAAACCAACUCAACCGAUGAUAGGUAAAUUGAGAAAUUUUCAACUAAAAAUUAUUAAGAUUGGUUUUAACUUCAAAUCAUAGUCACAUAGUUUUGUCCUUAUAAAGAUCAAAAUAAUGAAUUCUAACUCCGAAGUUUUUAGAUUUAUGUGACGAACUGACGAUAGUAUAUUGAAAUCGAUUGAAAUGAAAAAUUUAAUUAAAUGCAAUUCAAGAUGUAGUAUCAAAUUCAAACGAUUCGGAUUGUUUUAAAAAUUUCAAUGCUUUAAUCUAAAUCGAUUAAUCAAUUACACUCUUGCAAUUAUAUACCGUUAAAACUAAAAUAUGUAAAAUUUAGGGUGCAUUUAUUACCAUUUUCAAUUUGUUGUUUUUCGUUUUAUGAAAAGGAAAAUACAGAAAACUUGUUUGGUGAGCUCAUAUUGGUGGAAAACUGUACAGUGAUUAAAAACAAAAAAAAAUUCAUUUUUCAAUGUUUACAAAGGAAACAAGAAAACGCUAUUACACUGGGUUCUCUAUUUUAUUUCACUUUUACUCUCUGCCAAGGCCCUACCAUCUUAACUUUUAUAACAUGGUGUAAUAAAUUACGUGGGCCCAUUUAAUAAAGAAAUAAUCUAAUAAAUAAAUUAUUAUAACAAAUAUUUAAAAAUAAUAGCAUUCCAUACCUUACAGCUUAAUUACUUAAUAUAUUACCCAAAUUAUUUUAAAUAAAAAGUGAUAUCAUAUAAUUAUUAUACUAAAUUAUUACAUUGUUCGACCAAUAUGCAGUUAUUUAAAAAUUACUACAAACUUUCUUACAUAUAUUAAUGAAAAUAUAUCAAUAAUAAAGUUACAUCUUGACAGUUAAUAUAAAUAAAUAUAUGAUAAUUAUGAAAUAAUUAAAGAUUUUCUCAAUUAAUAUUAUCUUAUAACUACAAUUUAUUUACAUAAUUAAAAGUUUUUAAGAAAUUAUUAAAAUAUCUUCAAACCUAUAUGCAUUUAUAAUAAUAUAUAAUACAUCAUAAUAUAAUAACUAAAUAGAUAAAUUAUUUAUUAAUAUAAAAUAUAUGUUUAUAUUCAUUAUAUAAUAUUAUUCUUUCAUAGUAGUUUCAUUAAAUAAUUCUCUACUCUCUCUCUUUUUAUCUUUAUUUUUUCGGACAGACAAGUAACCAAACACCGCUUCACCUUUUUUUUAUUUUCAAAUACUAUUCUUAAAAUAAACUACCAAACAUAUUUUUAUUUUUAACAAAAACUAAUCAUUUUUAUUUUAUAAAACAAAUUGAAAAGUACUAUUUAAAAUAUAAUACCAAACUUACCCUUAAUAAUUUUAUAUUUGUCAAAAAGAUGAGAAGCUAAGUGGCACUAUCGUUUACCUAUUCAAACUAAACGUGGAGUCACAAUAUUGAAGACACUUUGGUGGCCACAACACUCUUUUCUUUAGUACGGAACAAUCUGGCUUACAUGACACUACAUAAAAAUAAAUAAUAAAAAAUCACCGAUUCCAACUGCCCCGGACAAAAAACAGGCCACACGUAAAAAGGCUUCUAUUUUUAUUUUUAUUUCUCCCCAUUUUAAAGAUGACGUCAUGGUGAUUAUGAAACCAGAAAAUAACAAAUUUUAGUUGUCUGAUUUUGUAGUUAUCCAGCGAAAACUAAAAAAACAGUGAACGCAGCAGCAGAUCUCCGUGUUUGUCGUCGUUCGAUGAGAGAUUCCGAUUCGUGAGCAUCGCAAGUGUUGAAAUGGAAUCAGACGAAAUGAGGAGUUAGCCUCUUAUUAUAUAAUAAUAAUAAUGAUAAUAAUAAUAAUAACUAAUCUCUUUUAUCAUAUAAUUGAUAAUGGAAAUUCACAUUGACAAAAGGCAAAUUACACACUGACUGGGCAGAAUAAAAAACAGUCUCUCUCAAAAGCAAUAAUUUAAACACUAACACCACCUUAAGGAGACACCCCAAAAAUAAAGCAGCAAGCUCUUACUGUGACCACACACACACACACACACCAAACUUUUAUUAUAGAAUAAAUCUAAGAUGAUGGAUGAUGGAUGCGUCACAUAAAAGUUAAUUAAUUUAAUCGCUGUCACUGCUGCUGCUGCUCUCGUGUCCGUCCUCGUGCUUCUUCUUCUUCUCCUUCUUUUUCUUCUUCUCUUCACCGUGGGCGGCGCCCUCGCCGCCGCCGACACCGGGGAUCUUCUGCUUGAUCUUGUCCACCAAGCCCUCCUUGUGUUCGCCCUCCUUGUGUUCCCCGCCGUGAUGCUGCUGCUGAUGGUGAACAUCAGUAGUGCCGACACCGGGGAUCUGCUGCUUGAUCUUGUCCACCAAGCCCUCCUUGUGUUCGCCGCCGUGAUACUGCUGCUGAUGGUGGACAUCAGUAGUGUGGUGGUCCCCACUAUGGUGCUCUCCCUUGUGCUUGUCCUCCUCCUUUUGCCCUCCUCCCAUGUGAAGGGCUUCUCCGAUCUUGUGAAUAACUCCUGACAUUUUCCCUUAAAAUGACUCUGUUCCUCUUCUUUUCUUUUCAAUGAAAAAUAGUUGUUUGCGAUCUUCUUCUGGUUGUUGUUGUUCUUGUUGGGUGAUCUUGGCUUGGUAUUUAUAGGCUCCAAAAGGAGGGACUAGAAUUAGGAUUAGAUUAUAGAUUAUUUUAAUACAUUUUAUGGCAAAUUCUGAUUUGGAAAGAUAAGAUUAUCCUUUUGGUUUUCCUUAUUUACCCUUUUGCACCCAUUACGUGUACGCGUCUUCGUGGGCUUUUUGGGUAUUUCAAUUAUAUCGCCAAUGCUAAAUCGACACGUUGCAUAUCAGCCGCGGUACUGCCGUAUGUAGUUGUCCAGAAAUCGAGUCGAUUCUCGAUCGUACAAUAAUUAAAUAAUAUUUCAUACGAAAUGAGUUUAGAUAUAUUUUGAAAAUUUAUUUUUAAUUUAAUUAUACGUGUUAUAUAUUUGUUAAUCGAAUAGAGGUCCCACGUAACAGAGUGUUUCUCUAAUCUUUCAUUGCUUUUAAUUAAUUUUACCCAAAUAAAAAAAAAAAGGAAAAUUUAGAGAGAGAGAGAGAGAUAGCGAAUUAGAAGUUGAUUGUAAUAUCGACACCUGUCAGACAAUCAAAUAUCGUUAGUUAAAAAUCAGUUGUCCAUAGUCAUGGUCAUAGAUGGCGAAAUUGAUACUUAUUUUAAAAAACAAAACAAAACAAAACGAAACGAAACUAAACUAACAGAUGUUGAAAUGCAGUUCCGUGUUAACAGUCUGUGAUGAAUCUUUAUCUUUGAGUAUACCAUUCAAGAAAUUAUCAUUCAAAAAUUUAUUUAAAGCAGCAGCAAAUCACCUUCUAAUUCCUGAAUCAAAUUAAUUCGAUUUUUUUCGAGUCGAUCAAUUCAUUAGAGAAUUAACGGGCUAAGUUAAAGUUUUGUUAGUUAUUUUUUUUUAUAUUCCUUUAGAUGAUAUGAUUGUCAUUGUCUUUCUUUCUCUGGGCAACAAUAAAUACAAGAUGUGCAAAAGCGUAGUGGAACAUAAUUCGAUUAUGGGUAAAGGGAUCAGUCCGCAUAAUGAGGAUAAAGUUUUUCUCUUUAAAAAAAUUUAACCCAAAGAAAAGGUCGUAGUUUGUAAUAGCCGACACGCAGAUAGAUCACAAAGCAUGGCGGUCCUGAUGGCAAUAACUAACUGAUAUCUUCUGCGAUGAGAGGAGAUCACGUGGUUCUGACACGUAUCGCCCCAUCAACUGAUGUUGUGGCUGCAAUCGCGGCCCAGUCUUUAGAGAGAAGAAAGAUCUGUUAUAACGGGACCUACUUUAGCAUCUAUUUACGACAAAGCCCCUAUUUACUCUACUUAGUAGUAAUAAUAGCAAGUGUCGGGCUUGGAUUCCGUGUUGCUUUAAAUAAAUAUCCGCGUAAAAAGAAAAUGCUUCUUUAAUCCCUUCCUUGUAAUUUUUCGACACGUGGAUGGUUGAAAUUAGCGUGCCGACAUCUUAGGAAUUUUAUCUUGGAGACGGGAACACUGCAGUAGGCAAUGCCAUUUUCUUCGGAUGGUGUGUGGUGACAACGCCUUGGAUUUUGACGUGCAAAGAAUUUAAAUUGAAAAAGAAAAAAAGAAAUUACCAGAAUAAGCAUAGAAGAGAUAUUUUUCUUUUUGUCCUUUUUGGAAUGGAAAAAGAGAUCAAGAGAUUGUUCCAGUAAGUAUUACACAUGUCACAGGCUUAUUCAUGCCCCAUUAUGGCAACUUUUAUGCCUCGCGGUGCCCUCGGUUCCAGCAUAAUAGCUAAGACUUCAAUUUUUCUAACAUAUUUUUGUUACAAAUAUGAACGGAGUAAAUGUAUAACUUUAAUCCUUUGAAUAAAGAAAUGGCGGUUCUCCUGCUCGUUAAUCUCACUUGAAUCCCACCCAGGCAAAAUUUCUUUAUUUUAUUUAACAACAAUUUAAAGAAAGAAACUUUUGCCAGGUUGAAUUUCAAGUGAGAUUCAUUCGUGGGAGAAGUGCCAUUUCUUUAUUCAAAAGAUUAUGGUAAUUACAACUUUCAAUUUCGACAUAAAUUAAAAUUAUAGGCUAUACAAUAAAAUUGCCCUAAAUUAGUCCUAAUCAAUUCAGAUUAUAAAUUUAGGUAUAUUUAUUAUUUUAAUAUAUUAAUGUUCUAUAUAUAUAUAUAUAUAUAUAUAUAUAUGUGUGUGUGUGUGUGUAUNNNNNNNNNNNNNNNNNNNNNNNNNNNNNNNNNNNNNNNNNNNNNNNNNNNNNNNNNNNNNNNNNNNNNNNNNNNNNNNNNNNNNNNNNNNNNNNNNNNNNNNNNNNNACAGCAGAAAAUAUUUGCUAUGGAUAAGGAGACAUGGUCCCACGUCCCACCGUCCCAAUGCAUAUUUUGUAUGUUUCCAUCUUUUCUGAAAUUUUAAUAAAUAAAGUUUUUUGACCACUUGGCCAAAGAACCUUACCCUUACACAACUUUGUGGUUGGAGUCCUGUGAUACAUGUAAGAACUUAUUUUUUUUCUUAAUUAUAAUAUUUUAGAAUAUAAUUAAGUGAAGUAGGUUUUUUUUUUAAAUAUGAGUAAAAUAGAUAUUUUUUAAAUAUUAAAGAGAGUAAAAUUUGAAUAAUAAUAUAUUAAAAUUAAUACAAACUAAUUUUAAUAAUUAUUUAAUUAUAAAUAUCAAUUAUAACAUCAUAUAAUAUCAAUUAUAAUAUCGUACAUCUCAAUUAAUUCAAUAAUAAUAAUAAUAAAUGUUUUUUGGGAUAAGUAAACAGUCGCAUGGCGACAAUAGUGGAUCUGGAUUAGAGUGAAGUGGUCCCAAGAGGCUGAGGCUGUGGCUGUGGAGUUCUAAAAGUCAAAAGCUCCACGCACUUUGUUUCAGUACCAUACACACUGAAAAAAUUUGCAUUUGCAAUGACGAAAACUUUUCACGAAAUCAAAACACCUCUAAACUAUUUUGUUAUCGAUAUUUAAUGGAGGGGUUUCCUACCUUUUUAACACUCGAUUCACGCCUUGACGCAUCUCACAGAAAACCUCAUGAUCCCAUUAAUCUUGCGUAACAUAUCUCAAAGCCAAUGCAAGUGAUCUUGUUGCCUACUUCCCUUUGACGAUUCAAAAUUGUUGAAAAUAAUUCUUUUUUUUUUUAACCUCAAGGAAGUGACAAAAUAUAAAAGAAUAUUUUCUACACAUUAAACAUCUAGAUUUUUUUUUCUUUUCUUUUUAGAGUACUUGCACAAACCGUUUCCAAGAGAGACCUUUUUUUUUUUUUUUUUUUUCCGGGCUUGGUUACUAAUUUGGUGUGAAUACUCUAUGGUGAAAAAGGAAUCACAAAGCUGUAAUCAAUUUUUUUGCAUCAUUUAGUUGUAACUUGAACAUUGGGAGGUUUAUAAAGAAUUAAAUUAAUUAUAAUGCCUCUACUAGGAAAAGUUCAGAGUAGCCCUUCACAACUUUUUAAAGGCUUAAUAAUUUUCGCUUUCUUCCUCUCAUAACAUAACAAAAAAUUAAGAGCUUUACUCGUACACGUCCUAUGGCUAUAUAGUAUUGGGUUCUCUACUUCAAUCGGCUAUCUCAAACCGAAGGUUAUUUGGACACACCAGCAGUCACGUUUGGAAACUCUCAAAUGCUUGGAUUGUAAUUCUUGUGGAUGAGAUCAUCUAAAUCUUGGGCCCAAGCCGGACAAUGGGUGGACAAAGAACCCUAAAAUACAGUAAAGCUUCUAACACCCCACUAAAACUCUUAAGAAAUCCUACCUUUUAUUUUUAUAUCUCUUUCUUUUAGAAAUUAUAGAGAAGACAUAGCAUUUUAAUUAUUUUCCCUGCCAUUGAAAAUAAAUUCUGUAAACAUAUUUUUUCAUAAUAAAAUUAUUGUUAUUAGAUAAUUUAUUUCUUCAUUGUUUCAAAAUUAUUAUAAUUUUAUCAACAAAAUUAGUUAUGUCAUAUAUUAGGAUUAAAAUUAAUUAGGAUCCAUAACUUGUAAAGACAUUUUAGUUUAAUUGAAUUCAUAUUUGUCAUUUUAUGUAAUUUUCAAUAAAAAUACGACUAUGAGUGCAAAAGUGGGAUGACAUAAUAUUAAAAGAGUGUGAAAUAAUCGGUAAUUGAAAUGGAUUGAAAUCAUAAUAGAGUAUGAAAAUCAGAAUAAAUUGUUUACUUUAGUUGUAGAAAUCAAAAUUAAAAUAAACCAUAUUAUCAUUGAUGUAUAUAUGUUUUCUUGUAAUCGAAAUGAAUUCUUAUAAGUUACUAUAAGACCCUUAUGGUGUGUUUACUAAUCAGAAAUCAGAAUGGAGUGGAAUUUGAAUAUAGAAUGGUAGGGGUAUUCGCGGAUCGGAUUUUACGGAUUGGACAUUAAUUCAUAUCCGAUCCAUAAUUUUACGGAUUAUAAAUUCUCAACACAAUCCAAAUCCAAUCUAUAUGUUUGCAGAUCGGAUGCGGAUUUGACUCAAUUCAUAUCCAAUCCACUAUUUGACGGAUUGAUUUUGGAAUUAAAAAUUUUUAAUUUUGUCCAAUCUAUGAGGUAAUUAAAUUUAAAAAUCUAAUAUAAAAAUAAUUUAUUAAAUAAAAAAUUAACGUAAAAAUAAUUUUACUACCAAUUAAAUUCAAAAUUGAACAAGAUUUAAAUAAAUUAAUUAUUUAAAUAAAACUAGAAUAAUUUAUUUAAAAUUUUUAAAUAUAACAUAUCGAAAAAAAAUUCAUUUGUUUAGAUUAAUAUAUGAAAAUUAACUAAAAUUAUGAAUUUAAAUGUUGAAAUUUGAGAGCUUGGAUGUAACAGGAAGAAAUUAAGAAACUUGAAGAACUUGAAAAGAAAGUAACAAAUUAAGCUUAACUACCUCUAAUGGUGAAGUGAAACAGUGAUGGUUUGUGCGUGCAAUGGGGUACAAAUUUGGCAUUAUAUGCCAAAAUAUUUUGUUUGGCUUUAGAAUUUUUAAUGUUUAGGAAGCUAUAUUUGUUUAUUUAAUUACUCAAAUAUUUAAUUAUUUUUUAUUUUAUGUUAUUAUUGAAUAAGAUAUAAUAUUGUGUUAAUUUAGCUAUACUUUAAUUAAUUAAUUAAUUUAUUAGUAAGUAGCAUUGCUACAUUUAUAAGUUUUAUUUUUUAUUAAAUAAAUACUUUUUUUUUUCAGAUUCACGAAUUUUUACGGAUUUACAGAAAUAAAUCCAUAUCUAAUCCAUCGACUGUGGUUUUUUAAAUUUUCAUUCCAAUCCGAUCUACCAAUCCACAAAUUAUAUUUUUACGGAUCGGACGAAUUGAGCGGAUCAAAUUGGGUUCUGAACACCCCUAGAGAAUGAGAAUCAAAAUAAAUUAUUUACUUUAGUUGUGUGAAUCGGAAUUGGAAUAAAUUGUACUGUCAUUGAUGUGUUUACUUUAUCUUGGAAUCAGAAUGAAUAAUUUCAAAUUACUAAACUGACCUUAAUUUUUUAUUGUAAUAAUAAUAGUAGUAGUAGUAGUAAUAGUAGUAAUUUUCUAUUAUUAUUAUUAUUUUCUCUCUCUUUUGUUUUUAUUUUUUUAUUUUUCUCUUCUUCUUCUCUUCCUCUUUUUUUAUUUUUCUCUAAUUCAUCGAUACUUCUUCUUCUUCUUUUUUCUUUCGUUUUUAUUUUUAAUUUUUCCCUUCUUUAUCGUUCCUUCUUCUCCGUCCAUUCUCUAUCUUCAAACUCUUUUUACUUUUUCUCUUAUUCUUCAUUACUUCUUCUCCCUUUUUUUUUUUUUUCUCUUCUUUAUUAAUUCUUCUUCUUCUGCGUCUAUUCUUCAUCUUCAAAUUAUCAAGUGAAAAAUACCCACGGUGCCUUACAAGAAGAAUUGGUUUUGUUUGCUUCAAUUAUUUUUUGUAUUUUGUACUUUUGAUUGUUUCAAAAGAGGAUAAACUUGUAAUAAUGCAAUUUAAGUAGGGAUGUUUUAGACAAUUUUGGGUAUGAGAGUCUAAUUCCCAACCCCCCACUCCCUCGUAGCAGACUCCCAUUCUUCAUUCCUAACUUGGUGUUGGACCUACUAAAAUAAAUCCCAUUCCCCUUCUUAUUUCAAGAAGCAAACACGAUUUUGAUUUCAAUUCCCCAAUCCGAAAGUAAACGCACAAAAAUUGUACCCAUAUGAGAUUGCUUAUCCUCGAGUUUUUAGAUUGAAAAAAAAAAAGGAAAAAAGAAUGGCCCCAUUAGGAAGGGAUUUUAAGUGUUAGAUAAAGCCGGUGUUAACCAUUAGAAGGUCUCCGACCUUCAACUGUAAUAUAUUAAACCCAGAUAAAUUUACAUAUAAAUCACACAAACCAACAUGCCAAUCAAAUAAAUUACAUCAACUAACAACAAUUGACACAUUAAUUUUCAUAAUACAGAGGAUGCAGAAAAUUAAAAUGUUUUAUCUUUUCUCCUUAUUUGUGAAUUGGAAAAUGAAAAUGUUAAACAUACAGAAGAGUGAAACAGGAUGGAUAUAUAUACACACACACACACACACAGCUUUGGAGUUCAAUGUCAUCGUAUUGCUCCAAGAAGAUUGGCGCCAUCAAGCUUUGCACCUUCCAGAUGCUGUUUAAUCAUCACCAUAACACCUUCAGUAGACAUUAAUACAUAAUAGAAACACAAAAUUCACAUGAUCUGAAUGUCUGGUCUAUUUUACUUACCGUAUCUCGAAGAUUUACGUGCCGUAAAUAAGCUCUUUGAAGGUUGGCACCCUUUAAAUUGGCAUUACGUAGCUUUGCACCCUGCCGCAUAAAUGUUCGAAGUUUCAACAAAUUAAAGUCUCCUGAGAAAUACAUGUCACGAAAAAGUAGGGCUGAAACUUGCAUCUAAUGUACAAGAUUCAAUCAGGGGUGCUUGUCCCACAGUGAAAGUGUAUGGGGGAAAGUGCACUUUCACAAACCAAAGGGGCAAGAUGUGAUUAUCACACGAUUACAAAAGGACUGUAGUCAAGAGAGAGAACUGAACAUGCAGCUUGUAUUGAGGCCAUGAAAAUUGAUGAAAAGCAGUAACAAGCAACCAUUUUGAAAACACUUCAUAUGGUCGAAUCAAUAAAUCAAAGCUAAAAUGAUGUUGACGAUCGAUAGCUUUUAGGUGAUAAGAGUCUUGGCACUACAGUUAAAAUUAUUAUCUAGGAGUGCACACAUUAAUAAAAAAAAACACAACCAAUAAGCAUGCACUCUUAAUCAGCAUAUAAAUUAACAAGUUAGUUGCACCUUAUGUUGUUCCACAAACAGAUUGCUCGAACAAUUCACAAUCUUACCUUCAAAUUAGCUCCUUCCAAAUUAGCUCCCUCUAGGUUGGCAUUAGUAAGAUCAGCAGUCUGAAAAGUCAAGAGGACAAACAGAUUGCAAUUUGAUUAAAAUCUCAAAGUAGCAACAUUCUGCAUGAAAGAAGAGCAGCACAAUUGGCAACAUACAUUUUAGAUUAAGAGGAUGGGAUAAAAGCAAAAUUACAAGGACAUGAAGCAAAUGAGCCAUGUUUAGUAUGGCAAUUUUGACCCAAUAAUUGUGGCAGGUCUUGGAGAUAACAUAGGCAUACACAUAAGGCAGAAGCAAAUACUGUCGCAAACUCCUAGCUAACUACAAAUGUUCCAUAUAGAAAAAAACACCUGCAAAAGUAAGGGAAAAAGCAACAGAUAAAGAACUCAAGAUGCUAGACCUGUAAGUGUGCAGAUCGCAGGUCUGCUCCACAGAAGCUGCAGUCUAUCAAGCAAGCAUCUGCAAUGAUUUAAGAUAAAUUUGAAUCCAAAUGACAUUUUACCGCAAGUAGUUCCAGCCAUUUUGGGAACAAACAAGAAAUGCUAUUUUGUAUUCAUUGUAAUUCCUUAAGCUAAAUAACAAUCAUGUGCUAUCUUAACCAAGGUACAGUUGCAAAUUCUGAAAUUGUGAUGCCAUAGGUUGUUCUUAAUCUUUUUGAACUGAAUAUUGAAAAAAUAUUCCUUCAAUCAUAAAUGUUAAAUAAUUAAAAGAACUGUGAGGGGGGNNNNNNNNNNNNNNNNNNNNNNNNNNNNNNNNNNNNNNNNNNNNNNNNNNNNNNNNNNNNNNNNNNNNNNNNNNNNNNNNNNNNNNNNNNNNNNNNNNNNNNNNNNNNNNNNNNGGGGGGGGGGGGGGGGGAAUGAAUAAGCGGAUGCAUACAGAAAAUUAUGGAAAAUCUGUUAUGGAAAUAAUAUGAAAAUGGGUAUGCAUAACUACAUACUGAAUCUUGACUAAUUUCAAUUUAAUUCAGAUAAGAAAUUCCAGUAUGGGAAUUGCCUUGUAAAUUUGCACUCUGAAGAUUUGCACCAGCUAGUAAAGCUCCACGAAGGUUUGCCCCAGCAAAUUCACAUCUUCCCUAGGCAAGAUAAAACCCUUAAAAGGCAAUUUUGAAAAAUACAUAUAAUUGGGAGAAUAUCCAGUAUUGCUUUGACUCUCUUACUCACGCAAAGUUGCAUUGUGAAAAAUGGAACCCUCAGCAUCCACAUCCUGUAUCAAGAACAGACAGAUUCAGUAUGAUUAAUAUAACUGGUUGCUGGAAGACAGGACAAAAUCGCAUCUUGUCACUGUCAACUUGCAUGUUAAGAAUUAAACACGAAAACUGCAUGCUGUCCAAUUAUAAGAAACCUAUAAAAUUCAAAUCAACAUCAAUACUGGCUUAAGGAAGAUAUAAAAAUAAAAAUUAUACCAACCCGAAAUUUCGCAGAUUGAAGAUUUGCACGUGAGAAGAAAACAUUUCUAAGACACGCAUAGCUGAAGUCCACAAGUGAAAGAUCCUGGCCAUUUUAAUAAGAUAGCAUCAGAGGAAACAAUAUCUAAUGAAUAUAUAAUGUUCUUUCUUGCUUAUCUGAGAAUACUAAUGAGAUUAUCAAAAAAACUCUAAGCUACUGCUAAGAAGUCUUGUGUUACAUGAGUAUGAAUUGAGGAGGUAAAGAAGACCCUUCUCCAAUAAGUUACCAUAGAAGCCACAUAAAACCCUAAAGCAGUUACAAACUUACAAUGACCAGAAUAAACCACCCCAACUAUCUAUUGGCAAGUAAAAUCACUUCUCUGGAUUUCUGAAAACUAGCAAAACAAAUGCAUAAAUUGGCAAAUUCGAUGAUUUCCUCUGAAAACCAAAUUAUAGCAGACAUAAAACUUGGAAGUAUUCAUAGAAUAAAAAUCUUUCAAGCACCUCAAUUCAGUAAUUAUUACCAGCUUAGAAAGAUCAAGGCCAGAAAGAUUAAGUCCUCGAAAUCUGACUUUUUCAGACUGUAUACACUUGAUGAUAUCAAUGCGUGUUAGCUCAGUAUCUAACUCAUUAUCUUCCUUUCUCUUAUUUAUGACAGCAUGGAUUCUCUCAAUUAGUCCCUGAAAUGAAACACAUUAGAUGCAAACUAUUAUUUGAAAAAAGAAAUACAUUUUAUCCACUAACACACAUGGAUUUCAACAGCAAUCAUACAAUAAUUGAGGAAGGACGGUCAUAUCAGACUCAUCUGCCAAGAUUCAAUAAGCACAUCAAACUUGUUUACAUGUAAUUUCCACAUUCCACGUGAAUUUAUAAGGUCUGCCUAAGCAAACCAAAGAAGGCUACACUCAGUACUGUGUGUAUACUGCCUUACCUUUGCUGUUCCCCAGAUACCGUCCUGCAAUCCAGAUACUUAGCUGUGAAGUUUCAAGCCAGCGAAACCAUUUUAAAAGUACACAUGGACACAGAUACCAUUAUCUGAAUCAUCUUCGAUAACAAAUUAAAAUGCCCUAGCGUUCAAAAAACUUAGGAUCUCUUUAAGUGAAGUUCCUUUAAAAAAGUAGAAAAAAACUGAACAACAAUGUCAUGCUAAUAAAAGGUAAAAAAAAUAAAAUAAAAUAAAGCAUAAGGACAGAAGUUCACCAGGAGCAUGCCAGUAUAAACCAAAACGACCACAAAUCUCAACCAUAAAAUUUAAAGUAGUAAAGUAAAUAAUCAAGGGCAUGCAGUUGGCACAGGUGCUUCCAAAUAAAAUGAUGAUUCUUUUCAAACAGAAAAAAGAAAUGGAUGUUAAUAAACUAGAAGAAACCAUGUCUUACAAGUAAUUGAUAAUAUUCUGCUUCCCGUAGAAGCUCUAAAAACUCUGACUCUGUUAAUGUGGGGACAGCCCCAUCCCUUAACCAAUUCAGAAUAUGCCGAAAAUGUUUUCCGUCCCUAUCAACAAAGAUAUAGCCCUGCAAUAAUUCAAUAUGCUCAAAGAUAAGAAUCUGAAUAAUAUACCCAAGAGAAGUGCUUUUCCCUGGAAUAAUAAAAAGAAAAUAAGUCAAAACGUUUUUCUUAAUGGAAGAACACAAAGGAACAGCUCUAUGACUAACAUGAAAACCAUAAAUCAGAAUAAGAACCCAAAACUGGUCAUUUGGAGUUUCACCAGAUCAAAAAGAUCACAUGGAAAUAAAAUUGUGAAAAUGGGAUUAUUUAUGCCGAGGUCAUGGCUAAACUGCAAUCAUUACUCCAUUUUUGGUAGAAGGAGAAGAAGAAAGAAGAGUAGGUGAGUCAUCAUUCUUUCAGGUGAGUCAUCAUUCUUUCUCUGUGAUUAAUUGAUAUGAUGGAAGUGUUGUAGAUAUUAAUUUGAUAGUGAUUCCUCCCUUCAAAAGAAUUCAUUCCUUUUUUUAUUAUUUCACAAAGUUUAACUAAGACUGAGUUUUCUCAAUUUGAAGGCAUCGUGCACUCUACCCCUUUCUUUUCCUCACAUUGCUUCUUCCCAAUCCCAAAGGGAAGAAAUCAAGAAACAAUUACAAUUUUUAACUAUUCACCAGCAAAAACAAGGCAAAGAAAGAUGCUGAGUGUAAGCAAAAAUAAGAGAGUUAUACACCUCAGAGUCUUGGCACACAGUAUGGCGACCGCUGAACAUAGCUGCAAGCAUAGAUUCAGGCUCACGACGAGUCAGAGUAUCAAUUGUUGUAUAAAAUUUCUUUCCCCCUGGAUAUUAAUACAUAAAAUAUAAAUUUGUUCACUUAAAAGCAUGAAUUGUGCAAAUUUGUCAAUAAUGUCAUUCUUUCACAAACGUUCACCGAAAUGUAUAACAAUAAGUGCAUCAUAACAUAACUAAACGGCUUAAGAACUGCGCAGAUAUUACAUACAGUAGAGAAACAAGAAAUAGAAAAUGAGAUUUGCCCUUUUUAAACAGAAAGCAAUCAAAGAGUAAACUAAAGAGCUAAUAAUUCACAAAAUUCAGUUGAUUAAACUCAUUUACAAGUAAUUAGCAACAAAAUCCAAGCUAAAUAAAAAUAAUGAAAAUUAGGUUCUUAUAACAUCCGUCAAUUCUAUGAAAGUUUACCACGAUCAGCAACAAAUAGAUAAAUCGCAAUAAAGAAAAACCGACGACAUGUCGGUUGUGUAGUGCAUAAGUAAAGGAAUUUGCAGAUGAUGUAAAGAGAAUGAGGGAUAGUAACUGACCGAUGUUGAGACGAACCAUUGAAGACGAAUCGGAGUCCUUCGCCAUUGUCGAGUGUAAUGACUUGUCGUCUUACUUGCGCUCAUAGGUAUUUAUAUCAUAGCUGACACUGUUCGAAGGACAGCAAGGAUUUGGUGGGCACAAAUGCAUUUUGGAAAUUGGGCUUCGGCCCAAGAAAUCGAAAAUCAGAGGCUUUUUUUUAAAAAAAAUUUAAAAGGAUUAGAAUGUCUAUAAAUUAAUAGGGCUGAGACCAUCUUAAAUCUAUUAAGUAAAAGAGAUAUUAAAUAUUUUAUUAAUUAAUAAUUUAUUAAUUUACAGAAUUAUUUAUAAUUCAAUUAACAUACAUUUAAUAACUAAACAUUCAAUGUACAUAAUUUCUGAUUACAAUUCAAAGCACUAACAAUACUUCAUAAUUUCUUAUUACAAUUCAAGAAUUCAACCUCAUAGCUUUUAGAUGCAAUAAGAAAAAUAAGAAAUAAGAUUCAGUUAUAUUUAAAUUUUAAGAAAAAAACAAUAAAAUCAUAUUUUAUGUAAUUAAAAUAUCAUAGUCAACUACAUUUGUAAUUUCAACAAAUUAUUACUCUAUGAUUUAAAUGAGACCACAAAGUUAUAUAAGAUUUUAUCGAAAUUAUUAAUUUAAUCCAUUAGUCCAUGUCAAGACCUUGAAAAUUUAAUAAUUAUAUAAUAGAGAUUAUUAAUUUAUCGAGUAUUAAUUUAUAGAAGUUCUGAUUGUAUAUUAUUUUAUAUUAAUAAAGAAUAAAGUAGCAUUCUUUUUUAAUUCCGAAGUAAUAAAAUUAUGGCUAAAUUAAGAGAGUAGAUAUAUUUUAUAACUUGGUUUAAUAACAUCACGCGCCUCCCUUGUAGUUUUGCAGCUUUGAAGCUUUAUAAUGAAUCCUAUUAGCUUUGGCUGGAAAGUUAUAUUGUUAAAGAGAGUUUAUAUAUUAAACAAGGUGAUCUAAUAUUUCCAAAACUAAAUUUGGGAUCAAAAAUAGAAAACAUUUGCAUGUUUUUACCUUUUGGAAGAAUUACUUGAUAAGUGCUUCACAGAAAAAUGCUUGCUAUUAUAGAGCACCCUAAAAAAAAUCCUUAAUAAUUGAGGGAUCAUAAUAAAGUUCAAUUCUAAAUCUGUCAGAUAGAUCGAAAGUAACAAACCAUAUAUAUUUAAAUCUAUUUAGUAAUCCAGGGUUACAAGCCAAGCGUGCAAUAGCCAAUUCUGAAAAUCAAAGCUCAGCCUAUGCUCUCUGAGCACAAAUAAGAUCUGAUAUAUACAUAUCGAAUCCUCCAUUAUGUGGAGUGAAAUUUCCAUCGUGUACGGUGUACCUAACAAUGAGAAAGCAUGGCAGCAUAAAUUCAUCUUCCAUGUUAUUCUACUUAUUAGUACUGGUUCCCUCAUAACUUCUCCAAAUCGGGGAGGUCUGCAAUGUGUAAAGCACGUAAUCAGAUAAAAGAAAGAGAGCCAAAAAAAAAAAAAAAGGUAACAGCCAAAAGAUUAAAUUUCUUUGAGAAAUAGAAAAUGGGAGCUUUUGGCAUAGGCACAGAAUAGAAAGUAACAGAGUCAUUUACAGUUGUUCAGAAUAUGCAAGCUGAAAACAACUUUGAAUGCAAUGGACAAUUCCUCCAACAAACAAUCGAAUUGGAUUGUGGAAGAGACAAAAGCUUAAUGAGGUUAUGGUUUUGGCUAGGUGAACUCAAAAUUCUUUUAUAGACCAAGUAGGUAAAAACAAAUCCCAUAUAGAUGGAUGAACCUCAUACCAUGAACAGUUAAUCGCGAACACUUGCAGGCUUAUGCACACGACUAUGAAGAUACUAAGGGUUUCACCGAUGGUAAGUGAAAAAUAUAUGAUGUAUAAUUUAAAUGGAAGCACAUAGUUUCGGAUUGAAUUCAAGGUUAAAGUUCCACAGACAGACAGAAGAGAUGAAGCUUAAAAACUUACAGAGCAUUCCUUCAUCAUCACUGCUUUCAUCAUUUUGGCCAACAUGCUGAAAAAAGAAUAUGAUUCAAGUUAAAUGAUUGAGCAACAAUAAAAAACGUGCAAAAUUAAUGCUCUCUCCACAAAAAUUUCAGUCUAUAUUGGUAAGAAGAAACAGGAAGAAAAAAUUACCUCAGCAUCAUCGUCAUUGGAAGCCAAAUCAGCUGUAAAGACCACAAAAUGUUUGGUUAGAACCAGUGGAAGUCUUACUCUAAAAUUUUUAAUUUUUGAAUUUCGAAAGAUCUCGUAAUGACAAAGAUUUUCAUAUCCAGUGACCAAGUUUUGAAAAUUAGAAUACGGAAUGACAUCAACUAAAUUCACUAAUAUAAGCUAGAGGAAUCCCUAGUAGAUAUAGCGCACAUGCACACAUGAUAUGCAUCCGAAUACACAAUAAUAAAUUAUCUCAAAGUCAAUAAGAAGCCAAAAUUAGAGAUAAACUUUUAGCCACUAUAAGGAAGACUGAUAUUUGCAGUGUGAUUACAAUAAACAAACAGAAACUUCACUACCCAUAAGUAAAACAAAAUAAAUAAAGGAUAAUAACUAACCAAGAAAUGGAAAAGCUCACAUUCUCUGAACACGCACCCCAAAAAGAAAGAAAGAAAUAAAUGUUCUCAUUGGAUCUGAAGCACAAGCAAUCCACUGACAUCCUUCUAUAAUUAGGUAAUUUAAAGGGGUUAAGCUCACAUCUUUUACGGAAGUAAGAAGAGAAUUAACAACCUUCCAGAGGAUUUAGGGAAAUACCACGAGGCAAGAAAAAAGAAAUAUCCUUCUUCAAUCUAGAUAUCCUGAUACUGCUCACCAUCUACAACAGUCUGUGGCUUAAAAAGCAGGUCACUGAUCUCUCCCUCCCUCUGGCACCAUUUUCUCUCAUGUCUCAUUUUUCCCUUCCUGCCAACUCCCACUACAGUAUUGAAACCUAUUCUAUCAACUCUUCCCCCUCCAAUAACAAGACCAAAACCAAUUUUACUCGCCGGUUAGCUAGGUAGUAAAUGGAAAUUUGUGAAUCUGUCAUUCAUCCGUAGAAACAAACCAGAACUGCAUAAAUUCUCUUCUCUCCCAACAGCUUCUUUUCUCCAGAAAUAGGCACAAGUAUUUGACAUGGAAACAGUUUAUCUAACAUGGCCACCUUUAAAGACAAAGACAUACUAAGGACGUGGUUUUAGAUACGGAUACAAGAAACAAUCACAAAAUGUAAAAUCUAUACAUAUGAUAUUAAUUUCCAAUGGAUACAGCAAUUCAUUCUUUGACAUAACUUCAUCAGAUUACUAGGUUUGAUUAGGUUAUACACACAUUUAUUCAUUUAUUGAAUCUACAUGCACUUAGAAUGAGAGGUACCUAUAAAAACAAGUUACCAGAAAACAAUACAGCUAGAAAACAUUAAUCUAAGUAGUUCUAUAGGUUUAACUAACUGCAGGAAAAAACCAUUGAUUUUGUCCGCCAGAUUAUCGAGAUCCUAAUUCUGGUAAAAAGAAAAUGAGAUAAUAGAAAAUCAAAAAUUAAAUAGACACAAAAUGAGAAAUCAAGAUCAUAUGGCAACUAAUAUAUAGCAUGGGCUGCAGCUAACAAGCAAUAUAAGCCAUGAUAUUAUGCCAGAUACAAAUUUUGAGAUCCAAGAGAGAUCAAGAAGCAUGAAUACCACUAAAAUAUCGAAAGAAGUGAGUGCAGAAGGAUAAGAAAUCAGGUUGAUAUUCUUCAUACUUUGGAUCAACACGUAGUGAUGCAAUAAACUUGUAAUUAGCUUCAAAUGUAUAGGCUACCAUGUCAACAUUUCCGAAAACACACAAGAUUGUGCUGGAUUCAUACAUAGUACAUAUAUAAAAAAACAAUCUGCUUCUAAACUUCAUGAGAACAUCGAAUAAUGAACUUACAAUUUGAUCCCUCAUCAUCUUCAUCGCACCAUUUGUUCCAAUCAACCUUAAUGUAAGGUGCUGGUUUCUCUUCUGACUUGAGUAGCCUUUUCCACCAACCUUUCUCUUCUUUUUGGACCGAGCAUAUUAUGUUCCUUAAGCCAACUUUAGUCUUACAUUUCUGCACCACCAGCAACAAAACUCAAAGCAUUACAAAAGAGGUAUAUUUAGCCGCUCUUGACUCGAGUGAGAGAACAGGAUAAAUAGCCUAGGUAUAUCCACAUCCAUGUUAUGAGAUUGAUUAUGCAACAGCUAACUUUAAUAUAAAGCUUUUGCUUCAACAAAGACUAAAAUGUUUGUAAUUGUUAUGCUUUUGGAGCUAAAAUGUUUGGCAAACACCCACUUUUACUCUGCACCUAAUAUCUACCACCCACCCACACACUAAGUCUCUCGUUUGGUACAGCUAUUUAUCAGUAGUGGCUUUAAGCCACAACAUUUAAAGCGAAUUUACCCUAAAAUUUUACAAUGAAAAACCUAUACUACCUUUAACAUUGUUGUCAAAAUUAUUAUUAUAAGUAAUAUUUACCAAACACUAUCAACUUCCAAUUCAUAUCAAAGAGCUUUCACUCCACAAUAGCCGUGUCUUCUUAAGCCAGAACAACACAAUACCAAAGGCCUUAAGCUAGUGAUUUGAUUUCACAACAACUGCAGAUCAAGCCUCAAUCCCAAACAUACAUAAAUCAAAUGCAGAAAGCAAAAAUUUAACAAUAUGUUUGGUAUACUAAAUGUCUUUCAUAGUUUCAUUUCACAGGGUAUUUAGACAUGCAAUGAUAAAUUGGAGCAAUUUCAAGAACCGAAUUGACCUCAGGUAAAAUUUUGCCAAAAAGUUCCAAGCUGAAGUCGUAAAGCUCGCCUUGGACUCCGACGGCCGAGAAGCCAAAAAUCCCCUGAGGCUCGCAUUUCACAGAAAUGUCUUUCGCAUCGGGUAAUGAAAUGGUAAGGUAUACUUUAUCGGAGCGCUGAGCCCAAAGAACCUCCGGAUGGCGACUGAACAUAAAAGAAAUAAUAAUAAUAAUAAUAUUAUUAUUUUUUAUUGUGACAAUUUUGAACUAAUAAUUAGAGACAUUUAACAACAAUAUUGAUUAAUAUUGGAGAAGAAAAAUAAGGUUACAAGAGAGAAUCAGAAAGAUUACCUCAUUCUGGUGGAUGAUUGAAAACGGUGGGUCGAUUGAUGAACAGAAGUGUAACUGUCUGGGAGUGAGAGUGACUCUGCUGUUUACUGGGUAGAGUGUGCUUACUCGAAGAAAUUGAAAGUGAUAAUCUCGGGCAAGCCAACACGUCGAUUUGGUCAACAGUGGUCCAACAAACCAGGAACUAGGUUUUUUUUUUUAAAUGAUUUUUUUUUUCAGUAUUAUAUUGCCCCGCCCGUGGGCUAUUACAUUUUGGCCCUUUUGGGGACCCCUCGUUCUCUUACAAGAAGGGAAUAUUCUUUUCCAUCCACCGGUUUGUAGGCAGAGUACAUAUACUCUUCGAAAUUAAGGACAAAUUUCUGAAUCGUGCCGCAUUAGAAUUAAAUUGAGUCUCAAAAGAAUUUUGGUUAUAAGUAUAUCGUUCAAACGGUAAUAUAUUAAAAAAAAUAAUAUUUACUACAAUGUAGACCUAUCGGGACUUUGAAGCCCAGACCAAUUCUUGAGUCUAGCCUAAUAACACCUCAACAGAUCAAAAUUGAAAUCCAACUUAAAUUUCAAUAUUGUGUAGGGAUCUGCCUUAAUUUAGAUAUGUCAAGACCUGCCUUAGGCAUCAAAGUGAUCUAUCUUAACAUAACUAAGACUUUCUUUAAACAUCACAAUGAUUUAUCUUAACGUAGUCAAAUCUAGCCUAAAAAAAUCUAAAGAAGGAAAAAAGAAAUUAUUUUCACGUAUUGAGAGACUUAAAUUCUUAACCUUAUUCAUAAGAAAAAAAAGUGUAUUACUUAACUAAAUCGUGACUAAAAAUUAUAAUUAUUAUUUUUUGUACAUUUAGCUUUAAAAAAUCAUUAUAUAUAUAUAUUCAUAUAAGUUUUGACAUAAUAUACAUACCACUUAUUUGUUUUUUAAAUUAUACGAGAAUGAAAAAACUCAAGCAUUAAACACCAACUUUUGUUUCAUGCUAUCAAUCAACUUGAGAAAUUUUAUAAUAUAUCGGAAGUUCUACGUCACAAUUUAAUACGAAGCCUUCGAUUAAUAAUAAUUAGACACAUGACAAUAGAUGCUAGAGAAAUUUUAAAUUCCCUCUUUUCAUUAUCCCUCCAAAUUUAGAAUUUCAAAAAAUUAGAGAAUAAAUGUUGCUUGCUCUCUUUGUUAUCUAAUUCUAAUUAUUAUUUUUUUCUCUCUCUCUCCAAUCAAGUUGCUAGCAUUUUUUAAAUCUAUUGAAGAAUAAGAAGAAGGUUUUUGUCGAUGAAAUGAUUUUGGCAGCCUUUUUUACCCAAAGCUAACAUGAUUGCUGCGACUACCAAUGAAGAAAAAGAUGUGUUUUGCUGGCGAAGAAGAUGAUUUUUGAAGCAUGAGUGGCUGCCGUUUAUUUUUUUCCUUCAUAUUUUUCGAUGUAGUGGCUGUCCUCAAGUUUUAUUCAUUUACUUUUCAGUUGGCCUACUAUUUAUUGGCAUAAUGAAAAAUUUUAUUUUAAUAAGCAUUUAUAGAUUAAUUUGAGGAGGUUUCUUUUGCAAUAUUAGUGUGGUUUCUGCAUUGGUAUGAUUUAAAUUACGAACUUGCUACAAUCUUUAAUUAAACUGUCAAAAGUAAUUUAAAAAAUCUUUAAUUAAACCGUCAAAAGUAAUUUAAAAACUGACAGUAGAUAGAUUAGAGAUAGGCUUGACAAUUUAGCCCGACUCUAUUUUUAGUCUGAUUGAUCCGAUCCUAAUUUUUAAGACUUUGGCCUGAAUUUUUUGAUUUCGGGUCGGGUUCGGGUCAAAAUUUUAAGGCCCGAACAAAUUUAGGGUCAGGGUCGGACUUAAAACCAACCCGACCCGACCCUAUUUAAAAAAAAAAAAACUAACACACGCACACAACACAUGACAGUUCACUCUCUCUAAAUCGUAAAUCACACACACAAAAUACACUUACACAAAUUCACAAAAACCCUAAGCCAGCCACCCAGCCUGCUGCCGUCCUAUCAGCCAACAUCGUGACCGUCCGCCGCACGCCAGCCAAUCAGCCGUCGUCUCGUCGUCGCAUGUCUCACCAAUCAGCCAUCGUGACCGUCUGCGACGCUGCGACAUGAACUUGAACCAGCCGCCCUUUGUCGCCGUCCUGCCGCAUCCGCCUGCCAGCCAACGAUCAAUGCACACAGUUGAAUUGUGGGGUGGGAAAUGGUUUCGAUAGGGUCGGGCUCGACCCGACCCUAACUAUAAAGAGGUAGGGCUUUUUUAGGGUCGGGUUUUAAUUUUUUGUUGAUCGGGUCGGGUCGGGUUUGGCCAAACCCGAGCCCGACCCGACGUUUUGCCAUCCCUAAUUAGAGAUGAAGAUUGGAGAGAGAGAAAAAUAUAAUUUGAAUGAGAUAAUAAAGAGAGAAGAAAUUCUAUAAUACAUCAUAAGUAAUAUAACUCAUUGAUGUAUGCAUGAUAUAUGUAAUUAACCUUAAUAUAACUAACACUUGUAUGGUGAUAUUUCAAAAUAAAUAUACAUAUGUUAUAAAAUCAUUUACUUAUUGUAUGACUGACAUUUUAUUUUUGAUGUAUUGUACAAUUUCUCAGAAGAGAGUAGUAUUUAUUAUCUCUAAUUUUUUGAAAUUCUAAAUUUUGGAAGGAUAAUAGAAAGAGAAAUUUUAAAAAUUUUUCAACGUAUAAUGCCAUGUAUCUAAUUAUUAUUAGUCGGUGUUCCACGUUAAAACGUAAUAUAGAACCUCUGGACCUUACUGUAUAAUGUACUGUAGAAUUUCCUGAUCACACACUUUCUCAGUUGCAAAAGAGGUGGGCAUAUGAGUUCCUUACGGGGAUUUAGUGUGAAUCCACGCAAAGCCCAUAUAGAUUUUUCCGGUUAACCGCUAUGGCAUCCUAGUUUUAAACUCAGUACUAAAUUUACAGAUCCAUUUAAACCCCCCAAAUCAGUCUCUCACCGUCUCAAGUCUCAAACAAAAAACCUGACCGGAACCCAAACCGCCAAAUCCGAUUCGAUGGUGGACUGUGCUAAAACCCCUAAAAUUCCAAGACUGACAUGCGGUAAAGGAGAUGGUGAUAGACUUAGCAAUCUUCCGGAGCACAUCAUUUAUCACAUAUUCUCGUUCAUGGAAACAGUUGAUGUUGUUAGAGCAAGCACUGUUUCGCGAAGAUGGAGGUACUUGUGGCUUUCCGUUCCUUAUUUGAACUUCGACUAUCACACAAUUUGGUCAGACCCGGAAAGUAGAUGGUCUCGUAGGAAAAUCAAUGAUAAGUUCAAAGAUUUUGUCAACUGGGUAAUAUUUUCUCAAAAUGGGUCUGUUAAUAUUCAAAGAUUUCGUCUUUGCUGCUGGGAUUAUUUAGCAAGUUACGAUAACGAUAGAACGAUUUACAGAUGGGUUUCUGCUAUGGCACGUCGAAACGUGCAAGUGCUUGAUCUGGCUAUAGCUUCACUAUACCCAUUUGAGUUUGACUUGCCACAUAGUCUUGUAACUUGUGAUUCAUUGGUGGAACUGAAGUUGAGUUUGAGCUUUCAUGUUCACCGAUGUUUUUUAAAGCUGCCUACUGCUGCUGGUUUUAUUGGGCUCAAGUCUCUUGAUUUACAAAGUGUUGCGUUGGAUGAUAAUUUGUUUCCUGAAUUUAUUUCAAAUCUUCCCCUGCUUGAGAAUUUGUGUAUGUUGUCAUGUGUUUUUCCUGAAUUGAAGGUUCUUGACAUUUCUUCCACUAAUUUGAAGAAUUUGGCUCUGGAAUCCAUUGUUGGCAAUGAUAAUGCUGGCAAUGAUGAUGCUGGCAAUGAUGAUGCUGGCAACUACAAGCUUAAGAUUGCUUGUCCAAAUCUUGUGUCUUUUAAUUAUAUAGCUUUAGCUCCAUGGUUACCUCACUUUGCUUUUGAGAGCUUAAACUCCUUGCAAAAUGCAUUCAUUGACCUGGAUGAUUAUAACGAGGAUGACAUGGAGAACGAAAGAUGUCAUGUUUUAUCUACAAUCUUCAAUGACUUUCGUGAAGUUAAAGUUUUGAAAUUAUCAGAAGCCAUUCUUCUCGAGGUAUGAUUUCAAAUACAUUCAUUGCACCAAAUCAUGAUUCUGCCAGAACUUGUCUACACUUUUUUAUUUUGACAUUAGAAAUGAAGCUUAAGUAAACUGAAUCUACUUUCUUUGUUUGGUAAAAUAAGAAUUCUAUUGAUUAUGGAACCUUCCUAAAUGCUAAUUUGUUCUUUAGACUGUGUAUAAGUCAUUGUGACAUUGUAUGAAGUCUCAUUUAUCUGAGUAAUCAAUUGUUAUUGAUGUCAAAGACUAGAACUCAUUGGUGACUUGAGUUUAUGUAUAUUAUCGUUUGUUAGAUUUUUUGUGUGAUUAUUGCACUUAACUUGACUAAUGUAUUCUCUUUCUUUUUGCCAUUGUUCCUCCAGGUUCUUGAUCCUGAUCCUGCUCACGAAGAACCAGCAUUUUUUUCCACUUCAUUCAAUAAUUUGAAGUCCUUAAUACUUUCUGCAGGUCCGGGUGUAUGUCUCAUGCCAUCAAUGCUUAGGUUGCUCAACUGCUCUCCAAAUCUAGAAGCUCUUGCAAUAUAUUCUCCUAAGGUAAUCUUAACACCAAAAACUAUUCCAUUUGUUAGAUACCGUCGCUUCUAUCCAUUUUUUUUAAAAAUCAUAUCUCCCAUUUAUGUGCUAAAAUUUUAAUUUUGUUAAAGUGCAACUGGGCUUUGCUUAAAUUAUCGCAAUAGAGUUGAAACCUGAAAGUAUUUGUGAUAUAUUAUGUUUACCGCUUAGAGCUUAAAGUAAAUGUUAAUCUUGUGGCCUCUUGGUUGUUCCCAUGCUAUUGCUUGUUGAGCAGAUGGUUGAAUUUAGAGUCAAUCAAUCGGUUGUGUUCUUCUGAGGUUUGUGCAAGUUUUGUAAAAGAGCAAAGUUUAGUAUUUGUUUAGUUUGUGAAAAUGAUAUAGCUUUUUCUAAUUCAUCUUACUCUAUUCUUUGCUUAAAAAUGAAUUCUCCUUUUGAUUUGAUUCCUUGACUGCAUUUCGGUCUGUUUUCUCUUGGCAGCAUCGGCGUGGAUAUAAUGCUUAUAGGAAAACACCGAACAAGGCUGCUAUUUCAUGUUUGACAAAUCAUCUCAAGACAGUUGAAAUAAAACAUUUUAGCGGUGAUAUGAAUCAACUUGAAAUUGUGAGGUUUCUUCUAAGGAAUGGACAUGUAUUGCAGAGAAUGAGUAUUAGAUGGGUGGCAGAUGUUAAGAAUCAAGGGAAGAUUAUCUCAAGGAUAAUGAAGUUUCGGAGAUCAUCUUCAAGUGUUGUGCUGAAAUUCCUAGAUCCUAAGCCAGCUGAUGAUUUUUCAGAUUAUUUAUUUGAUGAUGAGCAAAAGAACUAAAAUUAUGUUUAAAUUAAAAAAAAAAAAAGUGGUUUAAGUGUAUGUUCGAAUUAAAUAGUCUUUUGGAUUUGUAGAAACUGAAAGGAGUACAGUGCCAGUCACUGUGGCAGCCUUAUGUUUUGUUUGAAAAAAUUCGGAAGCUUCUAAAUUGUUAUAUACCUCAAUUCUGAAGUCGUUAGUAUGUAUAUUAUAAGCAAUACAUAUGUUCCAUUUGUCAUAUUUUAUUUUGGCAUUACGAUUGUUUUGUCUUGAUUAAUAUUGAUUAUAAUUUGUUUAACAUUUAUCUGGCAUAUGUAGAAUUAUACUUUAUCUGAGUAGAUGACGCUGCUGCGUACAUCUUCAGGACUCGGUCAUAAACUGUUUAUCUCUGCGUCUGUCUAGCAUCCAUCCACGUAUGACCUGUCGGCUUUUUGCCCGCAAGCAUACAGUUAGGGGUGGUAAAAAUAUCUGUCCGGUCUGGAUUCGGUUCGCACCCGGAUGUUUUAUCCGGCCCGGUCUUGGGCAUCAUUUGAUAAAUUCGGAACCCGAGUUUUAUUAAGCGCCUUGGCCGUACAGCAGUAUAUUAUUUUAAAUAUUUAUAUUUAUUUGACUCAUUUAUUACAUAUAUAUAAAGUUUUAGACACUUAAAGUUUAUAUUUUCAUGUCAAAUUUCAUUAAAAUAAAUUUAAAACUUAUAAAAUUACCAAAAAAUAAAAAAUAUAUACAUAUAUAAUAUUAAAAAAUAUAAAAUCUGGGUACCCAAAUUAAAACCCGGCACAAUCCGACCCAGGCAUCUAUGCAUCCGGGUCGGGUCCGGUCAUUACGAUACCCCGACCCAGCCCAGGGUUUUGCCAUCCCUACAUGCAGUGUAUAUGAAUUGCAGUUCUUGUACGGACAACAUGUCAUCCAUAAAACUCGAGUUAUGUUCUUUUUAAUCUUUAGUUUAGAUUACAUUUUGCAAAACUAAUAAACGAUAGAGCUCCUAGCAAGGUCAAUAGUUAACUGCGAAUCCAGAAGAUCGGAAUGCUAUACCUUUCAAACAUGCAUUUCAAAGCCAUCUGCGGAAAUGGAAAACAAGCAUUUCAAACUCGUUGUUAAAACAAUGAUAAAAGUAAUUUUAAUCCUAAUUUUUAAUUCCAGGCAUGAAGCUAACUCAUAUACAAAGAGAUAUCAAGUAAGCAGAGGCGAAAGCUAAAAGCUUUGGUUACAGGGGUCGGUGUGAAUAAUGUAUAUAUCGUUUAGACAUAUUUUUGAAUAUCUAUUUUAAUUUAGGGGAUAUUAUAUAUAUUUAAAAAAAAUUAAAAUUUUUACGGGAGCCAUGGCUUACUAUAGUCUCCAUUAAGAUUCACCCUCCCUACUUUUCGUACUUCAUUAAAGUAUAGGAUAAAUAUUUACAAUAUUAUAAAUAGAUUUUAUAAAAGCAGUCCAUAUAUGAAAGUCCUUCUGCACUCUGAAUUAAAUAAAAAUAACGUGAGACUAACAAUUUAAGAGUCUUUUUUGCAACGUAUAUCGUGCAGUGAUGUACUCUAUCGACGGAGGACUCUCUUCAUAUGCUUUUUAUUUUUCCAUGCCUGAUUAUAAAUAGGAUCACUCUAUGUUACAUUAAACGUAACGUACACACACUCACAACAACAGUAACAAGUCCCAUCAUUAGAACUGUUGCUGUGAGUGCGUGUAUGUUACGUUUAACGUAACAUAUCACUAGCCUUAUAAAUAACAUCACUUUUAAGGAUUUUUACAAAUUUUUAUUACAACCGUAACUUUUGUCCUCAUACAAUAACGGUGUCCAUUGUCCACAUAUAAAAAGUUCAUCAAUAAACAUAUAACCUAAUUAAAAUUCGUGACAAAAUCCAAAGGAAAGAAAGCGUGGAGUAAUAUAUAUAACAAAGGCAUUGAGCAUACACCAGGUGUAAUUUGCAUUGCAUGGCCACCCUUACGUGGCAGUUCCGCCGAUUAACACAUCUUUAAAAGUUAAAGCCCCCCUCUCUCCUUGUUAAGGGCGUUUCAACACAACACUCAUCAAUGCAAGCAAAGAGACAGUGAAGGAAAAAUUAAGAAACCAAUAUUGUCACUUGGAAGAAAGAAACAAUCAUUACAUAUAUAAUACGAUGGAUACUAAGAACAACAGGAAGCAUUUGUCCUGCAUUGCCAACGACGUCGUUCACAGAUGUGCACUGUACGUAUCUCUCUCUCUCUCUCUCUCUCCUUUUCUUUUUCUCCCCGAUCACUUUGUUUUCUUUAUAUAUACGAAUGUAUGUAGAACGUAGUAGGUUUUGUAUAAAUAUCUGUUGCACACAUUAUUUGAUGUGCAUUUAAAUAUAAUUAAUGGUAAUUGAGAUGACACACAAAGACAAUGCAAAAAAAGAAAAAAAAAGAGAGAGUAAAUUAAUGAAUUUGCCUUGAUCCAGUUAAUUUGUGUGCAUUUAGCUGACUGUAAGGUGGUUUCGAGUGUGUUUUUGUUUGGCAACUUUUCACACAAAAGCACUUUUGGGAAGCACUUUAUGUAAUGUAAGUGCCUCUAAAAACUGUUUUAUGUAUUACUGCCAAAUGCAGUGCAGAGGUUACAAUGGGAGGGUCGGUUUUAUACCUGUUCUUCGAGACUUAAUUUCAAUAGGAGAUUGAAAUAUUUAUGAGAAUUAUGUUGUUAGCAGACUUAAUUCUUUUGGAGGAAUUCAUUCCAUCGUAGACCACUCAAUGAAUUUGGUCGAUUGAGAUUAUUUGAGUGCAUGCUUCAAAACUGGAGCAUUAAUUCUUUGACAUAAAUGGGCUUUAACAUAAGGCGCGUUCGCUUAUUCCAUUUAUUCAAGAAGUUGGCACUCAAUUUUUUAUUACUAGCCUUUAGAUGGCCAGCAGCCUUUUGUAGCCCUUUCUAGUUUCUACUAAAGUGGUUAUGUGCAAUAGUUCUAUUCUGGGUUGCAAAAUUAUUGUGUCAGUAGAAUCCACAUACAUUAUGUACUUUUCUGUAUUUAAUUUCAAGAGGCUUAGUUAUAUCAUAGUUUUAGGAUUAUAAUAAGUCUGUCCGUUACCAUGUUAUUGGAAUUUUUUUUUUUUUCUAAAUUAGUUGGACACAUUAUUGGAUUGGUCAAUAAAGGAAAGCAUUUGGCAAGUACUUGGUUUGAUAUUAACAUAUAGUUGCAGUAAAGCACAUUAACUUGUGCAUCCUGAAAUUCUUGCAGGCAAGUAAAGGCUUCUGAGGAUUCAUUGGUGGAGGGGUUUGAAGCUGAAUGGAAGCCUGAAAUCGGACAGUAUUCGAAGAAAUUUGUGGAAUAUUGCAGCAUAAAGGCUCUUACUAACAUGUGCCAGAGCAUAGAAGAAAAGAUUAGUGAUGGAUCAUUUAGUCGACUCACAUUUGAUAUGAUGCUUGCCUGGGAAAUGCCUAGUGCCGCCGAUGAGGAGUCUCAUACUGUAAGCAAUCAUCAUAAUACUCAUAUCCUAUAUUUAUUUCAUGGUCCACCAAAUCAUUAUGAUAUUAUCCCAAUUUUGGUGUGCCUAUCUUCUCUUCAAGUUGCUUCUUCUAUUUCUUUUUCAUUAUACAUUCUCUGGUUCUCAUCAGUUUUCGCUCCAAUUAAAAGAAGCAUGAAUUCUUUCACUUAUCUGCUGAAUCUGUUCUAAUGAUUGGGCAAUAGAUUUUUAUUCCUCUCUGUGGUUACUACUAUUUUGAUCUUGUGCAGGAGUGCAUGGGAAAGGAGAAUGAGGAUAGAAAGGCUGUAAAAGUCACUUCAGAUCAUGAUGAAAUUCCUCUCUUCUAUACAGACAUCAUGCCUCUUCUAGUAAGAGCGUCUCUUUCUGAUCAUUUGAGUGCUAAUGUACCGACCAAGCAUUAGCCUUCACUGAAACUCGUAUAUGAUUUCAUGAACAUUGAUUAAUUGUUAUUUUUGCUAACUACUCUAUGAGAUCUGAUCAAAUUAGAUAUAUAAAUGUUGCGAUUGAUCUUGGAUUUGCUUUAUAUUUGGCCAUCAAUUAUAUUUUACUCUUCAUUUUUAUAUUUGUUUGGUUUGAUAAUUUACCCUCUGGCCCAUAUAUAUGAUGGUAGGUUAAUAAUGAACCGAGUGUUGGAGAAGAUGCAUUUGUAUGGAUGGGAUCCUUAGUUCCUCUAGUUUCAGAUGUUAUUAAUGGGAGAUUUACAUAUGAAAUUCUGACAGCGCCAACAGGAAACCGGCUCCAUUCUCCAGCAUAUGAUAUAUUUCUAAAGGAGAUGGACAAGUAAUUCUUCCAAUUCUUCCAUGCAGCAAUUUUACCACUCAGAAACUUUAAGUGCCGUUUGGUUUUGUGACAUGCAAAUUAUCAUGGAACACUCAAAAUGAGUUGUUCUUAACAAUUUCUAGAAUUUGCAAACUCACUAACCAUAUCUGAAAAUGCAGAAGCAUUAUUACCACUUAUUGAUAACAAUAUCUCUGCUCGACUUGUUUGGGUGCUUUCAGCCGUUUUUCAUUUUCUUUUGGAAAUCUUGAUUUCAUAGAUGCAUAAAACAUUUGCAAAAACAAGCAACUCCAAAGGGUGUUGAGCUGGCUGACGAUGAAUUUAUACUGCAUGUGGAGGGAACUGCAAGCACACAGAGAGUAGUGCGCCAUAUUGGGAAAACAAGUUGGCCUGGUAUGUCUUUAGUUUGAUGUCUUACAUCUUUUUAACUGCUGUAGAAAUUGUUACUUGGAUUUUACUAAUCAUAAUUGUUGUCUCUAGGUAGGCUCACACUGACAAAUUAUGCGCUCUACUUCGAGGCUUCGGGAGUAAUAACAUAUGAAGAUGCUCUAAAGAUUGACCUCUCAAAAGAUGCUGAACUAUCUGUUAAACCAACUGCCACAGGUCCAUGGGGUGCUCCGCUUUUUGACAAGGCAAUUGUAGUCGAGUCCCCUGAACAGUAAGCAUAGUUGCACUUAUAUGAAAUUACUGGAGCUAUUAGCAUCGUUAUUCUUAUUUUAAAAAUUGUUAAAUGCUUGGUAGUUAUCCCAUAAGCUAGAUUUUAAAUGCAUAACAUACAAGGCAGACAUCAGAAAGCAUUCUGAUUCGUUUAUUAAAGUUUGUCUUUUAUUAAGCUAAAGAUAUUAAUGCUGCUAGAUUUUUCUAAUUUGGUUGUAGAUAUUGGUUAGUUACACUGUCAAAUGAGCAAAUCUCGUGGAUAUUUCAUAGUGUGGUUAUGCAAUUGUUUUUUGCCCUUCACUUUUCUAGAUCUGAGGGAAUUGUCCUGGAGUUUCCAGAGAUAACUAGCUCGACAAGGCGUGAUCAUUGGCUGGCCCUCACAAAGGAGAUAAUGUUAAUGCACAAAUUCCUGUCAAAAUUCAAGGUGGAAUGUCCAAUACAAGCAUGGGAGAUGAAUGCAAGGACAAUACUUUGCAUCAUAAGACUCCAUGCAGCAAGAGAAAUGCUGAGGAUAUUGCCUCCAGAUCCCACAAAAUUCUUGAUUUUUGCUUUGUAUGAUGAGUUGCCAAAGGGAGACUACGUGCUAGAAGAGCUUGCUGAGAGUCUGAAGAAAGUUAAUUGUGGACAUCCUUCCAGUGCUAGCUCAAUUCUGAGAUGUAUGAACCUGUCAAUUGCCGCAAGUGGAGAAGUAAAAGAAGGAAAAGAACUGGAGGAACAUAAACAUAUAAGUGAUGAAAGCUGUUCAUCACUGGAAACUGCCAUCAAUCAAUCUAAAGAGCAAGCAAAGGCAAUUGAAAUUGCUAAGUCUACCACUGAGGGCCUGAAAGAUGAAGGGAUCAGUGAUAGUAUCCUUGUUCUCUUGGUAUGUUUUUACUUCCAAAUUGUUGUUUAUGCUGCUGAUUUUAUAUUGACAGAAUAAGUAAUGACAUCUCAACAAAUCAUGGUAUUGAGAGCUUGUUUGACAUUUAUCAAACACAGCAAAGAAAUUGAAUUUUAUGAAAUUCCUAUAGCACCCUAUAAUUUGUACCAAAAAAUCUCUGCACCUUUGGCAUGCUGUAUGGUAUGGAAGUAUAGCUGUCUCAGAGAGGUUACUGUUAUUUACUUUAUUUGGUUUUGUAGUAUUGAUGUUAAGUUUGAUUUAAUAAUGUAGGAGCUACUAAAGCCACUUAAAAGUGUUUUACCCUGGAUUCGAGAAGUUGUUUCAUGGGAAAAACCAGCAACCACCCUCACUGUGAUUGCAACAACUCUACUAAUAGUGUACAAGUAAGUCAGUGCUCCCUCGUAAUUUUCUUAUAUACGGAAAUUUUUUUGAAAGUGCAUGUUGAUCAAGAACCACUUCAUUACUUGGCCUAUUAAUGUGUAAACUUUGCAAAUGACUAGUAAACUAUAUAAUGGCAAUGUAGGGAGUGGGUAGGCCAGGCUAUAGCUGCUUGUUUGCUCACCAUCGUGGUGAAGAUGCUUCAGGCAAGAAAAAAAAGGUUGACAGACAAAUGCAAUGAGAUAGUAGUAUGCACUGCUUCAGAUCAGAGCACCGUGGAGAGCAUUGUGUCGGCUCAAUACAGUUUGAUAACUAUUCAUGAGAUGUUGCAGGCAGCAAACAUUAUGAUUUUGAAGAUAUGGUCGAUAUUAAUUUCAAAGGCCCGCAAGGUACUCAUUUUGAUAACCUAUGCUUUCAGCUUAGCAAUUAAAUAUCGUUUUCAAUCAAUAUUGCUUAUUCGUCGUUAGCUGAAGUUCGUUUACCUACUACAUUUGUUGGAUGUCUUCAAUUAUUGAGGAGUCUUAGUUGCAUUUCCAAAUUGUUCUAAAUCCUCGUUUCAUUUAAUGGGUUGCAGCAUGCGGACACGGUUAUGGUGGCAUUGACUGGGUUAGCAAUAGUAUUAGCAGUUGUUCCAUUCAAGUAUAUUGUCAUGGGAGGUGUGCUGUACGGCUUCAUUAUGAACUCGAAGCCAAUGAAGUACCUGGGAAACAACUCAAACGACCAAAGCGGCAACAGACGUCUAAAAGAAUGGUGGGAGUCAAUCCCUAUUAUUCCUGUUCGCGUCGUGGACAAGCUUCCUGAGUGCCCAAAAUAAUGUGUCGGCUCCUGCACAAUCACAGUUGCCUAAAUCCUCUGUUUCUGAACUUUUGUUAUCAACUUACUGCACGAUAUACACUUCUGAGUUUGCUUUUGCCAUCAGAGUAGAACUGUAUCUGAAACACAGCAUACACUUAAAUGCUCAUUACAAAUUUGGAGAAAAGCACAAGUAGAAAAGGAUUGAAGACAUUCAGUAACGUUGAAAUUCUGCAUUUUCUUUAAUUUUUGUUAUGAACAAGUUUCUUAAUUAUUUGUUCUCUUGAUGUAAAAUAGCAUAUUGCUGGGAGUAAUGAAGAUGUGACUGUGCUUUUCCUAUUAGCAUGUUAAUAAAAGCAAAAUGGAAAAUUAUUAGUUACGUCCUCUCGUUUUGCGGCUUAUUGAGCUAACAAGUAACUUCUUCAUUACUAGCGUGCAAGUUUGCAACUAGUGAAUCUCAAAUAUAACUCUACCCAAUGGAUGGAUGUACGAUGGAUGUACCUACCCAAUCAUUUAUUUCUCAUUAAAUCUGUUAAAACAGAAAAAGUCCCGACGUCAUAUUCUUCGCGCCUUUUAAAAAACGACACGUGUCGUAUCCCACUACUCGCGUGCUGGAAACUUUAACCCACUCUGACUGCGUGACAGCAGAUCAUUCCCAAUUCAUUUCAGUUUCACUGUCACUUUCACUCCUCCUCAGGCGCCUUCCGACAAACAGGAAGAAUGCAAACUUGAAAACCCCCAAAAACCCUAACGUUCCCCCGGAGACCCUAACCCACCAUAAACCCUGGCUCUUAAUCCUAGCCACUAUGAGCGACCAAGACGAGCAAUCGCGAGCUCAGAAAGCCGCCCAGUUAACAAGUCCGCUCUCAUCCUCUCUCUCGAACCUUUCUUCUUCUUCAAGAAGCAUCCCCUCUAAUCAAGAUUUCCAUUUCUUCUACAAUUUCCCUGAAUUCAAUCAACCCGUCCAAGAAAUCGCGAACCAAUCGCAGCUCCUCCUACAAUCCAUCGGCUCAUCGGAGAUUUUUAACCAACCGAUCAAUUUUCCUGAUGAGGUUGACAUCUCGGACGCCUACGACUGGCUUGUCGACGUAAACGACAACGUUUUCGAGCGUAUGGAUGUUUCUUUCGACGAAUUUAGUAAAGUAAGAGGGGAAAAUGGGGAAGGAGAUGGAAAUGAAGGUGGCUUUCAGUUGGUUUAUGGGAAGAACAAGAAGAAGGGCGACAUUGUGGGUGGCUCUGCCCCGGCCAGUGUGAAAGUGAAGGACAGGAAAGAGAAAAGCAAGGUGCCGUUUCAUAUAUCGACUAUAACAAAACCGCAAGAGGAGUACAAGAUAGUUGUGAACAAUGCGAACCAGCCGUUUCAGCAUGUUUGGUUGCAGAAGAUUGAGGACAGUGGACGGUUUAUCCAUCCUCUUGUAAGUUUGUUAUUUUUUGAAUAUUUUGAUAUUGGAUUUGACUUACUGGGUUUGUUAAAUUUGUAAUCUGAAAAUAGUACCUUUCUUAGGGACUUUUUAGUGAUCAAUUAUUUCUUUCAUUUUCUUUUUGGGUGGUUUGUGGUAUAUGUUUACGCUUAUCUUGUUUGGAAUUUGUGUGCAAUUCUUAUUAUUCAUGCGAGAAUUUUAACACUAUCAUGUGGUUCAUGCUUGCCAAAAAUAUACCAAAACACUUUUGCUUAUUGCUAUUGCUUUAUUUGUACAGGACAAUCUUUCUGUUUUGGAUUUUGUUGAUAAAGAUAUAGGGGAUGUGGAACCUGUAAAACCUCCCUCGUUGGAGCAGACACCAUUCAAGCUUGUGGAAGAAGUUAAAGAUUUAAAGGAGCUAGCUGCUAAAUUGAAGAGCGUAGAUGAGUUUGCGGUAAAGUCUGACUUCUGUGAUUAUGUUUUAUUGAUAAAUAAUGCCGUGGUUCAGCCUUACUGCAGUAGUUUCUUUUUUUCAGCCUUUUGAUUUCUCUUUUCUGAUGGGGCAUUUCAUAUACAGAACUGAACACUGUCCUAUGUAGAGGAUAUAGUGUAGUUAAGGCACAUGUCACCGAUGUCAGCUACUUCAAAAUUAUAUAGUGCUGGAUGUGGUUUAAGCCAAUAAGACAAGAAAGGGGUGUGGCCGCCUAUGAAGAUACAUACAAAUAUGUUAAUAUUCGAAACAUAUACAAAGAAAUGUGCCUGUAAUAGUUUUCCUGUCUACGUAAAGUAGUAAACCAGCUGUCUAUUUAAUCUUGAUACAAGUUUUGCAUGUUUAAAAAAUUAUCUUUCAUCUUUAACAGUGAGUCCAUUUUUAGCUGUAAUCCUUUUCUCAAGCAUGACUUGGUUUUGCUUUCGUUUUCAUCUCAACAGUAAACCUGUUUGCAACUAGAAAACAUUGUAAUUUUUUUGUAACUUUUCUCUAGGUCGACUUGGAACAUAAUCAAUAUCGAUCUUUCCUAGGAUUGACUUGCCUGAUGCAAAUUUCCACCAGAACCGAAGAUUUUGUGGUAGAUACGUUAAAGCUUCGCGUUCAAGUUGGGCCAUAUCUUAGGGAAGUUUUUAAAGAUCCUACCAAGAAAAAGGUUGGUCCCUUCAACAUGCUCUCGCGUAGCUUUGUGAUAAAUCUUAUUUUUUCCCCCCCAAAUUAUGUUAACUUUUACUUUACUAGGUGAUGCAUGGAGCAGAUCGAGAUAUUGUGUGGCUUCAACGGGACUUUGGCAUAUAUUUGUGCAAUAUGUUUGACACAGGACAGGUUUUAUCCCUUGAAACUCUCUUUGAAAUUUGAGACUUUAUUGAUGAUCUUGUCUGGUUUUUUGUACAAUGGUUAAAUUUAUCUUAUCUUAUCUGCUUUUUUGUGGUCUAAUUUAUGAGUGUUGAUGCAAGCCUUUAUUCUACUAAAUUAGUUAAAUUGAGUUAUCUUUUGAUACUGUAUUUUCAAUUUUGUAAUUCAUCUUAUGUGUUUGAGUCAAGGUUUGGCUUCAAAAAGCCUUGUCAGUUACAUGUCAUCUCUCCCUUAAUUUUUUCAAAGUAGCUUCGCUUGUCAUUUGAACUAUUUGUAUCAUUAUUUUCAAUUUUGAUGUGGAACUUCCCCCAUUUAUUAAUGUUCUUUUGGUUGUUUUUGUGUAAUGCUCUUUUGUAAAUUUUACCGUGGCAUUUAUUUUGUUUUGCAUUUCAAAUAAUAGUGAGAAUUGCUUUUUUCAGUCCUAAGUUUAUUGGUUUAUUGUAAAUAUACUGUAUAUUUAUUUUGGUUUGCAUUGGGAGAUGAUCGUGGGAAUUUGUUUCUGUCUUUUCAUAAGGCCUCAAGAGUCUUGAAAUUGGAGAGAAAUAGUUUGGAGUAUCUUCUACAUCACUUUUGUGGAGUUAAUGCCAACAAAGAGUGAGUCCUUUUGUAAAGUACCUGAUCUGUUUCUCCUUAUAGUUUCCGCCCUUCAUCAUCCUAAGUCAACUCAUUGCAGAUACCAGAACGCAGAUUGGAGAGUACGUCCUCUUCCCGACGAGAUGCUGAGGUACCUUUGGUUCUCUUUUUAUCUUCUUUGUAACCUACUUUUCUAAUGAGUUCUCCAAAAAAAAAAAAAUUAUGAUCUGUUUGGCAUGAAAAUAAUUACUACUAUUUUAAAGUUCUUGUAUUCUUUGGAAAAGCAGAAAUCAUAUAUCAUCAUUUAAGUGUUUGGGGUUUCAUCUUUGCCUGUAUUUUUGUAGAAACUAAUAAUAUUUUUUUUUCUGUGGCUUAGGAUUUGAAUUGUGGGAAUAUCUAUGUUGGAAAUUAAUAAUGAGUGCACAUUGACUCUUGAUAGUGGACAAAUAUUUGGACAGCCAGGAAGGGGAAGGCCAACAAAAGUUUUGGGUUUUUAUAAGUUGAAGUUAUGAAUGGUUUUAUAAUUAAUUAGGUAUAGGUUUCCUCAUUUGGGUAUUUCUGGGAGAUCUGGGUUAUAAGAUUGAGAUAUUCCAGCCUGUAUAGAUAAUUGUAGGGUUGCCUGUGUUUGUGAUAUUCCAGCGCGUUUAUUAUUACUACUUCUUAUAUAUAUAAAAUUUUAGACUCUUUCCAUGUCUAACAAGAAGUUUUCAUGAUAUCACUUGGAUCCUACUCAUGCAGACUUGUAAGGCAUCCUUAGGUGCGGUUAUGUGAUCUGGUUUUUAUAAAUAUUUUUAAAUUUUUUGUCAGAGACAAUGCCUGUAGUGACAAUGUACUGACUUAUCUUUUGGUUAUUACCAAGCUGAAUCAGGUUGCCUGUGGUUUAUGACCAUACCAUUUGGUCUUAUAAAAUGUUCUUCCCUUCACCUCAUGUUCUCAUACUUUAAAGCAUGAAUAAUAUCUAAGGGCCUGAGAUUAUUUCAUUAAUUUUUCCCAAGUCUAGAUCCUUCCCAGAGAAAUGGAUGGAUUACCCACACACUCACCAGUAACAUGUCGUACUUUAUGACGGUUUUGCAUUACUGCUGUAUGUCAUUUAAUUUGCCCUUUUGAGGAUUCUUUAUUUUCUCUGGGCUGAUGUUACUUUGUGGUGCUUUUUUUUCCUAUUUAGUCAAAAUAUAUAUUCAUCAUAGAGUUUCUCUGUUAGAAUUUUCUUAGCUUUGAGGAUUCGUUAGUGGCAUAUCAUCCAAUUGAUUAUACUUGUGAUGACAGAUACGCUAGAGAAGAUACACACUAUCUGUUGUAUAUAUAUGAUAUAAUGAAAAUCAAGUUGUCCUCAAUGCCCAAGGAGUCUGAGAAUUCUGAUACUCCCCUGACAGAGGUAUGAUUUUUGCUUAACUGUUGGUGUUGUUUUGUAAAACUGUUGGGCAUCUCUAUGAUUAUAGAGAAUCCAUUUUUAAAUGCUUUUUUCAGAUCUUGUUGUGCCAUGUAUGACAGACCAUUGCGUCUGGAGAUUGGCAUGGAGCUUAAUAAUUACAAUGUUAAAAAUAGAACAUAAAAUAUUGGGAAGUAUCUAUCAUGACUAAUUCUUCAACUGUUUAAGGAAGAUAGUUUAAAUCCGAAUAUCCUUUUUUGGAUUGUGGACUAAAGAAAAUUGUCAACUCUUGAUUUCUCUUCCCAAGGAUGAAGACGUAUCAGUCUGUUGGCAAACACAUUUUUUGAAUUUUACUUUAGUUAUCUAUAAUUUUACCAUAUUGAGCAAACAUUUUGUUGCAAACAGGUCUACAAGCGCAGUUAUGACGUAUGCAGGCAGCUGUAUGAGAAGGAGCUUCUGUCAGAAAAUUCUUAUCUCCACAUUUAUGGGUUUGUCUUUGUCCCUAUUCAUCUCAGUUUAAGUUUUCAUUUAGUGGCCUCGCCUGUUUAAAAUCUUCUCUCAUACAGUUUUUGUUUGUUUCAUUCUUUACUUAGCAUUACUUCUCUUGUUUAAUUUUAGUUCUAUUUUGGACUUCGUAUUUAUGUGAUUUGACAGAACUUAAUCAGUGGAGCUUAUUUCUCUAUGUUGAAAUAGGUUGCAGGGGGCUGGUCUCAAUGCUCAGCAGCUUGCUGUUGUUGCGGUAUGUCAGUUCUUCAUGUGUUUUUCAAACUUUGCCACUUUUCUAUCUGGAUAUUAUAUGCAUGAGGAUGCUACUGAAAAUGUAUUAUCCGCAUGUUUUGUUUACUAGUUGCAUCUUCAAAUGAAACAAAGUCUUGACCCAGAAGAAUCCGUAACGCACCAAUAGUCACUAAUAGGAUUGUCUUGAGAAAUUUACUUCUAAAUUUUUGAGUGGAUGAUAGAAGGGUGGAUUUUAAGUAGCUGACACAUCAUUGCCAACUGCUGAUAGAGUCUGUUGCAUACUUGAGUAUUCUUGCUAGUUCUGGCCCCAUUGAUCCCACUUCAAUGAUUUGCAGGGUCUUUGUGAAUGGCGAGAUGUUAUUGCUCGUGCAGAUGAUGAAAGUACUGGCUAUGUAUUGCCAAACAGAACUCUGAUUGAAAUUGGUAGAAACCUGUCUGAAUUUCCUCCAACUCUCUCUUCUAUAUGUAUAUAAUCCAUUUGGUGAGUUAUGAGUUAAUCAUAUUUUCCUUUUGUGGUAAAAGCCAAACAGUUGCCUACUACUGCUGCCAAGUUACGUCGAUUGUUGAAAUCAAAGCACUCAUAUAUUGAACGCUAUAUGGGUCCGGUACUUAGCAUCAUAAAAAAUUCUAUGCAAAAUGCUGCUAAUUUUGAAGUCAUUGCUCAAAAAUUGAAAGAGGAACGUAUGGAAGUGGUAAGACCUGCAUGCUCAUGUUUGAUUGUUUUGUUAUAUCAGUGAUCCAAAUUGAUUAUUUUUCUUUGAGAAUUUGAUGUUAAUGCCUUCAAUGGAUUGCCAACAUACAUUGAUUUUCUUUUUCUUUUCCUUGGAUUUCGUUAGAAUCAGACCAACCAUCUUUUAAACGAGGAUGAUGGUCCAAAACCUUAAGGUCUACUACGAUGAAUUGCUACUUUUUGUGCAAGUUCUUGUAAUUCACUCAGCUGGUUGUCUUCGGCAAAUGAAAGGAAAAAGGAAAUUCAUCCAAUCCAGUUCUAUUGAAGAAAAAGAAUCCUAGUUGAUCUUACAAAAUUAAGCUUUCAUAAUUUGUUAACCCAUGGAAUGUGAUUAAAACUCAUGGACAAAGGAUGUUCCAGUUGAGAAAGGGAUUUGAGUGAUUUUUAGCAAUUAUCAGUGAUGUCUUCAUUAGAAGUAAGUUUAUGGUUUAUAGCAGUAAAUGCUCAAUAAUUAGGUACUCCUUGUAUAUUGGCUGACCGGGUCCCAUGUUUGUAGUAGGUUUUGUGAGCUACAGAGGAUUAACUUCAGUCAGUUUUCCAUGUUAUGGCUGUUAAGAGCUAUGUCACCAUUUUUCUUUGUUUACAUCAAACUAAUCUUUUUUUUUCCCCCCAUUUUUCCUUAUUUGUGUAGGCAUCAGAAGAAACUGAAGUUUUAGUUCUUGAUACUUCCUCAAACUUGAAAAUUCCGAAUGUUGGAAGGGAGAGUGUUGAUGGUGUUGAUGCAUUAGUUGGUACCACGAUGCCUCACCCACCAGCUUACACCCAGCUGAAACAAGAGCCUCCAAAGGUUGGAAGCAGUGUCGCAGAACUUGACAGAAAUGGACUAGGGUCUUUUGCGCAUCCUGGAGAAGCAAUUGCUUCAGAAAAUAAAGAAGCUACUCAUAUUUCAACACUUUCCAGCUCUGGUCAAAGUAGAGACUUGAAUGCUUGCAAGUCACCUUCACCAAGGGUUGUGAAUUUGAUGCCUUAAUGUGGAUUUUUUUUUUUUUUGGUUAAGAGGUUUAGCAUUCAAUUUCUUUUUCUUUGGUUGUGAAUUUGAUGCCUUAAUGUGGAUUGGAUUUUUUUUUUUUUUGGUUAAGAGGUUUAGCAUUCAAUUUCUUUUUCUUUAUAGGUUACUGAAGCUGCUGUUCAGGCUCUAAAGAAGCCGAACCGUGGUUUUGGAGCACUGCUGGGUAACCCAAAGAGAAAGUUUGAUGGCGAGAAAAAGGUGAGUUAAUCAUUUGCUAGUAAUGGUUGUUAAACAUCUGCUAUGUCAUUGUCACAUAGCAAAAUAACUAUUUCUGAGGCCUGCCAGUCACCCAGUUUGUGCAUGUGUGGUUGGGAAGAAGGCAACAAAGGAAGAAUAUAGUUAAACAUUUGCUAUGUUAUUCUUACAUAGCAAAAUAACUACUACUGAGGCCUGCCAGUCAGCCAGUCUCUGCAUGUUGGUUGCAAAGAAGGCAACAAAAGAAGAAUGUUUUUUUUUUUUGAAUCUUCAUUCCAUGAUUCACUUUCUUUUCAAUUUUUCUUGUCAACUAGCAUGUACAUUUGCCUUCUUGUUGCCUUUUUCGUUGCGUGAGUCAUUAUGAAUUAUGAUUUAUAUUAUACGGAAAUUGUGAGUGGGCAACUGUUGGGCUAUAAUCAAACAUGCAAAAUUUCGGGUCCCAUGACUAAGCGCUGCUAUCAUCUGGAUUUGUGUGUUGUUGCAUUUUAUAUUUGGUUAACACCCUUCUUAUUAUCCUCCUUUUGAUUGUUUGUUUGUCUUAAUUAGGACAAGGAAGCUAUGAAACUAGAGCAGAUUAAAUCCUCAGUCAAUCUUCCAUUCCACUCAAUUUUUGCAAGAGAUGAACAGUUAAAACCAGUUGAUGUGAUGAAGUCUGAACCAAAUAAGCCUGACAUUCCAUUUCCUUCAUCUUUUGGUAGUGGGCAACAAACGAAACCAAUCAUAGAGGAAUCCAAUAGAGUUACAGUAGUUUCCCAAUCAGAAGAACCCGCUCCGGCUGCUAGGUCUGAUACAGAAGAUAUUAUUACGUUGGAAGAUGAUAUAGAUGAAGAGGAACAAAACCUUGGUAAUUUGGAAACUGCAAGUGCGCCCGGAGAGGACGGUUCUGCAGGGUCUGCUUUGGAAAUGGGUAAACAAGAUGAGACCAUGUCUCUCUCUGAUUUAUCAACUAGUUUCCAGGAGUGCUUCCACUCUGCUAACAACAAUAGAAAACCUGGAAAGCCUGAGAGAUCUGAAGAACCUAGUGGUUUUUUGCAGCUUAAGCCGUUUGACUUCGAAGCAGCUAGGAAACAGAUCGAGUUUGGAGAAGAUGCCAAAGAAAAAUCAGCUGGGGUUGAUGGAAACAAAAGAAAACCAGUGAACUCUGGAGAUAAGAAAAAAGUUUCAGCUGUAGAUCAAGCUCAAAAAGAUGAUGGAACAAAAGAACUGUCACAAGGUAGACGACGUUCUGCUUUUCCUGCAACUGGAAAUCGAAGUGCAACAUUUCGCUGAGUCUCUGGUAUCAAUCAUGCUGCUCUGUGUAGCAGAAAUUAGUUGAAUUUUGGAUUUUCACAAUCAUGUUCUUGAUUUAAAUGGAAAUUAAUGCUGGUGGACAAAUUCGCAAUGGUUGUACGUAUAUUUCCAUUGCUUGAGGUCUUGUCUGAUACAGCAUGAGCUAACCUGAUCAUCUUUUGAUAUUCAGUAACAGGAGAGAUGUAUGGUCUGCAGGAGCCAAUGAUGGGCAAGUGAUACCUGAGGCCGGUGUCUAUUUGAAGGUAAAAUGGGCGAUGGUUCUAGGUUUCAUAUUAGGUUUUUGAUAGUCUUGAGUAAUUGCCCUACUAUCUUCAUAUUUAAAAAACAGGAUGGUUUCAAACCAAAGUGCGGUUUGUAAUCAAAAGCAUUUGAUCUUUUUGUUUUUGUAACUUUACGGGUUUUAUUUUUAGAAAAAUGGUUCUGUACUAUGGUUUAUUUCUGCCUUAUUUGAUAUUGUGGUCAUCUUAGGCUUUAUUUAGUGUAAUUUUUCAGUUAUAUGUUCGUUUGGGAAGAGGAAAUGAAGUUAAUUUUAUUUCACACUUGCAUAAGAAAAAAUUGUAAUGUUUAUAUUAUUUUUGUUAAAAUUAUUAUUUAAAAAUUAUAUUUGAUAUCUAUUAAUAAUUUUUAUUAUAAUUAUAAUUUUCUUUUUCCUCCAUCAUCUCAAUUGCUUAUAACUGCUGUUGAGGAUGGUUGGUGCGAUGUUAAUAAUUUGUAAAGGGCUUAGUAACAUCUGGUUCCGUGAUGUCGGCCAAACCAUAUCGAAGGGCUUAAUUUGACGGUCAUCGGGGCCUCCUGCCCAGCUGCCCUCCUUUACGGAUUCCGCUUCCGCAAAUUAUUUUAUAUAAACUGUUGUUACAUGAUAGUGGUGGCCGGAUGAAAAUACUACAUGACCAUAUAAUGCUUUCGGUGCAAUGAGUGAAAAAGAGAAAUUUUUAUGUAUUCUCGGAUUGAAGGAGAAAUUUUAAGAUUAAGAUUGUGGAGUGGUAGCAGGAGUAAAUUAUUUACUUACAUCACUAUGAGAGUGUGGAACG